rnacentral:lncRNA from 1 species
GGGAGACCGACCGAACGGGACCGGUCCAGCGGCGAACGGAGGUCGGACGGCGGCGGGAGGGCAGCCGGAAAACCGGGCAGCGGGAGGCUCGGGUGCGGAGAGGAAAUCGGGAGGGAGAGAGAAAGAAAAGAAGAAGAAAUGGGUUGGGCUCGGCCCAGCCGACCCAACACCCCUUUUAACCCAAAAUUCCAAAAUAAAAACACCCCGAAAAAUAAUACCCGAAUAAAAAUUACCUUUUACUAGCUAAAAUUUACCAUUUUUACCGUAGUCGUAUUUUCCUCAUACGAAUAAUCCUCCGCACAUAAUCGUCCCCGAAACCCCUCUAGGGACCAAUUAAACUAUUUACUCAUGAUCAAGACGGUAAAAUUCUUAUUAUCAUCACGCUAGUAAAUAAGGUAAAAAUAUAAGGGUCGGGAUGUGACAACACGAACAUGAACAAUAAACAACAUAGACACGAGACAAGGACAUAUAGUGGUUCACUAUGCCAUCGGAGGACAUAGCUACGUCCAUUUUACAAUCAACUAUCAUGGCCAAUAGGCAUUUGUGGAGUGAGUAAAGAUUUCUUUUUUCUACACAUGGGAAGCCUUCCUUUUAUAGCUAAAGAAGGUGCCCACAUAUUACAUAUUUCCAAUGUGAGACAAACUACACAUAACUAUUAUCAUGGUGUCUUCUUGUGGAGCUUGGAGGAACACCUUCCCGAUGUGGUACCAAUGAUCUUUCACCAUGGCGAGGUAGGAUAUACAUCGUAUAUACAAGUUUCCUGACUGGUCUAUGAGCGGGGAAGAUAGUUCUCAACUAGCGACUACAACGAACACCUAACCACUUGAUUACUUCCACGUCUUGAGCGUGGGAUUAAUCGCUCAAAGUGUUUAGGCUUUGGGUACCUUGGCGGCAAUUGAAGGACGCGAACACCUAACCACUUGAUUUCUUCCAUGUCUUAGACGUGGGAUUAAUCGCUCAAAGUGUUUAGGCUUUGCGUAGAUUUUACCGCUCCACAUGGCAUUUUUCAAGAGUAUCAAGAAGGACACAUACAUCAUCCUUGAAGAUAUCGAGGACAUUGAAAGUGAUGGCACCACCUCUCAUCUAAGCUGGCUCGUCAUGAUUUCACCUUUGUGAGCUUUAUUGACGUUUCUUUAACCAAAUAUCUCACAGCCGGCCGUCUUUGUUGGUUCUUCUCCGUGAGCCUUGGCAACGCUCACUGAACCACAUGUUUCAUUGCCAAUGAUUAAAGAUUACCCUCCGUGAGCCUUGUCGAUGCUCACCGAGCCACAUGUCCUUCCGACAGUUCAAGUCACAUCUCUGGUGAAUGACUCAUUAGGUGAUUGAAGAAUGCAGACAACAUAAAUGCUUGAUUCGUUCCACUGUUUGAAAGUAAAAGGAAUCACUUAAAGUGUUUAGGCUUUGCGUACACACCAACAAACAACAAAAGGAAGAACGCGGAUAACCUAAACGCUUUAUUUCUUCCACUUUCUAAAAGUGGGAGGAAUCACUCAAAGUGUUUAGACUCUGCGUAUUUUUCAACCGCGAAAGGAAGAAUAUAAUUCCAGAGAUUCCGCAGAGUUAUCCUCUUUCAAGUUUUGUAUGUCUCUUCUUUGACUUGGGAGACACCUCGAGCAAACUCAUUUGCUUGUUUUGAUAUGGCAAUACUCUAAACAACCCGAGCAAACUCAUUUUUUUUUUUUUUUGCUUUGUUAUGACUGGACUCAGAAGCAUCUUCUAAGCUGCCUACGUACUCUUAUGAGAAAGAGAUCAAGUCAUGACGUAGUUCAAGGAUUUUUCUUGGGUGCCAUACGCAACCUAUGCUCGUGCGGGCAGGAGUCGUUUUUUUUUGUUGAUUUUUUUGGUGAUUCGUAGUUUAUGCUUGUGCGGACAAAGAGCGUGGUGACUUUUCAGUGGUCUACAUGAGUCUCAGCAGGUUGCAUGCCCCCAGCAAAGGCGUUGACGACACUGCUUCGAGUUGUUCAAAGAUGAUGGUAGCAUAAUUUGACUGAGCCGCAUCAUCUUCAAUGUCUAAGCUGAUCUUUCCUUGUUGUGCGAGCUUCAUGAUGAGGUCUUUCAAGAUGAAGCAUUUCUCCACCGGAUGACUAAUGCCACGGUGGUUCUUGCAGUUUUUUGGUUCAUUGACGUGAUGCAUCUCUUCUGGACGCUUGCAGUCUGGCAAUUUGAUUAGUUCUUUUUCAAGCAAGUUUUCCAACAUCUCAACAACAUCGGAAUUUAGAAAAGGGUAACUUUUAGCUUCCAACUCUCUUAGAGUUCGCCUCCUUGCUUGAUCUUGAGUCGAAUGAAGCUUGUUUCGGUCAUUUGAUUUGACUCGAGUCGUAAUCUUUGCAGGAGCUGACUAAUUGUGAAUGACUCCAUAACACGCUUGUGACUAUGUGGUUCAAUGACUUCACCUUCUCUUUGGCCAUGACUAGCCAAGCUGAGUUCCAUGUCAUGAGCUCGAGUGGCAAGUUCUUCGAAGGUGCGAGGAUUUAUUCCUUGAAGAAUGUACAACAAGCCCCAAUGCAUGUCUUGAAUGCACAUCUCCACUGCUGAUAAUUCUGAGAGUCAGUCUUUGCAGUCGAGACUUAGUGCACGCCAACGAUUGAUGAAUUCUACAGCAGACUCGCCCUUUCGUUGUUUGGUGUUGGUGAGCUCUAACAUACUCACCAUGUGACGUGUGCUGAAGAAGCGGUUCAAGAACUCUUUUUCCAUUUGCUCCCAGCUGUCAAUGGAUUCAGGCUCCAAGUCUAUAAACCAUUCAAACGCCGUGUCUUGGAGUGAGCGAACAAAUUGCUUCAUAAGAUGAUCACCAUCGGUGCCAGCGUUGUUGCAUGUUUCGAUGAAAUGUGCGAUGUGUUGCUUGGGGUUACCUUUGCCAUCGAAUUGUUGAAAUUUGGGAGGUUAGUAACUAGUGGCGUAGCCAGAAACCACAAGUAGAAUGGUCAAAAAUUUAAAUAAUAAUGUCACAUAAAAUAAAAAUAUAAUUUUAUGAAUAAUAUAAAAAAUUAUAAAUCAUUAGAAUACUUCGAAAACAAAAUAACAAAUCUCAAUCACAAUAAUUACAAGUAGAAUCUUCUAAAACAUCCAUAGUUGCAAGUUUUUGAUUAUGAAAGAUGUCAACGACAUGAAAAAAAAUAUUGAAGGACAACAAAAAGGAAUACGCAAAACUGCUUAUAGAGGUAUAGGAGAAAUCAAUCACAAUAAUUUCUUUAUUACAUAUUAAUUUAAAAGACAAAAAACUAGGAUUCUGUUUUAAUUGAUUAGGAUUAGGAAUGUUUAGUAAAAAAUAAAGAGACUCACACGUGAUAGGAGUUUUUUUUCCUUGACAAACACGCGUGAUAGGAGUUGAACACUACUAAUUGCUGUAAUUAAUAUUUUUUGUCAAACUCUUUCUCUUAUUGGUUAGAUUUUAGAAGGGUCAAAUUUAAUCCAGCAUCACAUAUCCAUAAAAAAAAUUGACCAAUCAGAUAACACUAUAACCUAAUCUAAAAUCUGAGGGGCGUCAGCUGACUUCCCUCGUCCCCCCUUAGCUACGCCACUGUUAGUAACCAGUUGGCAUCCUUAAAUUGUCUAGCCGUUUGGCUUGGAAUACGUCAGUGUGUCUCGAGAUGAACCACCAUAUUAAGCUUUGAUUGUGUUGACAAUCAUGUCUUGAAGUUGUUGAACUGACAAUGAAGCUAGGAUGAAAUUUGAUUCUCCUUUUUGCUCGGAAGAUGAUCCACCAGACGUGUCUUUCUUAUCGCCAUGCAAGUUAUUCUCCGAGUCAUUGUCAUGGUGAACUUCUAGCUUCUCCAUGAGCGAUGCAAUUUCUACAUUCUUCUGUUUAAUGGUUUUUUGAAGCUUCUUCACUGCUUCAGUCAACUAGGCUAUUUGGGCCGCUUGUUCUUCCACGUUGGUCGCUCCUAUCACCAUGGCUUGUAUGGUGUAAGAGUCAUCUUCUAGAAUCGCUUCAAUUUGAUUGUCAAGAGGCAAUUCCAAGUGUGGACCUAUCUUUGAAUCAACUUCAGCUGUGGGUGAAGAAGAAUGUUUCCUCGAGUUGCUUGACGAUGUUGAACGUCUUUACUUCAUGAGGUUUGCCCCAUUGUUGUCCAAGCUUCAAUCGGCUGAAAAUGAUUUGAGGAAUGAAUGUCGAAUGUUGUGAGUUGAAAUGACUCACAAUGAGCAGCAUGACCGCUAAGGUUUCUACAGCUUUUCAAAGUAGCUACCUUGUUGGUCUUGUUUUUCGAUUUGAUUUGCACCAUCUUUGAAGCCAUAUGAUGAGGAUGGUGAUAUUUUCGGAGAAUAAGAUGAGAGGCAGAGAUUGUCCACUGGGCGUGCCAAUUUUGUAAACACGAAAAUUCCUGUAACAAAUGUUCUUUUACAAGAAUUUCCUCUUAUUCGAACUUCGACGUCGAUUUGAUCCAAAGGUGACGAGCACUUGAUCUUGAAUCGAAUGGUUUUAGUUUGGACUUCUUGUCAUGUUGAUGAUUUGUAGAAGUUGAUUGACCAAGGGCCGUAGAGGCUUGUUCUUGAUCGAACUUAGGCCACGAGCGGUUUCACGUGGUGAACGUUCUUCGGCUUUGAUGGCGGAUGAAUCGGCACGUGUGUUUAGUGCUUGUUGAUUCUCUACGAGCUUGUUGAAAAACUUGGUAGAAGUUUUGAUUUGUUGAAGACUUGAAGACAAGGGUUGAUGAAGGGCUGCUGAGGCUUGAUGUUGAUCGACUUUGGGCACGAGCGGUUUCACGCGGUGAUUUGUUCUUCGUCUUGAGGUUGAUGAAGAAUCGGCUAUUUGGCAGCUUGAUGAUUCUUCAAGGGUUUUGGGAGGCUUCUAAGCUCUCAGGAGUAAUUUUUCUCUCUUGUCCGGAAGUCCUCCUCUUGAUGUGAGAGAGGGUAUUUAUAUUAUCAAUGCUUAUCCGUAUAUGGAAUGCGUUGAAGUCACCGUUUUAAUUUUGUUUCCUUAACGGUAUAAUUAAAUCAAUCAGUCUUGAUUGAUUGAUCUAAUUAUAAUUAUUAACAUAAUUAAAUCAAUUGAUAUUUAUUGAUUGAUUCGAUUAUGACUAAUAAGGUAUUUUGCCGAUUUGAUUAAAUGCCCGACUUAAUUUCCGAUAAUCAAUUUAAUUUAAUUGAAAUCUGAUUACCGAUUGACAUUUAAUAUCUGUUUUUGGUCAUGAUUGAUGAUUUUUGUUGUCGACCGACCAUUCACACGUCGCCACGUGUCAUUUUUGAAGACUUUUCAACUUUACCGACUUACGAGCUACGUAUGUAAUUUAUCAAGUCCAUACACCGUAUAAAUAAUUUAAUAAUUAUUAUUCUAUUUUAUCCGUGUCUACGGCUAGAAAUUCACUCAUCUCAUAAUUCUCGUGUGUUUCCACUUUCCAGACCAUCACAUCAUGUCGGCUUUCUAGAUGAUUCAUUUUCCCACUUCCAAUUUUAGGUGCAUGGUGAUAAUAGCAAUAGGGGAGGCAUAUAUGAUGAUAAGGUUCAAUAUAUUAUUUGCUUUUCAGGUUUGAGCUGUUUUCCAUGUGUACCAUAUCUGGGAUCAAAAUCAUCAAAUAAUUGCAUGCAUUAGAAAUAGGUCCCCAGCCUUUAACCCCAAGUUAUUAAUUUUUUUUUUAAUAUUGUCAACCAAUUCUUUUUGUUAGUAUAUCCAGUACUAUCCGCUAUACUCGACUAUUAUAUGAACAGAUCCAGGUAAUUUAGAUUAAAUAAAAGUCGCAAGAUUGAGCAAAUAAUAAUCGGGUAAACUAGUGAAGAAAAUUGUCAUGAUACUAAAGUAGAGGAAAACAAAAACCUAAAACUCAUAAUUAAUUCAUAAAACUGACUAACUAACUUGCCGAUGAGCGGGAGAAAAAAAAAAAAAAAAGGUACUCUCAUGUCACAAAAACAAUCGAUGUUCACACGAACACUAUACAACUUGGUCCAAGACAAGCUAGACAUGCACAACAGUUGGAUGAUUUACAAAACCUCGAUCAUCAGAGUUGAGACAAGGACAUCAAUUCUUGUUCAUCCUCACUGAUCAUUUCACGAUGAUCUCCAUCUCUUGUGGCAUUGCUUGACCUUUGAUCUGGUAUUGCACUUGGAUCAAUGAAGGAGCAUUGCCUACUCCUAAUCUGGCUGGGAAGUGCUCUUUGAUCAAUGAACGAGUUUUGCCUACUUUUCGGGUGGUAAGCCGGGAUUCUUCUUCCUUUGGAAUCGUAGAUCAUAGCAGCAUCGUCAUCUUCAUCUGGCACUCUAUUUUUCUCUCCUAAUAUGAUCGUCUUCAUCCAAAUCGAUUCUUCCUGUUUCGUCAUUGACGCCAUGGACGUCACUGACGACAUUGACAACUUUCUCCCGUUGUUCUUUCGUUUAUUAAAGUUAGCCUCGUCCUUACUUUUCUCUCCUCUUCUCGCCAUCGACAAGCUUCUCGGUAGCUUGAGGCUCAAACUCGACAGCAAUCGUCUAUCCGAAGCCGAUUUCUUCAUCUGAGACGUCGUCGUAUUGGCAUUGCUUGCAUUCCAAGAAUUAACCGCCUGCGCUCCUAUCCCUGACGUCUUCAUUCCUGGUGGAAGCGGGAGUUCUUUGUUUUUUAAAUCAUCUCCAUCUUCAUCUUCCUGAAUAUCUUCUGUUUCGGGUUCUUGGGGCGCUAUUGUCUCGUUCGACAUUGCUGCUGCUGGUUCUUCUCUUGUUUUCACAUCAGCCACACCCUCCUCUUUCGUUUUUAACACGUCCGGAGAUUGUAGAAUAUCCUCAUGAUUAACAUUACGCUGCGCUUUUCGUCUAAAACUACAAAGAGCUGUGAUCAUGGCAAAGGUGGCUGCAGCCAUGCCAGCAGCAAAGAGUGAGAAUGAAAGCACCGGAGGAAUCAGCAAGUCGUUUUCAUCCGUGGGAAUGGUUCUUCCCAUGAGUAUUCAAACAUCAAAACCAAUAUUGGCCGGGGAAGUUGAACCUGUAAACAUUCAUUGUUAAAGCUUGUGAUCCAUUCAUUGGUGGUUUUGAUGUGUUGCCUAGCUUUGUGAUUUUGUUUCAGAUCCCCUAGCUUGGUUCUUCGAUUUUUGGAUCGAGGUUUUGAAAUUCAAAAGGGGUUCCCCUAGCUAGCUUCCCUUCUACAAUGUUGGGUUUGAUGCUUGUUUUCCUCGAAGAAGAGAGAGAACCAGGGCAAUUGGAAUUUGGAAAUGAAGUCAUUCGUAGCAUCAUCCGAAACAGAAUGCUUGAGUUUAGGAAAUGGGAGGAAAGAAACAGCUGUGACCAGUCCUACUUUAGGUUAAUCUGGUUGUUAAUUAAGGUAGUUAUGUUAAGGUGUUACCCAAUGUUAUAUGAGUGAUACACCAUCAAAAUAGAUGGUGGCAGCAAGCAGUGCUAAAUGAGUAAUGAAUAUCAAUUUGACAUAACCGUUUAACAUAUAUGGUGUAAUGUCAAUAUGUAAUGAAUAUCAACUCCUUUUUUUGUUUUGUUUUUUUCAAUGAAUAUCAACUCCCUAAAGUUAAUAUAACAAAAUAUGUCAUCAAAGUCAUUAUGGUGUGGUCGAAAUAAAUACAUAUUUGUUCAAUUUUAAUUCAGUUGCUUUAUCUUGUGAUUAUUAUCGUUAUAUAUCAGGACAACUCAUGAAUGUGUUCAUAUUUUCACAUUCGAUUAUGAAAAUAAAGAAAAGAUGAUGUGAAAUAUAAACCGCAUAGAUAAAAGUUUACAUUUUAUUUGUCGUAUCUUUAUAAACUCACUUGAAAAGUACAAAUGUCAUACCUAAAGGCUAAAGCCUUUGUACAUAAUCUAUAACAAGGCCAAACAAGCAUAAAGAUUCGCUUGGACCAUUAUGAAUUUUGAUACUAAUAAUACAUAUAAUCCAAAUAGAUUCCGUAUGAAAUAGCCAGGAUAGUGGUGGAUUAAACUUAUUUUGGUUUCAAUUAUUGUCCACUAAGUAAACGUUUCAUCAUAAUAUUAAAUUAGUACAUUACAAAAGUAGUCUUGUGCACGUCAAACCUUCCCAGAGCCUAUACUCCUAUACACUAAUCUGUCCAUUUUGUUUGAUCUGGAAGCGAUAAAAUAAAACAAAGAGAUUACACUAUUUCAAUUUAAAGAUUAACUCUUUUUUAUUCACAUAAUCUGAUAUAGCCGACAAAAGGAAUGGCUCCCAUGGGCCUUGCUUGCUUCACUCUGUGGAGUGUGGAUAUAAAAAUCGAUCACCUUCACGGUUCUGAUUGCUCUUCAGUUUUUAUACACCAAAUUAAGAUCGACCCAGUUGGCCUUAUAAAGAUCCAAUCUUUUACUUCCUCUCUUCCUAUCUCUCUGAGUCUGCAAAAAGCUUUGGGAUUUAGCUGUUAGAGUAAGAUAGAAUCUGCAUAUUACAUAAGAUAACAACUAGCCUUUUUUUUUUUUUUUUUUUUUUUCCUUGUAUUGGUCUUGUUUGGUUCUACUCUUUAUCAAAAAGAGUUUGGGAUUGACAACAAAACAACUGUGAAUGGAAGAGAGCAGCAAGUUCAAGAGGAUUUGUGUGUUUUGUGGAAGCAACUCUGGCAACAAACAAGUCUUCAGUGAUGCUGCUCUUGAAUUGGGCAAUGAACUGGUUUGUUUGUCUGUUUGUUGUCUUAUAGUUUUUAAAUCGUUAUUUUAUUGCUAUAUAUCGUUUAAAUAUGUAAUCUUGGCUUGGAUGAUUAUGAAUUCGUAUUGAAGAUUCCAUAUUCAUAAAGAACUGUUGUUUUCUGGGAGUUUUGGUGCUUUGGAUAAUGUUAUGGGGUUGUUCUGGUUUCUACUUUUGAUUGCUUCAAACACGCUCAUCUUGGUUUUUCUUGUGCUAAAUUUAGAGUUGUUGAUUGGUUAUGUAAUGUCUUGAACCGGGUUUUGUUCUGUUGGGAACUGGCCACUUGGGCUGUGAUUUAAGAUCAUGAGCAUUGUUGACUUCCUUUUGACAGUAUAUUACUUCAUGCAAAUCCAUCAAAAAGGCAUGGAAUCAGUGUUCAAUGCAAUAAACAGGAGUAUUAUGCGGUUUCGUCUCCUAUGCUUAAUUUUCACUUUAAAAAGAUGAUGUAGCAGUUACUUAUCCACUUUGUUGGUGUGUAUUUCAGGUGAAAAGGAAGAUAGAUUUGGUGUAUGGUGGAGGGAAUGUUGGGUUGAUGGGUUUAGUAUCCCAGACGGUGUUUGAUGGAGGCUGCCAUGUUCUUGGGUAUUUCUUACAAAACAUUUACCGUUGUGAUUCAUUGUAUUUGUGUCUCUGAGUGAUAAUUUGUUGAUCACAAGUUAUUUUUGCUCUUUACAUGCAGGGUCAUUCCAAGAGCUCUCGUGCCUCGAGAGGUAAUGGUUGUAGAUUAAAUUGUUCUUAUCUUGAUUUGAUGCUGCUUUUCCUGUUUUCAAAUAUCUAGAAUCUUGUUAGGCUUACAAUUACUCUUAAGAAGCAGACUUUAUAAGAUUAAACAUAUCGGAUGAUUUCUAACAUCCCUUAACAUGCUUGAUGUCAUGCGCUGAGUGAUUUUCUCACGUCUUUAAAAUUUAUCAAUGUAGCUUAGGGGGUUUGGGGAGAUAUUUGCAGUUUUUUGUACUACCAGUUUUACCACACUUUUCAAAGUUGAGUUCAGUUGAGUAUCACAGACUUUUGUGGACAAAUUUGACAGAUAUCUGGUGAAACUGUUGGAGAAGUAAGAAUAGUUAGAGACAUGCAUGAGCGGAAAGCUUCUAUGGCUGAGGAAUCUGAUGCCUUUAUUGCUCUUCCUGGUAAUUACACGAAUUAUCCCUAAAAUUUCAGAACCACAGCAUUCCUCCAGUAUACUGUAGCUAUGUAAAUAGUUCUUAAGCAUGUGAACUGGAUACUUACUGCAUUAUUGCGUUUGGUUUUAGGAGGAUAUGGAACGCUGGAAGAGACACUGGAGAUGAUAACAUGGGCCCAACUUGGGAUUCAUAAAAAGCCGGUACCAAUUUUUACCACCGGGAACUAUAUUGUCUGCUUCCUAUUAAUGGGAUUUGUAACUUGAUAUUACACUCUUUACAGGUUGGUUUGCUAAAUGUAGACGGGUACUAUGACUGCUUGCUUUCACUAUUUGACAAUGGUGUUGAUGAAGGAUUCAUCAAGCCAGCUGCUCGUGAUAUAGUUGUCUAUGCUCCAACCGCCAAAGAACUUAUGAUCAAGAUGGAGGUAUAGUACUAAACUAACUUCCUUGCAGUUCAUUAAAAGGUUACAUGUUUUUUUUAGUGAUUAAGUUUUUCUGGACAUAUUAAAGCCUUAACAAAUCCACAAUUUGUUUACUUUUGCAGCAAUACACUCCUUCCCAUCAAGCUAUUGCUUCUCAUGAAAGCUGGAAAAAGGCACAACGAGAACUAGCUUCAAGCGAUGAGGGGCCAUCACUUCCAUGGUGAAAUAGUUAUUGGAAUAUUGGUGUAGGCACCAAAAUUGUUUCCUGAUUUGAGUUGUUGGAAGAAUGUAUUUAUAUGGGACCAGACCCUUUAUUUCAGUGUACUCUUCAAUUCCUUGUAAUUUGACUUCAACUGAAUCCGUCCAGUCUUUAAUAGCAUAUUUCAUUUAAGAUCGACAAAAACACUAUUUGAUUGUCAUAUUUCAUUAUUUUCAUAUUUUGUUGGUAUGGAUGAGAAGUAGACAACAUAGUCGUAGUAUUGAACAUAGGCAUCCCAUGAAUGAUGGCAUGAGCAACUUCUAAUCAGUCACCAUUGUGCUAAAAGGUUUUCGAAAGACCUUCUAAAUGUUCUUCACAAAGCUCAAAGCAGCUAGUGUGUCCUGACUCCUUUCCAAAAGAGUUUGGGAGCAUUGUAAUUCCCCCUCACUGUUCUUCUCAAAGUUCAGCUGAAGAGUGGAAUAGUAAUGCUAACAUUGUUUGUCCUAGUCCCAAGACAGCUGAUUGUAUUUCCUUCCAUUGUUCUUCAACAUUCUUCUUUUCCAUUUCAGUUCCUUUGACACCUUCGAGUUUGAGCCUACCUUUCGCUGAACUCCAAACGGGCAUCUCUAGAAAGUAGAAAAAGUGUUCAUUAAAGUUUCAGGAUCAUCUUCUGGUUACUCCACCUUAUCCAAUGAGUUAACCCGGAUUCAAGUAUCAGAUAAGUGCACUUGUAAUCUACGUACUAAAGAGAAUCUUAGGCAACCAUCGAGAGUAUAUUCCUACUGCUAGUUCUACCGACUCUUGAUAGUGUUCUUUUCUGUGAUGUACAAAAUAAUUUCAAGACAAAAUCAAACAGCUUUUGGUAGAAGGCUAUUUCAUUCUGGCUCCCCAUGCCCUCCCCUUGUGUUUGGCCACCUAAAUAUCAUUCUGGAUUCUAGUGUUUUGUUAAAGAUUGCUUCCUUUUCGACAAGGAGGAAACGAAAGCAAUUAGCUACUGGCACUGUUUUUGUAACUUGUUCUUAAAGUGAAAGGCACAGUACUAUACCAAACUCUAGUUCAUAAUAUUGGCUGGGGUACCAAACACAUGCAUUUCUCAGAAGGUAGCCUACUGAUUAGUUAUUUCUUUUUCUACAAAAAGGGAAGUGCUGGUGCGUGACAUAAUACUUCUGCUCUAACUCAGCACAAGAAGCUGCCCCCAUCCUGGUUGCUUUAGGAUUUUGCAAAAUGGGUCUCUCAGUAGUGGUUGCUCAAGACUCAAGAACAAUGGUGGACCUCAUGGUGUAGGGGCUAAGCUCAAAGUGGAAGUUAGUUCUGUGGAGUAGUGGGGUGGGUGAGCCAGGCAUCCCAUAAUGUAGAUGUAUCUAAACUGUUCACUUGUGUCUUUCAAGGUCCCUCCAUAACUAUUUCAUCACUAAAUUCUCGCAGACCUUGUUUUUGGCAUCAUUCUGCUGCCUAUCAGAAACGUUAAAUGCUGAAAGAUUGAGAAGGAUUAUCCUAAAGUACAAUAACUUGAGCAUUGUUUAAAUUCGUCCACGGUGGACAGUUAGUGGGUAUCAAAACCUCGAAACUGUCUUGUGGAGAAGGUAAACACAGUGAACAGAGUUUAAAGAUGAACAAGACUACGCGGUGAUGACUGUGUUUCUGUAAACAGAAAGCAAUUUUCAGUGAAGGGUUACCUGCACAUUUUCAGUUCUCAAAGAUGAUGUUGGGAUGAGGGUCCUCAUCAGCACUCUAAUUAUUCAGCAUAUUACUGUCAGAGGAUCAAAGACGAGCAAUUUGUUCUCGCUCUACUGAGAAAUUUAGACUUGAUUAAGAAUACAUUGCAACACUUUAAAGAGGAGAAACCAUCACUCACGAAAUGAAUAGUAAGUAAGAGUGAGUUAUUAAACAGUUUCAGAUAUGAAUAUGUUAACACAUUGCGGUGUGGAAAUUUUUUCCAGGAAAGGAAUGAUGUCAAAAAUGUCAUGCCCUCCGUUAAAAAUAGUGAGCAAACUCUAUCUACUAUACACCAGCUUUGCCCAACCAAAAUGAUCUGCUUUUUCAUGGUACAUUCGUGUCUAUCAAUGUAAGAACUUUUAUGCAUAUACAAGAAUCUUCCUGCUGUCAUCAGAUCAAGCCUUCUCUUUAGAAGACGCAGGCAUCAAAUGAUGCAAAGUUGAUGCCUGGAUAAUAGUGCUAGGGUUGGAGUCCCUACCACGGGUGGAUCCAGAUUUUCUAACGUUGAAGCUCUUGUCAACAUGUCGUAUAGACCGAGGAAGGUAAGGCACCAACCGUGUUGAGCUCACAAGUAGAAUCACCCCAACAAUUAUAAAUGCCCUGCAGCAAAAAUAGUUUAGGAUCAACAAUCUUAAUGCUAGCAUCCAAAAUCAAACUUGUAUUACUCAUUUCAUCUUAAUGACAACAGAUGAACCAUGCUUAAGUGAGGCCUAAAUUGGCAUAUACACCAUCUGUCAACUAUUUGGUUUAGUAUGGAAUCGAAAAAACUAUUUGGUUCAAGAACAUCCUUAGGCCCAAACUAAAUAAAUUAGGAAGGUAUAGUUAUUAGAAACAAUGUACAAAUUAAAAAUUAGUGUCUGAAUUUACCAUCCAAGCAGUAGUGUAAGACGAGCUGUGGGCGCUGAAGGCAAUCUUUCACCCAAAGCAAGCAUACCAGCAAGAACACCAGUAACAAUUGAUGCCACAGCAGCACAUGUAGAGACUACAAUCGCCCUCCCAUGCUUUAAACCCCAAGUCUGUUCAAAAUAACUCAUCAUCAUCAACAACAAUAACACCUUAUGCCAAAAAUAUAAUAAAAUUUAUAAGAAGAAAUGCAUUUUCAUGUGGCUGAGACCUUCUAUUCACAUGUACAUAUGGAGAUGAAUCUCUCAGUCUAGUCAAGUGUUUUACAUACCUGGUAAUAGAACCCAGUACCGCUACAACAUAUGCUGAUUAUCAAGCAUAUAGGAACUAAUAUGCUGGGGAAACCCUGCUCCAAGAACACAAAGCCCAUCUUUGAUAUUACAGAUGCCAUUCUGCAAUUAGACAUGUAAUAAUUAAUGUAUGAUUUUAAGCAUGAUUUACAAUCUACAUGAGUUUACCAAUAGAUGUCUUUGUAUCCUGUAAUUGAUCUUUCCGAAUCAAAAAAGUAUUUGGCUCAGGCAUGAGAAAAUUUGAUUAUAGUAUGUGAAACAAUGAUUAUAGAUAUAACUAGUCCAAUUUGCCACCAACAAAUCUAUGAGGCUAAAACUUUGUCGUAACAUCGGGCGCUACUGUACAUAAAAGUCGUCUUUUCAUACUAACAAUACACAUGAAAUGACAUGCACUAGCGCACACACAACAUUAAUUCCUGCAAUCUGUCAAACUCAACAAAGUGCUAUGACCGUGUUGACAUGGGGCGGAAUAUUGCAUCUCAACUAGUGUGCAGACAGAAGAAUAAUAUGUUCUACUUUCCCUCCUAAUUUGAAUUGUGAGAGGUAAGACUUUAUCUGACAAGGAACAGUGUCACCAACAAAACCGACAAAAAUAGUGCAGGAGGGAUUCAUACCCGAACAAAAUGCCAGAUUCCAAGCCAUAUAUAAUUUCUUCAACAACUUCAUAUUCCAUCUGUACCACAAACAGAUGUCAGGAAAGGGCGGAUAAAACCAUCCCCAAACACUGUAAAUAGCUGAAAAGCGUAAAUCAACCUACCAGCUCCUGUUCUUUUCGUUGACGUCUGUAGAUUCGUAACCAACCAUUAAGGAGUACCUAUAUCAAAGGAUAUUGCAGGCUUAGAAUCAUUAGAUAAAUUAUCGGAUUGUAAAUGGAUCCAGCAGCAUUAAAUUUAUAUACUUGCUUCGGUAACAAAAAAAGCCUAGCAAGUAUCAGAUGAUCCAUGGGACAAGGUACCUACAAACAAGAUGGCGACCACAAUUGCCAACCAUGGUAGAUGGAAGACAGAUAUAGCAGAAGCCUUUUGCUCUUCACCUCCAGCACCAACUCCUGCAAAUAAAAUCUUAUACUACUCUAAACAAUACUUUGAAUAAAACACACAAAUCAAAAGCUGAUAAGGUAACAGUUCUGUACGAUUUAACUUUCAUACAUAGAUACCUUACAGUUCAGUAACAGAAAUUAGCAACAUUGGUAAUCCACAAACUGAACAAAGAGAAUCAUGCAGAACUUACAUUACCUAUAGUGCCAAUGCCUGCUAAGGUAAUCCCCAUCCAGUCAACAGCAUUCAUGAUUUCCUUCAGAUAAAAAUGGGAAAAUAUCGAAAGGAUAGCAAGUCCACACCCAGAAACUGGUUGGAUGACAGAUACCUGAAAGUACACCAUCAAGAUUCUCAGCACACAUAAAACUGGACAAGAUCAAACACCAACUAGACGAAUAAGCAUCUUAGCUUGACCCGACCAGAUUCUGACCCAGAGCCACAUUGACCAAUACAAGUUCAAAUUCAGGUUCUUUUCAACAUGCAUUUCAAUUAAACUGUACUUCAGCAUAUAUCAUAAAUCUCAACUAGACCAAGAAUAUGAAUCAAUGCACAAACUGAACGUUAAGCAAAAUGUAAAGAAAAUAACAAACAAAUAGAGCUUGGAGCUGAAACACUUACAGGAGCAAGAGACAAUGCUCUCAACAUGAGCAAGGCUCCAAAUAUAUCCAUCAGAAAUCCUAUCAACCAAGCUUUGUUCAAGGCAUACGCCCUUAUCACCUACAACAAACACAGACCCAAUUAGCAAUCCUUUCAAAUCUUCAUCAUGCAACACCAACAUUUGCUUGCAACAAAAUCAGAAACCCAAUUGGCAACUCAUCCUGAAUCCAAUUCCAUAAACCCAAAACACAUUCUUGGCAAUCAAUACCAAUCAUAACACAUGCAAUGAAGAAAGGGGCAAAAUGGGUAAAGAGAAGAGUGCCUUGAGCUUCAAAGAGAGAGGGGGAAGAAUGACGGUGCCCUUCUUCUGAAGAAUUUUGCCGAUGUUGUUUCCGGCCGUCGCCGCCAACGUCAGAAAGAUCGACUCCCACAUCGCUUCUCCAAAUAAAAAUCGAAUCUUGAUUAUUGGGGUAUGAGAAAAAAGAAGAAAGACUGUGCCUUUGCCCUUUGGGGUGUCUGUGAGCUUUGGUUUUCUGCUGUCUCACGCUACCAUUUUUGGUUUUGGUUUUUGGGUUUACGUUGAAAAAGAUGGGAUUUUUAUAUUAACUUUUAAUGGGAUAUUAACAGCAAAACAGGUCUGGCAAUUAGCCAAACGCCAACAAUGUGGAUGCUCCAGAGAGCGAGAGAGCGAGAUUGAUACAUCAUCUCCGUCGAUGAGUUGUGAUAUGUUGGUUGUUUAAGUUGUCAUCACACCGUAAUUGUUUAAAUUUCAUAAACAUCAUAAAAUAAACUGGAUGAAAAUAAAAAUGAUUAGUUGUACACUUCCGUUUCUUGGUUUUUGAAGCAUGCAUUUUACUUUUGUUACAAAGUAUGUUCUUUACAAUUUUUGAUAUAUAAGUAAUGCUUUAUGCUCAAGUAGAUCCAUAGAUCUAGGUGAAGUACAACAAAUUGGCAUUAAGGAAUUUGAGGUCCAUAGAUCUACCAAAUAGUACAUAAAAUAGAGCUCAACUAGAGAUUUGGCCCUAGUAGCUAGUUAAUUACUGCACUUUCUUGCCAUCACUUUUCAUGUGUCUCUUUUUGGUUUUUUGUGUGUCUAUGAACUAUGAAGCAAUUUGUGGCUUGAUAUUUGGUACAGUUGCAGCUCUUGAGGUUAUUAGAUCUGACAAGGAUUGACCAACUAACAAGACACGAAUCUCUCAACCUGCAUUUAUAUAAAGUGAGAAUGUCAAUGUCAGUAACUAUGAGGAUCUUGAAAGGUGCAAAAUAACUCGCAAAAUUUUGAUUUAUUAGUUAACCAGUACUAAUAACUAGCUAGAAACCAAAGUAGGUGAUUGAUUUGACACUUGAACUACAUUUGACAACUUUGUUUAAAACUCAGAAGAGGUUGAUUUCCAAUUUGGUUUACUGUGAAUUGUGUGUAAAUGAAGAGUUAUGUAAUGAGGUUUGUUAACUUUUUGUGAUUAGACUCAUAGUUCAUACCUAGUCAUGCCUGUUGUUUUCUGAGUUUGAGAAUGUAUUGGUGUGCUUCAUCUUUCUUCUGAUCUAUCAAUGUCAUUUUCUUCUUCAGUGAUUCCAUAUCCCUUUCAAUAGUCACCAGUUCUCUCUGAACGUCACUGAGUUUUAGCCCAAGACCAAGAGCCAGCUGGGUUUUCCUUGAUUCCUCUAUAUUCUUACUGGCAAGCUGCUUAAUCAAUUGUGACAGAAAAUUAGUUACACACCAGAAAGGCAGAGAAACCAGAAAAACUUGUGCUACAAAUUAAUGUCUGUGUCCUAUUUGAUGAGUUACCUUUAUUUGGUCCUGUAAUUUAUUUUUUGUUACCAAACAAGUCCAAGUCUUUCCCUUCACAGGAGUAGGAUUAGCAUCUGCACUUCUAUUGAAAGCAAGUAGUGUUUUAUCUGCUUUCUUUUGCAAUAGUGGCAAUCCUACUCCACAUGUUUCUAUUCUCCACUCGAGUUCUCUGAUUUCUCCUUCGCGGUCUUUGAUAUCUCCUUUGCUGAUUAGGAAUGGCAUCUGGUGUUGCAACCACCAAGUCUGUUUCAAAGAAUGCAAAUCAAUGCGGACUAUCCCAUUCCCAUACCUUCUGUAUCUGAUAAUCUGCUUCAACAGUCAGAAAAGCCAAAUCCAGAGAAUUAGAAGAAUAUAAGGUAACUGGUGCUUGAUUAUUCAACUUUUUUUUUUUUACUUAAUCUUACAUUUUCAGACGCAUUUGUCAAAUCGUCUUCCCAUUGAGUCCAAAAUGAAGCAAAACCAUCCUCCGCUUCAUUCUGGCUCACUUUCAUCUCUUUCAGAAGCCUCUUUUCCUUAACCAAACUCUUGCUUCCAUGUUCCAUCCGGAAAUGCAAGUUCUGCAUCAAAUUUCAUAAAUAAAUGUUUGCAUUGUUACAUGCAUACAUUGUCCAUGACUAUACAUGUAUAAUUUGAUUAAUUUCUGAUCCUUACAUGUUUACUCAUCUCUUGUGCAGACAAGCAUGACUUGAUCGGUUUCUUUUGGUAAGUGUUGUCUGCGAAACGAAGCUUAUGUGGAAGUAGUUGCAGUAGAUCCAUCUUCCUCCUUUGAUGAAUCACAGAAUGUACGAGUUCUUCUUUACGACAAUUGAGGUCUACCAACCGAGACAGCAAACAUCGAUGAUCAAACUAUAUGCGCACAGGAAAGGUUAGUUUGAUCAUUGAAGUUGUCACUAGAUAGCUAGCACAUACAUACAAUCAUAUAAACAUACAGCUAUAACCUGUUUAACAUACCAUCAUCUGCCCUAGUGAAUCAGUGAGCUGAAGUUUUUCUCCACCUAUCAUUGCAAUCAAUUUCUCAGCCUCUUCAAUUUCGGCUUUUAUACUUGUUUCCAAUUCCAGCUCCAUAUAGUGUUUGCUUUGGGCCUUUGGCUGAUGGAACACAACAAAAGUUCUGGGUUUUAGUCUUUUAGUAACUAGAUAGAGCUUCUAAUUCACCUUACCUCAACAAAGCAGAGACUAUAAACGUGAAAUAACAUAGUAGACAAUAAUCUUUUAUCAGAAAAAAGAACAACAUUGUAGAUAAUAAUCAAUAAAAUCAAUGUGAUAAAGCGGUUCAUGAAUAUACCUGAAGUGAUUCAAACUGUUUGAUUGGGAAUAAUUUGCUGUGUAUUGCAUGAAGUGAUGAAGGGGUACAAGUCUUCGUAUUUUUAUAAGCAAGAGCCUCUUGCACCCCACGCAAAGAGUAGGUUUAGGUCAACUCUAUAACCUUCUAAAGUUUUAACUAAUUAGUAUCAUAAUCAUCAAGCCAAAACCUUGUCAAAGGAUUCUUCAUGAUCGAUUCAAAGCUCAGCAAAUGGAGAUGGCGUGUGAUUGAUGUCCACCAUUCGAAAAUGGAAAAUAAAAAUAAAAUAUCAGUAUGGCUAUUGCUUGUAUCAGUUGUAUGCGCAAUUGUUCAUUACGCUUUGGUUGGAGUCGGACCUUGUAUAUGUGAUCUUCAUGGCCAUUCUGUUUCUUAUUUUCUGUUCUCUUAAGACGAUUCGUUCUUCUUGAUAAACAAACAAGAUAAAAAUCUUAAGAUAAAGUCCUCAAUCCGAAAAUUUAUCAACUUGAUGUAAGCUCUUGCUUACUGGGCAACUGUUUAAUCAUUUGUCUACAUCAUUUGACACUGGAAUUAGAAACAUAUAUAAACUGUUGAGAUAUCAAUCUCACAUCGGGAAUAUGAGACAUUGUUUGUGGGUUUAUAAGGAUUUGGGACACUCUACCCAUUACCUAUUAGAUUUAGAUGUGAACCACAUACUAAUGAGACUACUUUAUCAUAAACGCACAGAUAGCACUAGUGGUAUUUCAUUCACAAUGAUAGAUGAAGCUAGUCACAAUAAGUUUGGGUUUAUUAUUCAUCCAACCUACUACAACAGAGGCUCAAAUAUAUAUGGGAAAGAAAAAUAGUACAAGAAGAUGAACAUGGUACUGUACUUAUAUGUACAUGUACCUGAAUUAGAGAAUUGCUAGCUAGCAUUUUUGAUGAAAUAUUGAGCAUCAAAAAUAUAAUUCAAUGUUUAAGUAUUUGCUGAGAUGAGAUUGAGUAUUUGGUGAAUGGGUGUUGUAAUGAAGUUUAUUUUGUGAUCAACGAGUUGUGUUCAUUGUACUGUGCCAAUUGCCUCAUGCCUCACAGCUAGUCUUGUUGUUUUGUGAAGAGUUCCAGAAUGCAUUGGUGUGCUUCACUUUUCCUCUGAUCUAGUCCCGGCAAUUUCUUCCUCAGUGAUGCCAUCUCCUUUUCCACACCCACCAAGUUUCUCUGAGCUUUACAACUUUUUGGCCCAAGGCCGAGAGCCAAUAGGGUUUUCCUUGAUUCCUCUAUUUUCUUACCAGAAAGCUGCAAUAUGGCAGAAUAAUAGUUACAUUACCAAAGACCAAAAAUAAAAGAAGAAAAACAAAAAUUAAGCUACAAAUUUUGUAUCUUAAUUCAUGAGUUACCUUAAUUUGUUCUUGUAAGGCCUUUUUUGAAACCAAAGAAGUCCUAGUCUUUCCCCUCACGAGAGUAGGACUAGCAUUUGCAUUUGUAUCAUCAGCAAUUGGUGUUUUAUCUGCUUUCUUUAGCAGUACAACUCCACAUCUUUCUAUUCUGCAUUUAAGAUCUCUGAUUUCUCCUUCGCGGUCUUUAGUAUCUCCCUUGCUGAUCAGAAAUGGCAUUCGGUGUUGUAACCACCACAUCUGUUCAUCACGAGCAAUAUUCCACCACCAAUUAGGGUACCUACUGUGCCUUGUAUAUAUGUUCCCAAUCUGUUUCAACUGUCAAACAAACAAAAUCGAAAGAAUAAGUUCAUGAAGCAUAUUUAAGUAACUGGUCAGUAUGUACUGACUUUAAGCAGUGAUUUAUCUUUAAUUUUCAAUCUUACAUGUUUAGUAACAUAUGCAAGAUCUGCUUCACAUUGAGUACAAAAUGAAGCAAAACUGUCAUCCUCCUCCUGCAGCUUCUGGCUCCCUUUAAUCUCUUUCAGAAGCCGCUUUUCACUAGCCAAACUCUUGCUUUCAUGUACCAUCCGAAAACGCAAGUUCUGCGCCCAUCAAUUCUUACAUUCUGACAUGCAUACAUUGUACAUGUGUUUAUGAUUAUAUAACAAAGAAGUGAUUCUUACAUGUUUCUUAAUCUCUUGUGCUGACAAGCAUGCCUCAAUUGGUUUCUUUUGGUAACCAUUAUCUGUGAAACGAAGCUUAUGUAGAAGUAGUUCCAGAAGAUCUAUUUUCUUCCUUUCAAGGAUCACAGAAUGUGCGAGUUCCUCUUUACGCCAAUUCAGAUAUAGUAAACCACCCCUAUCAAGCUAUUGACAGGAAAGUUAAUUUGAUAUCAUAUACGUGUUCACUAGCUAGCAGCUGCUAGCAGCUAGCACAUCAUACCUUAAAACAUGUAGAGAAUUUAACAUACCUUCUUUUGCGUCAAUUUUUCAUUGAACCAAAGUUUAUCUUGACCCAUUUUUGCAACCACCUUCACAGCCUCUUCAAUUCUGGGUUUCAAACUAGGUUCCAAUUCCUCCAUAUCUUGUGUUUGUUGCCUAGCACAUAUCAAAUUCUGGGUUUCAGUAACUGAAUUCAAGAUUUUAGUUAUCCCCCCAACAUAGCAUCAUAUAUAAAUGUAGUCCUAAACAGUAAGCAAUGAGAUCAAUAUGAUAAAGCCACUUCAUGAUUGGGACUUCGAGCAGAUGUCUAUUACAUACAGAGGUUUAAGGCUUUCUAUUUAAGACAAGAAACCUCUUGCGCCCCACGCAAAGAUGUCUUGUAGGUCAACUCAACCAUUCUAUAACUUUUUAAAUUGGUGUCUGAUUAAAUAAUCAAACCAGUAAAUUGUCAAGGGAUUCCUGUUUAUCAAAUCAAAGCUAAUGAGAUUAUUGAAGACUAAUUAUGCACAUACAUUGAUACAUAUAGAUAGUUAUAUGCAAGUAGAUGGUAUCUAUAGCUCUUGUUCUAUCUAAUUUAACCAUACAGUUGUUGCUACACCAAAGCUUUAAAUCGAGCAGUAUCCAAUGAUGUUGGCCGAGGAACUUUGGGAUGUUUCCUAUCUUAAACAGGGAUUAGUAGAAUCAAGAAUGCACCUUAACAUUCUCACUUUCUGAUCAGGAACACAAGGACAUUUGCACCAAGUGUAAGAACAUUACAAGGCAGUGAUGAAUCAGGUGAAAAUGAAAAAUUUACCGGAAGCAAUUGCGGUAGAUUGAGUGCACCACAAGUUUGGGUUUAUAUUCAUCCUUAAGAUCUAGUUCUAAGUAUGAUCAAAAGUUCUUCAGUGCACCAAGGUUCAAGUGAACCAAUAGUCACUGACCAAUCAUAAUCAUUUAUUUAAUGCAGUCAAUUACAUGACACUAACACCGAUACUAACACACCGUUAGAUAAUUGAGACAAAAAAAAAUAUCCAAUCAACAUGGUAAAAAUAGGUAAGGCUACAAUAAAUAUUACAUGGGCAAUUAAUUCCAAUAUCAAUGGGAGAGAUUAUCAAUGCUUGACUUUUAUUAAUUUUUAUUUUUUUGUUUUUGUUUUUUUGUUUUGGAUACACAAUUAAGUCUUUUUAGUGAGAGUUUUUAUUUCCUUUUUAGUUUCUGGAAAUGCAAGGAGGGAUUAUUAUUAUUCUUUUUUUUUUGUUAAAAUGUAAUAACUAUGAACUUUACCUAUUUACCCAUUUGACUAAUGUGGAUCUCUUAGUGCUCAUAUAAGGGGUAAACGUGUAAAUUAUGCUAUCAGGAUUAGGAUUAGGAUUAGUUAUGAUAUCUAUUUAUUAUUUUUCAUAAGAAUUGUUUUAAUCAUAAAUAAUUUAUUUUAAUUAAUAUAUAAAUAAUUUUAUAUAUCCCACCAUACAACGUAUCCUCAGAUUGCGAAUAUGUACCGCAAUGUUUCACGUUUUAGGUUAUAUUGGUCGAACCAUCAAGAAUUAAAAUAAAGUAUGAACAUUUUAGAACGGAUGGCCAUAUAUCAAUCCUGUGACGUAUGUCAUGUAAGUUUGAACCAUCAGUAAACUCUUAUAUAUUAUUGAUUCGUUUUAACUAGAUUCUUUAUUUUAGUGUCCUUUUAUUUCUUCAAUGAACUUCAAAAUAAGUAAGUAAACGAAUUACAUUUUUAAAGGGAAUAAAAAAAAACUAUACUAGUCAAAUAAAUUAUCUCUUAUAACUUUGGUUAUUAUUUUCACUUUGUGGGUUUGAGCCAACUCAAAUGACAUGUAAUGUAUUUAUACAUGGGCUUGGUAAGACAAAUAAUUAGCUUGAGAAUAAAAAAUAAAAAAAUUAAAGCACCUCUUUGCCAAUGAGAUUAUGGCUAGGAGGUUUAGGCACCUUCAUAAAACUUAGCUUCAUGAGCUCUUCUUUUUGGCUUCAGCUUUGACUUUGACCAUUAUUGGAUCUGUUGCGCAUAGAUGUUCAUCAUAAUCUUUGAACUCACCAACACAAGAGAGAUUGUGAACGACUUGGUGCCGUCGUCGAUGGAGGACAACUCCAUGAAGGAGGAUCCGAUGGUCUUCUUCGAGAACAAAGAGGAGAUCAUCGCUUGAUCGCUUGAUUCAUUGCUUCAAAUUAAUGUCGUAUCAUUUGAUAUAAGUGAAAUUUCUAUUUAAUAUAACUUAAUCAUAUGUUUUCAAACGCAUAACUAAAGUGGAGUCAUCUUGUUGCUCCCAUAUGAGAUCAACUUAUCAAUGUUCAAGAUUUUUUUAAUCACUUGUUUUCAAAUGUGAGAGCAAACGUAAAAGUGGAGUCAUCUUGUUACUCCCAUGCGAGAUCAACUUAUUAAUGUUCAAGACUUCUUAAACCAUUUGUUUUCAAAUGUGAGAGCAAUUGAGUUAUCUUAUUACUCUUAUGCGAGAUCAACUUAUUAAUGUCCNNNNNNNNNNNNNNNNNNNNNNNNNNNNNNNNNNNNNNNNNNNNNNNNNNNNNNNNNNNNNNNNNNNNNNNNNNNNNNNNNNNNNNNNNNNNNNNNNNNNNNNNNNNNNNNNNNNNNNNNNNNNNNNNNNNNNNNNNNNNNNNNNNNNNNNNNNNNNNNNNNNNNNNNNNNNNNNNNNNNNNNNNNNNNNNNNNNNNNNNNNNNNNNNNNNNNNNNNNNNNNNNNNNNNNNNNNNNNNNNNNNNNNNNNNNNNNNNNNNNNNNNNNNNNNNNNNNNNNNNNNNNNNNNNNNNNNNNNNNNNNNNNNNNNNNNNNNNNNNNNNNNNNNNNACUUCGUCUUCUUCCUUGCGCUCGGCAGCAACAGAGCUUUUUCUUCUGCAAAAAAAGCUCGCUCCGGCACUUUUUCUUGCUUUUAUUAAGAAAUAUUGAUUUUGAGAGAAUUGCUAUCAUUUCUUUGAGGUAGAAAUUACUAGAUCCGAAAACUUUAAACCCAUAAUUUGUUUGUUCGAUUAGCACGACAUCUGAUUCGAGUCGAAAAGUUUCUGGGAGACGAGAGAGCAAUGGUCUGGUUCGAUCAAAGUCUUCCCACAAGUUAAUGGUAAUUUUGAUUUUUACUGUACAUCGAUACCACUAACCAGCUAACCUCAGUUAGAGAUCUGUUAAGGCACGUGACUUUCUAACUACUGGUUCUAGUGCAUCAUGAUGCACUGAAUCCGCUCUAAAGUAUGAUAUGGAUAGUUUGCGUUGAGCUAGAAAGCUAUCAGGAAAAAUUGAAAACUGGGUUCUCUAGAUAGUGUGAGAAAAGAGAAAUUUUAUUAACACAUAUCUAAUUACUAGAUACACAUUUCAUACUUAAUACAUUACAUAUUAACUUUUUUUGUUUUAACAUUUUACUAGAUACACAUACCCAGACUUUCUACUAUACCUUCAUUUAACAUACACAACUUAUUCACUAAAUACACAACUCAUUUACUACACAUAUUUUUUUAGAUCUGCUACUCAAUUUAUUCAAAAAUCUUUAUUGUUUCACUACACAACUCAUUUAACAUCCUCAUUGUUUCAUCUCAUUAACAUAUUCCUUGAAGGUUUUUAUUUUUUUCUCUAAAGGGUUUCACCUUGUUAAAAUCUUCUCCGAGGGAUUUUCCCUUUGUUAAAAUCUUCUCCGAGGGAUUUUCCCUUUGUUAAAAUCUUCUCCCAUCAGUUUUGCUCGACAAAUUUUUUUUUCAAGGAGCCUCUUACUCAAAUUUAUUUCAAAAUUUCUUGAGCCUACCGAAUCAAAACAAAACAAGACAAUACAUCACUAAAGUCCUUAACGGAACUUUCAGCAUCAAAAUGUUCAAUCUUGUGUAAAACUAAAUUAAUCGAUUCUUGGGAACCAUUGCAUAAUAUUCAUAUGCGGUGUCACAAUAUUAGUACUCGAUUCAAACUAAAAAUUAAAAAAGUGUUUGAAGUACAAUAGUUAAUAUGAACGUCUUAAACAAGAUAUUUUAUUUCAACUAAGUUUCUUUAUUUUUGAUAUGAAUGUCUUUUUUGGUAAUUUUAUGUACCCACAAAGUCUUAUAUAAUUUAUAUAAAAAAAGAGAUGUGUAUCUAACAUUUAGAGAUGUGUUAAUAAAAUUUCUCGUGAGGAUAUUACAAGAAAAUGAUGAAUACACAUUUGGUAAACUGAGAAAACCAAAAUGAGACAGGUUAGCAUACCCACCAAUCUUGUAGAGUCUUCAAUUCUUAUUAUACUGACCUCGGGAACCUCAAUAUUGACCUCGGAAACCUCAAUUUUAUAAAAGCUUAUGUGUUACCCAUCUUAUCAAAUUUCAUCUAAUUUGAACCAAAAUGCGUUGUUAUAGCCUAUAACCCACGAGUUUUUGAGAAAUUUCACAUUUUUUGAACCUGUGGUUUUUUUUUUUGUCAUUCUUGUGUGCUUAGACACUUCCUAACAUUUAAUAAAUCAUUAUAACAUCAAAAGCUCGUAACAUUUAUCAUUCUACUUGCGAUCGAGCCAAAAUGACUCACGAGUAUCGUGUUCGGUAAAGUUGUUGGGACUGUUACUUUCAGAGGAAGUGAAUGAAUUGUCAAUCUUGUGGAGUCUUCAAUUCUUCUCAUACUAACCUCGGAAACCUUAUUUUUGAAAAAGCUUAGGUGUUACCCAUAUUUUUAAGUUUCACCCAAUUUGUGCCAAAACCCUUUGUCCUAUAGCCCACGAGUUUUGAGAAAUUUAACAUUUUUUAGAUCUCUGUUUUUAUUUUUUAUUUUUAAUUCAUGUGUGCUUAUAGACAUACCCUAAGAUCUAUUGAACCAUUUUAGCAUUAAAAACUCGUGACGUAUAUCAAUUUACUUGUAUCGAGCCUAAAUGACUCACGACUACCGUGUUCGCUAAAGUUGUUGGAACUGUUAUUUUCAAAGGAACUGAGUGAAUUUCCAAGCAUGUGAAGUUUUCAAUUCUUCUCAUACUGAUAUCUGGAUCCUCAAUUUUGAAAAAGUUUACGUGUUACAAAUCUUUUCAAGUUUCACCCAAUUUGAGCCAAAAACACUUGUUAUAACACAUAAGUUUUUGAGAAAUUUCACUUUUCUGAACCUCUGGUUUUUUCUAUUUGUUAUAGACCUCAUAACAUCUAUUGAACCAUUGUAGCAUCAAAAACUCGUGGCAUUUAUCAUUUUACAUACAAUCGAGCCUAAAUGAAUAACAACAACCGUGUUCGGUAAAGUUGUUGGAAUUGUUACUUUCAGAGGAACUGAGUGAAUUUCCAAGCCUGUGAAGUCUUCAAUUCUUCUCAUAUUGACCUCAGGAUCCUCAAUUUCGCAAAAAACUUACGUGUUACACAUUUUUAAAAUUUCACCCAAUUUGAGAAAAACCCCUUUUUGAGAAAUUUCACUUUUUCUGAGCCUCUGGUUUUUUUCUAUUCAUGUGUGCCUAGAGACAUCUCAUAACAUUUAUUGAAUCAUUUUAGCAUCAAAAGCUCGUGGCAUUUAUCAUUUUACUUGUGAUCGUGUCUAAAUGACUCACAACUACCCUAUUCGUUAAAGUUGUUGGAACUGUUACUUUCAGAGGAAGUGAAUGAAUUGCCAAUCUUAUGGAGUCUCCAACUCUUCUCAUACUGACCUCGGGUACCUCAAUUUUAAAAAAAUCUUAGGUGUUACCCAUCUUUUCAAGUUUCACCCAAUUUGUGCCAAAACCUCUUGUUAUAGCCUAUAGCCCACGAGUCUUGAGAAAUUUCAUAUUUUUUAUAUCUCUGGUUUUUUUCCAUUAAUGUGUUCUUAUAGACAUCUCCUAAGAUCUAUUGAACGAUUUUAGCAUCAAAAGCUCGUGACCUUUAUCAUUUUACUCGUAAACGAGCCUAAAUGACUCACAACUACCGUGUUCGGUAAAGUUGUUGGAACUGUUACUCUUUGAGGAACUGAGUGAAUUUCCAAACCUGUGAAGUCUUCAAUUCUUCUCAUACUGACCUCGGGAUCCUAANNNNNNNNNNNNNNNNNNNNNNNNNNNNNNNNNNNNNNNNNNNNNNNNNNNNNNNNNNNNNNNNNNNNNNNNNNNNNNNNNNNNNNNNNNNNNNNNNNNNNNNNNNNNNNNNNNNNNNNNNNNNNNNNNNNNNNNNNNNNNNNNNNNNNNNNNNNNNNNNNNNNNNNNNNNNNNNNNNNNNNNNNNNNNNNNNNNNNNNNNNNNNNNNNNNNNNNNNNNNNNNNNNNNNNNNNNNNNNNNNNNNNNNNNNNNNNNNNNNNNNNNNNNNNNNNNNNNNNNNNNNNNNNNNNNNNNNNNNNNNNNNNNNNNNNNNNNNNNNNNNNNNNNNNNNNNNNNNNNNNNNNNNNNNNNNNNNNNNNNNNNNNNNNNNNNNNNNNNNNNNNNNNNNNNNNNNNNNNNNNNNNNNNNNNNNNNNNNNNNNNNNNNNNNNNNNNNNNNNNNNNNNNNNNNNNNNNNNNNNNNNNNNNNNNNNNNNNNNNNNNNNNNNNNNNNNNNNNNNNNNNNNNNNNNNNNNNNNNNNNNNNNNNNNNNNNNNNNNNNNNNNNNNNNNNNNNNNNNNNNNNNNNNNNNNNNNNNNNNNNNNNNNNNNNNNNNNNNNNNNNNNNNNNNNNNNNNNNNNNNNNNNNNNNNNNNNNNNNNNNNNNNNNNNNNNNNNNNNNNNNNNNNNNNNNNNNNNNNNNNNNNNNNNNNNNNNNNNNNNNNNNNNNNNNNNNAUUCAUGUGUUCUUAUAGACAUCUCCUAAGAUCUAUUGAACCAUUUUAGUUAUCGAAAGCUCGUGACCUUUAUCAAUUUUACUUAUAAUCGAGCCUAAAUAAUUCACGACUACCGUGUUCGGUAAAAUUGUUGGAACUGUUACUUUUAGAGAAACUGAAUGAAUUGCCAAUCUUGUGGAGUUUUCAGUUCUUCUCAUACUGACCACGGGAACCUCAAUUUUGAAACAGCUUAGGUGUUACCCAUCUUUUCAAGUUUCACCAAAUUUAUGCCAAAACCCCAUGUUAUAGCCUAUAGCCCACGAGUCUUGAGAAAUUUAAUAUUUUUUAGAUGUCUAGAUUUUUUCCAUUCAAGUGUUCUUAUUGACAUCUCUUAAGAGCUAUUGAACCAUUUUAGCAUCAAAAGCUCGUGAACUUUUUCAUUUUACUCGUAAUCCAGCCAAAAUAAUUCACGAUUACCGUGUUCGGUACUGUGUUCGGUAAAGUUGUUAGAACUAUUAUUUUCAAAGGAACUGAGUGGAUUUCCAAACCUGUGAAAUUUUCAAUUCUACUCAUACUGACCUCGGGAUCCUCAAUUUUGAAAAAACUUAAGUGUUACUCAUCUUUUGAUGUUUCACCCAAUUUGAGCAAAAACCCGAUAUUAUAGCACAUGAGCUUUUGAGAAAUUUCACUUUUUCUGAGUCUCUGGUUUUUUCUAUUCGCGUGUGUUUAGAGACACCUCCUAACAUCUAUUGAACCAUUGUAGCAUCAAAUGCUCGUGGCAUUAAUCAUUUUACUUGUGAUCGAGCCUAAAUGACUCACGACUACCAUGUUCGGUAAAGUUGUUGGAACGGGUACUUUCAGAGGAAGUGAAUGAAUUGUCAAUCUUGUGGAGUCUUCAAUUCUUCUCAUACUGAUCUCGAGUCCCUUAAUUUUGAAAAAGAAGCUUAGGUGUUACCCAUCUUUUCAACUUUCAUCCAAUUUGUAUCAAAACCUCUUCUUAUAACCUAUAGCCCAUGAGUCUUGAGAAAUUUCACAUUUUUUAGAUCUUUGGUUUUUUUCCAUUCAUGUGUUCUAUCUUAUAAAAAUCUCCUAAGAUCUAUUGAACCAUUUUAGCAUCAAAAGCUAGUGAUCUUUAUCAUUUUACUCGUAAUCAAGCCAAAAUGACUCACGACUACCGUGUUCGGUAAAAUUUUUGGAACUAUUACUUUCUAAGGAACCGAGUGAAUUGCCAAUCUUGUAAAGUCUUUAGUUCUUCUCAUAUUGACCUCGGGAACCUCAAUUUCGAAAAAGCUUAAAUGUUACCCAUAUUUUCAAGUUUCACCCAAUUUGUGCCAAAACCUCUUGUUAUAGCCUAUAUCCCCUGGAGCUCUAAACUUUGGAGUGGGCUUCAUGGUAAUUGGGCCUUGGCUUCUGUUUUGGCCCAAUCCUAUUUUUCAUUUCUGCUUUGUUUUAUUUUUCUAUUUCUACAAAAUUUCCUUGCUUUUGUAAGGAGCUAUAGGUAUUUAGCUCAGCUAUAUUUACAAAAUUUCUUUGCUUCUGUAACGAGCCAUAGAACUUAGUUUCUGCCUAUGUCUAUGCAUUUUAGACUUCAUAGUUUUAGGCUUUAUGAGCUUAAUCAUAUAUGGGGUGGUGCUAGUAUACCAUGUCCUUUAAUUUUUUCUUGUUAGCAAGGAAAAAUAUGUAUUAUUGUCGUCUCAGACAUUUGAAAUUGAAAUGAAAUUAUAAUUAUUAUUCAAAAAAAAAAACUGUCGAUGGUGUUUAACUCUAUUAAGAGCAAAAAUAAACUUCCUGAAAAGAAAAAAGAAAAAAAAGGUACAGUCAACCGAUUCAACCUCUUUAUUUAACAAAGGAAAAUGAUUCUUGGUCUUAAUAAGGCCUAAGAUUUGUGGCCUUAAUCUUAGGUUGACAUGUUAUGUCACCUAUACACAUCACCAAUUAAAAAUAAUUAUGCCAUGUCAUUUUUAAGUCAAAAAGAACAAUCUUAUCAUCCAAAUCCAAUGGCUCUACAUUAUUUAUCUUUUUAUUAAGAGAAAAAAAUUGGUUUUUUGUCUUUCUUUUAUAUUUAAAAAUAUAUAAUUUCUAGCAUUUUAUUUCUCUUUUCCUUUUCAUCACUAUCAUGCUUAGAUUGAACACUAAAAUACAGUGUGAAAAUAUAUAUAAAUAUGAGAAUAUAUUUGUUAAAAUACACGAAUUCUUAUGAAAUAUAUAUAUAAUUGGUCCAAGAAAAAACAAUUUCUUACAUAAGAAAAAAUUUACAUAUAUAUAUAUAUAUAUAUAAUUCGUCCAAAAUAAAGUUUAUAUAUAUACGUAAUCAUCCAAAAGAAGUUCGAUAGAGAUUUUUCUAUUUUUUAUUUUAUUUUUAAAAUUCGAUAUAGAAUAUAUGGCAUAUAGAUAUCAUAAUUUUAUUGUGCAAAAAUAAAAUAUUAAUAAAAUUGAUAAGUUAAAAGUCUAGAACUAAAUUUCUAUUUACAAAGAUAGAAGGAAAUUUUAAUAAAUUUACGAAAUUAAUUUAUGGUAUAAAAGCCUAAUUUGGUAUGAUUAUUAACUUGGUCAUUAUUAAUAAAUUAAUUAAAUUUGGUAUAUACGCAUCCAUAUUAAAAUGGUAAGAAAAUAUUUCAUAUUAGUAUGUAACAUCUAUUAAUUGUUAGGGUUAAUAUUGUAUUUUUAUCUAAGAAUGAAAUGUCAUGAUUUAAUAAAUUGAUGAUGUGUCUAUGUGACAUGGCAUGCCACAUAGGAUUAAGGCCAUAAAUCUUAGGCUUUAUUAAGGCCCUCUAGCACUACCCUUUAACAAAUAAGUAGAAAUGUAGAAUACAAGAUAGUAAGUACUCUAGAUUGAUGUUAUAUGAUUUAGGCAAGCGACACUUUAUUAAAUUUAUUAUAUUUAGUUAAGUUAACAUGUAUCUAGCAAUACAGAUUUUCACCAGGAGAAACAUUAAGUUGGGUACAAUAGUCCUUAUAAUAGUUGAUACGAGCUUGAACUUUGUCCGGAGCUUUUCCAUCACAUUCAACGGCACCGUUGAUGGCUCGAGUUGUGGCUCCGAAUCCUUGGCUUAUAACAGAGUGAACAUUGUUCAUCCAAAACCACAACCCUGUCUUGAACGCCACCACGGAGUCCGAAGCCACCGUUUCCGGGGAGUUUAGGCCGUCAAAGCCAAUAGCAGUUCCGGCGGCUCCGUAGUUGUAGUUCCAGGUGAGUUGGAGUGGUCCACGGCCGUAGUACUGCUUGGCAGGGUUGCAUGGGUAGUUUGUGAAGGAUGUGUCGCAGUAGGUGGCCUUUUCUAUCUCUUCUACGUAGCAAAAAUCUGCAUCGAUCCAUCAUUAACAAAAUAGUACUUAGAUUUGUAUCCAAAAAAAAAACUUAGAUACAGACACAAGAAGUUACAGUUAAAAUACUACAUUGGAUGAUGAGAGACACAUGAUAUUCUUACGGCCAGUCUCAUGCGUGACAUGAGCAAAGAAAGCUGCAAUUUCCCGCUUAUUGUCAUCAGCGGAACCGGUGGUAGCGAAAUCGGUGUAAGAGCCGAGGGCAUCAAGAAAGGCCUGUCUAGUGUAGAAGCUCUUGCCGGCACAGUCAGAGCCAGCCUGGUUAAUAAUCCCAUUGAAGAAGUCGGUGGUGACGAUAUCCGCUACUGAGCUACCGCCGGUAGUUGGUGUAGGAGUGGUGGUGGUAGUACAAGGUCCUGCUUGACAACCCUUGCCGCAGUAGGCAUCGCCGGUGCCGCAGUAACCAAAUUCGCUGCAACACAGGUCUGCUGCACACCCGCAGUUUUGAGCUGUUGCAAUUUGGGCUACAAGUGCUAAGCCUAGGAUGGUGAAGAAGAAGAGUUUUGUCCUAAUUGUAACUUGUAAAGCCAUGUUAACUAACUAUGGACGGGUCGAUCAGCUCUAUUUGUUAUAUGUGUAUAAAAGCAGGUAUAUAUAGAACUAAUUAAGAUGAUGGUCGACUUGGAUAUUUAUAAGCACCGUAUGGAUGAUCGAAUAACAAUUAGAAAUGGUCAUUUGCAACGACGUGUUGAUCUGACUACUUACAAUUUGGUUUGGCGACUUGACUUUUUACAAUUUUUAGAAGUUUCUAUCACUUUUAAAUGAGUGUGUCAUCACAAUUAGCUAGUCUUAACCGACCCGAGACCCUCUUUUGUACUCCAUCAUCCACAAAUCCACUAAAGACUUUUUAACCAACUUAUUAUCUUACCUUUUAUCUUAGUAUCAAUUUGUUAUCCUAUUUUUUAUUUUAGCCAAUUUGCUAUCCUAACUUUUCAUAAUUAGCCAAUUUCGUACCCUAACUAUUAUUUCUACCAAUUUGCUACCUUAUGUUUUCAAAAUUAGCCAACUUGCUACAUUUUUAUCAUUUUAUUUUAUUUAUUUCUUCAUCCAAACAUGAAUUAAUUCUAAAAAUCGAAGGUUAAAGUUAGUCAAUAUUGAAAUUUUGAUAAGUAAAUUGGUUAAUCUUGAAAGUCUAAAGUAACAAAUUUGAUGGAAGAGUAGCAAAUUGACAAAUUUAAUAGUUAGGGUAGCAAAUUGGCUAAUUAUGAAAAUGUAGAGUAGCAAAUUGGCUGAAACGAAAAUUAAGGUAGCAAAUUGACAGCAAGAUGAAAGUUAGGGUAACAAAUUGACAAUUAUACCUAUUAACACUGUCUUUCUUUUUAAAAUACCAUUCAUAGUUUCAUAUUGGAUGCCUUGACAAAAACCAGGGACUUUGUUGUUGUAAGUGACGACAGUAGUUAGACGCAAUGAAUAUUAUCAGAGUAGCACAAAACCUAAAUAGUUGUGGUAUAAAACUUUGGUACGUAUAAUAUUGUAGGCUGUGCUCCAUUAAUAGAGAAGAAAGAGCAAGUCUCUGAUUAGGAUGUGUGUAUUCAUGGACUAAAAACAGAUGACUUAUUUUGCACACGUUUUUUUUUUUGCCCGGGAGACGAAAGCCUGUUUUGCAGCCUAGCAACAUUCCAGCACGCCAAAAUCGACACCUAUAAACUAAGAAAAAAUCGAUAUUUUCGACGAUAUUUCGUCCGAAACUCUCGAUAUUUCGAGAUAUUUUUGAAAUCUCGCCGAACUUUCAAAUUUCCCCACUUUCCCGCCGAAAUUUGACUCCUCCGUCUACUUUGACCACGGCCGCCAUGUUUGACUCCUCCAUGUACUUUGACCAAAGCAAGACUUUGACCACGCAAAAUGUGUUAAAUUUUGCUGCCAAGGUGAAUCGAACCUUGGUUAAGUUGGUACAAGGUUAAUACCUUAACCAACCCAACUAACCAUCUAAUAUGUUUAUAAUAGUAUCUUUAUAAUAUAUAUUUGUUUUUUUUUCCGAAUAUGAAAAGUAAAAAAUUAGGUAUAUGUCUAAUUCCCAACUAAUUUUUUUUACCUACAGUCAAUACAUGCAAAACUACAAAUGUGAGGUAUCAUUUAAUGACUAUUCUUCACAAUACACUAAAAACUUUACACAAAGAGACGAUAAAGAUAGUGAAAAUUUUGUAUCUCAUGGGUCUUCUACGUGGUUUUAAAGUACUCAUGUAAUUCUAUGUGAAAUGUAUCAUAUGUAUAUAAGGCGUGAUGGCCUAGCCUCCUUUUAGGUUUCCAGCCAUAAAAAAUAAAUAAAAAAUAUUUAAAGUAAACUUUUAAGAAUUAUUAACGGUUCAGCACUAACAUUUUCACUUUAACUUACUACAACUCCCUAUAGAUCAAUAUUUAUUCAAAGUUUUCAUUUCAAAUAUAGUACAUAAUAUAGAACACAAGCAUCUCUUAAAGUUUGGUUUAAAAUUUCCUUGUUUUUCUUCAAAUUUUCGUCAAUUUUCUCAUUUUUUUACUGCAAUCGAUAUUUCCCGGAAAUUUUCAUCGAAAUUUUCAUAUUUUAGAGGGUCGAAAUUUCCGUAAUCAUCAAAAUUUUCUUUCUUGCUAUAAACUGAUAUAGUACUGGCCUGCAAGCCUGCAAGCAAUAUGCAAACAAAUCACUGGACUGGAAGAUAUAACUUGAGGUGCUUGAUUUGUUGCCAUUGGUGAUUAUGAGGAAGACGAUCCAGUAUUGUAUGUCUAUGAAAAACUGGUCCGAGAAUGCAUUAAACCCUCUUGGUACUACAACACUACCCAUAACACCUAAAAUGUUGGUUUAAAAGUCUUUUUAGAUUUGGUUGUUAACUUUAGGGGGGUGUAUUCAAUCUAGAGUUUAAAUGAUUCUGUCUGACUUUUUAUAAUCUAUGGAAUCUUGUAGAUUUUGAAGACUCCAUAAAUUGUUUUAUUUCUAUAUGGAUUUGUAUAGACUCUAUCGUAUUGCAUUAGCAAGAUUUGUUUGGAUUCUAUCGUAUUCUCUUUGUAACUUUUUUCACAAAUGAGCAAAGCACCAUGCGAGGCAUAUCUUGUAUUAUCCUUGGUGCUUCAAGUACGAUUGACCGACAGCCUUUGAAUUACUUGUCAAAGUGAGCAAUACCAAUUUAACAAAUUCUAGCAGUUGUCAAAAUGAAGCAACAAUACCAAUACCAGCUUAACAUUUGAAGCAAUAUAAAAACGAAACGCAACUUCUUCAGAGCUUGAAGAAAAUUAACUUGAUUCUAUUGAAGUGCAAAACCAAAAUUUCAGACAAGUAAACCAAACAUCAUAUCAAGUAUGAAAACCACAACAGUGUUACGCCCCACACAAAGCAGGGACUCUGGUUCACUAUUUUUUUCUCAAUUAUUGACAACAAUACACUUUGAAGGACUUGGGUCAUGAAGACUGAUCAUAUUUCCAACACAAGUUAAGAGAUUUGCCGGGACUUUCUCUUGAUCACAUCCUCAUACUUGAUCUGGAACCGCUUCAUGGAAUUCGCUUUCGAGAACCUAUGCCGCAUUCCAACACAAGACUUGCAUCUACGGUGAAGAGCCACACAAUUAUCUCGCCACUCCAAGACAAAAUAGAAAUUCAUUUCAUAAAUACCAGUAGAAGGAUCAUACCCGAAGAAAAAGUAACUACUAAUGAACAAAAGAACAUAAGAAGCAAGAACCAAAGAUAUAAAAUGAACAUAUAAUUAAAGAGUAAUCCCAUAUGAUAUAUCAAGUAUGACCAAUAUAUCUGACAAAAAGGGGAGCAUACAACUGUUUAGAUAAUAGUCCUCAAGUUACUAUGGGUUCUAAAUAAUGAAUUCAACAUAAGAGUCUGAAAGUGCCAGAAAACUCAUAAAUCACAAUUCCUACUAUGAAAAUGCAGCAAAUAAUUCCAACUUCCAAAUAACAUGUAGGUGACAACAACUUUUCUUUUUCUUUUUUUGAAUAAGAGAAUUAUCUAGACAAACUCAUGAAAUAUACACUAUUGUACUCGGACCACAAAAAGAUUAGAUAAUAUACACAGGAUAAAAAGCUCACGCAUGAAAUUUUUUGCAAAUGGUAGAUAAAAUUUUCUACAGAAGAAUACAAUGAAGAACAAAGAAAGGUAAAACACAUAAAUAAAGUAUAUAGAUGCCGACUAAUAUGCACAUAGGAUAACGAAAAAAACUGAAGCAUCUUAUCAUCCAAAGAAAAGGAAAAAAAGAAGAAAAGAAUUGAAGCAUCUACAGUUUAUAGUUAACAAGAGAUAUCGAUCAGCUUUAAAUUACAAAGAACUUGCUAACAUAAGUACGUUAACUACAAGAUAUAUAUACUACCUAAAAAAGUAACAAGAUAUAUAUAUAUAUAUAUAUAUAUAUCGAUUAAUCAAAAAUGGUAUAAAAAUGUCAGAAUUUGACUAUUAAUCCAACUCCCAAGUGAACCAAGGAAACUCCAAAUUCACAUAUCACCAACUUUUUUUUGCUUAUGACUACCACCAACUCCAAUUUCACCUAUCACCAACUGUUUUUUGUUUAUGACUACCGUACCACAAAAGAUUAAAUUUUUGUUUUAGUAGGGCUUGCAACUAUGACUAAUUUUUUGUUUAAUUCAAGACUUUGUUAUUGAACAUCAGAAAGCAACAUCAACUAUCAGUUUCAAUUUUUUGCUGACAUCAAAAAUCAUCGUAACUAUGUGUUCAAUUCUAAAAACUUCAAUGUUCAUAUAUAUGCGACCAAUGCAAAUAGAUUUUCAAUCAAAGCAGCAUAUAUCAUCAUCAUCAUCAUCACAAGUAGUACAGUCCAAAAGUGGCAUGAUGAGUAAAAAGAACUGAGCAACAACAUAGAUGAAUAGCAGUGGAUGUACACCAAAUGCGCCACAGCAGGUGUCAAAACAAAUUACAGUAUAACAUAAACAUGAACACGCUAAAUCACAACAGGUUAGAUAAACCCAGGUGUUUGAUAAAAUACCAGGACAAGCAAUAAAUCAAAAGAUAUCAAUAAUCAUAGACAGAACUCAGGACGAUAGCCAGAUUUGAACAUACUGUAAAUCCCAAAGCUAAGCGAAUAUGAGGCUUUGCUGAGAGAUUGUAUUAUUGAAGCCGUGACCUGCAAAUCGAAGCCCAGAAGCUCAAUCGAACAAAUUAGGGCACAAACCGCAGCGUGCUAAUGGAGAACCCAAAGAGGUAUAUGCAUGCUUGAAUCAUCGUGUAUGCCAGAGAGAAGGACCCAAAUAACCAAUUCCCACUUUCAAUCAAUUGGAGACUUGAGAAAAAUGAAGAUGAAAGUGGAUCAGAUUGAGAGAGAAACGAAAAACGUCAAAAUCUGUUGAUUGAUCGUCAUUCUCCAGAUUUUUUCGUUGGGAUACGAACUUUUCCAUAGAAUCUGGUUCAGUGGUACCAUCUGUUCGUCGUCUCCACUCUGCUUGAGCUCUUUCCAUCUUCAGAUACGAAAAAGAAAUCGUUCAAAAUCUCACCUCAUGAGGCCAGAUUUCAGAUGGUGUUUGGUAUUUAUACCAAGCCUCUUAGAAUCCUACAAAGUCAGGCAUCUGUUGAAAUCCUUGAAAAUCAGUGAAUUUUUGAAUACCAUCAAUUUUUCUAUGGAUAUUUUAAAGUCUGAAUCGAAUACCACGAGAUUUUAAAUGAAUUUUUGAAAUCUUAAUUGAAUACCUAUGGAGUUUUAAAAUCUAAAAAAAUCUUAUAGAGUCUUGAUUGAAUUCACCCCUUUUAGGGUGUUGAAAUUUGCACACCUUUUUUUACUAUUUACACACCCUUUGAAUUUUUUAUUAUCUCUUUAUCAGUUCAUUAUCUUUUUCUUCCAAUAUUAACCCAACCUGUCUCUCUCUCCUCAUAAUCCUUCUGCAUCUUUGCGAUCGAGAAGGCCAUGGAAUCCCAGCGUAGAUGAAAUCUCCAUUCCAAAUUGAAUUCGACGACACCGAAAUCCAACCGAAACAUUUUAUGUCUUCAAGAGUAUUACCCACUUUUUCCAACCACAAUUAAUCUCUCUCUCUCUCNNNNNNNNNNNNNNNNNNNNUUUAAUGAUCCAGAGAUAGUCUGCAAGCUUCAUAAAUCUAUUUAUGGCUUAAAGCAAUCUCCACGUGCUUGGUAUGCCAAACUGAGUUCAGUGUUGGAAGAAGUCGGGUUUUGCAGAAGCAAUGCAGAUUCAUCUCUAUUUGUUCGCAUUGGCUCAACAAGCAAGCUUGUAGUUCUAAUCUAUGUUGAUGAUCUAAUUGUGACCGAUGACAAUGUUGAAGAGAUUAACAUUCUCAAACAAUCUCUCCAUAGCAAGUUUGCUAUAAAGGAUUUGGGGCCACUUGAGUACUUUCUUGGCAUAGAAAUGGCUACUUCUCAUAAAGGUCUGUUUCUAAAUCAAAGAAAGUAUGUUUUCGAUUUGUUGAAGGAUACAGAUAUGUGGGAUAGCAAACCAGCUAGCACUCCCCUGGACAGCAAGUUUCAACUUGAUGUAUCAAGUGAACUCCUCUUGGAUAUCAGUUCGUAUCAAAGGCUGGUUGGUAAGCUUAUUUAUCUUACUAUUACACGCCCUGAUAUAACUUAUGCAGUGAGCAUAGUUAGUCAAUUUAUGCAUGCUCCUACCAUGGCUCAUGUCCACAUUGUCAAGCGUCUUCUUCGCUACUUAAAGGGAUCUGUUGGGAGAGGUAUCCUGAUGAAACAAAAUGGCAACACAGACAUCAUGGGCUACACAGAUACUGAUUGGGCAGGAAAUUCUCUUGAUCGUAAGUCCACUACAGGUUUUUGUACCUUUGUAGGUGGUAACUUGGUUAGUUGGCGAAGCAAGAAACAAACUGUUGUUUCUCGUUCUAGUGCCGAAGCUGAAUAUCGAGCUAUGGCUUCCACUGCUUGUGAGCUGAUAUGGCUAAAGGGAUUGCUGUCUGACUUGGGAUCCCCAACUCGUCAACCAAUAUCUCUUUAUUGUGACAAUCAAGCUGUUAUGCAUAUUGCUUCUAAUCCGGUCUUUCAUGAAAGAACCAAGCACAUAGAGGUUGAUUGCCAUUAUAUUCAAGCUCAAGUCCAGUCCAAGGUUAUUGAAACUUUUUACACUCGAAGCCAAGACUAGUUGGCUGACAUUUUCACAAAAUCUCUUUCCGCUGCUCAGUUUCAUCGACUCUUAGGCAAGCUUGGCUCAAUGAAUCCCCUUGAUCCAGCUUGAGGGGGAGUAUUGGAAGUAGAAGCAUGGUGGGAUUAAUCCAUUGUCUUUUGGUUAAUCUCAUGUCUUUAUUUUUUUACUGUUUACUGUACAUUUUCACUGUAAAGGAGAUAAAGUCUGUUUUAUCUCAGCCAUAUAUACAUUGUAGAUCUGAAAAACUCUUGUUAUCAAGAAAGUAUCAGAAAACCUUCCACAAAUCUGUGUCAAGUUUUCUUCACAAUCUAGCUAGCUAUGCCUAGAGAAACAAUGAAGAAAGUGAGCUACAGUUUCUUUCAUUUUCAGUGGAAUUUGCUAGUCUUUGAGGAAAUUAAUUUUAUUACUUUGAUUAGUGUAAUGGGUUAUAUGAGGACUGGCCAUGGAUGCAAGCAAGAAUCUGCAAGGUAAACAAGAAAGGUUCAAGCUUGAAUUUCGGGGUUUUGAGUUUUUGGUGAUGAGUUUGAUGUAAGAAUUGAAGUGGGUCUUUUACUUUUUAAAAGAUUAAAGGUAUAACGCCAAGGAAGUCUCAAGGGGGAAGUUUCUGGUGCGGAAGUCUCCGGCAAAGUCAGCAUGUACCAUUCUCUCUCUGAAAUCACAAGUUGGGUGAGAUGCGGGGAUGUUUCCGGUAGCAAAGUCAAUAUUGCUCUGUUGGAGAGAGAGAGAGAGAGAGAGAGAGAGAGAGAGAGAGAGAGAGAGAGAGAGAGAGAGAGAGAGAGAGAGAGAGAGAGAGAGAGAGAGAGAGAGAAGAGAGAGAGAGAGAGAGAGAGAGAGAGAGAGAGNNNNNNNNNNNNNNNNNNNNNNNNNNNNNNNNNNNNNNNNNNNNNNNNNNNNNNNNNNNNNNNNNNNNNNNNNNNNNNNNNNNNNNNNNNNNNNNNNNNNNNNNNNNNNNNNNNNNNNNNNNNNNNNNNNNNNNNNNNNNNNNNNNNNNNNNNNNNNNNNNNNNNNNNNNNNNNNNNNNNNNNNNNNNNNNNNNNNNNNNNNNNNNNNNNNNNNNNNNNNNNNNNNNNNNNNNNNNNNNNNNNNNNNNNNNNNNNNNNNNNNNNNNNNNNNNNNNNNNNNNNNNNNNNNNNNNNNNNNNNNNNNNNNNNNNNNNNNNNNNNNNNNNNNNNNNNNNNNNNNNNNNNNNNNNNNNNNNNNNNNNNNNNNNNNNNNNNNNNNNNNNNNNNNNNNNNNNNNNNNNNNNNNNNNNNNNNNNNNNNNNNNNNNNNNNNNNNNNNNNNNNNNNNNNNNNNNNNNNNNNNNNNNNNNNNNNNNNNNNNNNNNNNNNNNNNNNNNNNNNNNNNNNNNNNNNNNNNNNNNNNNNNNNNNNNNNNNNNNNNNNNNNNNGAGAGAGAGAGAGAAUUUUAGUUCGCGCAGAGGGAGGAGGAAGGCAGAGGAUGAAAUAACCAACUAUAAGGGUAUUUUGGUAAACUCAGUAUAAGGGGUGUGUAGAUAGUAGAAAAGGGUGUGUAAAUUUCAGUACCCUAACUUUAUCUCUUCUUCUAAGUCAAAUAGAACAUGAAAAAUAAAGGUGUUAUAAAUCAUAUUGAAAAGGUGAGUGUAUUUUGGUUUUUAAGUCUAGUCUGGCUAGGUUUGUAAGCUUAAAAAGGUAAUUUCUUAUUGUCGGUCUUUAUGUGUGAGUUAUCUUGAUAUCGUUGCUGAAUAAUAUAAUUAGUUGACUUUCGACUAAAAAAAUAAUAAUUAUAUUUUACAUGCAUAUAUAUUGUUAACAUAAAUGAGUCGAGUUUUAAUGAAUGGGCCGAGCUUUUAACGAGCUCGAUCUACUCAUAUAAUAUAUGAGCUACCCAUGAGCUAAACAAGCCAAAUAUAUCAUUGUUUAAGCUUGGCUCUUUUCUUUUUUUAUCAAGCUUAAUAUUGAGCUCAAACUCGGUAAUUUGAUGUUUUUAAUGCAACUAACGUGCAAUAAUAGUACGGUCAUGAAAGAUAGGGGAAAUAUUUAGACCCUAAGUAUCGUAUCACGGGGAUUGAAAAGCUAACUCCAAUCCUCGGUUUUCCGAUUACUAAGUCACAAACAAUUUCUACAAAGUGAUAUGAACAGUGUGAAUGAUAGAGAAAGUUGAUUUUGGUUUUGGGAAACUAAAACUAAAAUUGAAAAUAAAAUAAAAAUAAUAGAAACUAAUCAAGGAAUGAGAAUUAGGUCACUAGGGUAUCCUCCUAGCCAAAUCUAAUACACAAAUGUGUUUUCAAUGGUCAUUCAAUUCCUAAUGGCAUCAAGAACCGUACCCAAGGCUUUUCAAGGCUCAAGGGUCAUUAGAUUCCUUAUGAGUUAUUCCUACUUCGGUUCAAGGGGAGUAGAUACUCGAUUGAGACAAUCUAGAGCCUUGUUAAGGCCUCUAGAUGAACCAAAAGGCGAAGAGUCCUAUAAUCAAGGUUCCCAAGCUAGCCAAUACGGCAAUCGGAAUUGGCAUUGUAACUAACCAUGUACUCAGCAAGUGUCAUAGUCAUAAAUUAGAGAAGUGAUUAAGUCCCCUAAUUUGUUCUAGACAUGCUCAUCUACACAUUCAAGAGUUAAUCAAGCUCCUAAUCAUGCAUCUAAGCCAAUAGUAAUAGAAUAGAACAUAUGCCUAAUAUGAAAUUGAAAUCCAUUGAAUCAAAACACAUUCAUUACAUUAAAUCCAAGCUAGGGCUCAAACCCUAGUUUCCUAAAUAGACUACUCACAAUCCAUCAACAAAUCAACAACAAAGUACAUCAAGUAAAGAGGUAAAGGUGAAGAGGAGUGAGAAGUAACAAGAACAAGCCACAAAUUGCUAUGGAGCAAUUGUGAUAAGCUUGAUUUAUAGUUUCUCACUUUACCCAAAUCUCAAAUAUAGAUGCCCUUGAUGCUCCCUUGAACUGCCUUGAAAUAUAGAUGGGAAUUUGGUGUAGAUGGAGUGAGAGUAAAAGGAUGGUGAUGGUGGUCUUGAGUAGUAGAAAAUGGUAGAGUGAGAGGAGAAUGGAGGCAUGGUGGCCUUGAGGAGAACUGAGGAUGAGAUGGUGGAAUGCUGAUUCGGUGGUGUGAGGAGAAGAGAGAAUAGGAUGGGAUCUUCUCCCUUCAAGUGAGGUUGUGCAGUGUUUAUCAAGGGGAUCCCCCAAUUAGGUCCCACAAGUCUUGAGAAAUUUCACAUUUUUUAGAUCUCUAGUUUUUUUUUUCCAUUCAUGUGUUUUUAUAGACAUCUCCUAAGAUAUAUUGGACCAUUUUAGCAUCAAAAACUCGUGACCUUUAUCAUUUUACUCGUAAACGAGCUUAAAUGACUCACGACUACCGUGUUCGGUAAAGUUGUUGGAACUGUUACUUUCUGAGAAACUGAAUGAAUUUCCAAGCCUGUGAAAUCUUCAAUUCUUCUCAUACUGACCUCGGGAUCCUAAAUUUUGAAAAAACUUAUGUGUCACCCAUUUUUCAAGUUUCACCCAAUUUGAUCAAAAACCCGAUGUUAUAGCACACAAGCUUUUGAGAAAUUUCACUUUUUCUGAGCCUCUGGUUUUUUUAUUCGUGUGUUUAGAGACACCUCCUAACAUCUAUUGAACCAUUGUAGCAUCCAAAGCUCGUGGCAUUAAUCACCACUACCCUGUUCGAUAAAGUUGUUAGAACUGUUACUCAGAUGAAGUGAAUGAAUUGUCAAUCUUGUGGAGUCUUAAAUUCUUCUCAUACUGACCUUGGGUACCUUAAUUUUGAAAAAUCUUAGGUGUUACCCAUCUUUUCAAGAUUCACUCAAUUUGUGUCAAAACCUCUUGUUAUAACCUAUAGCCCACGAGUCUUGAAAAAUUUCACAUUUUUUAGAUCUCUGGUUUUUUUUUCCAUUCAUGUGUUCUUAUAGACAUCUCCUAAGAUCUAUUGAACCAUUUUAGCAUCAAAAGCUAGUGAUCUUUAUCAUUUUACUCGUAAUCGAGCCAAAAUGACUCACGAUUACCGUGUAUGGUAAAAUUGUUGGAACUGUUACUUUCUGAGGAACUAAGUGAAUUGCCGAUCUUAUAGAGUUUUCAAUUCUUCUCAUACUGACCUCGGGUACCUCAAUUUUGAAAAAACUUUGGUGUUACCCAUCUUUUCAAGUUUCACCUAAUUUGUGCCAAAUCCUCUUGUAAUAGCCUAUAGCCCACAAGUCAUGAGAAAUUUCACAUUUUUUAUAUCUCUGUUACCCAUCUUUUCAAGUUUCACCUAAUUUGUGUCAAAUCCUCUUGUAAUAGCCUAUGGGAAAUUCUAUGGUACCUACCUGUAUGUGAUACCUACAUUUACACAUGUGACAACAUAUUUGUAGUCAAAAUGGUAAUGCUGAGUUGUAUUGUUUGUAAUCUUGUUCUAAUAAUUGUAAUUAUAAAAUGUACAACCAUUUUACAACUUUUUGAACAAAUUGUUCUCAUAGUUGUGAUUUUGUUUAACUUCAUGUAAAUAGUGAAAAUAAAUUUGGUAAAUUUGUUCUCAAUGUUGUAAUUUGAUUCAUAACAUUAUAAUUUUUGUUCAAGUACAUGUAAAAUAAAAGUAGGAUAUACAUUCCAGUACCAUAGCUCAUCUCAUAGCCUAUAGCCCACGAGUCAUGAGAAAUUUCAUAUAUUUUAUAUCUCUGUUACCCAUCUUUUCAAGUUUCAUCUAAUUUGUGCCAAAACCUCUUGUUAUAGCCUAUAGCCCACGAGUAUUGAGAAAUUUCACAUUUUUUAUAUCUCUGGGUUUUUUUUUCCAUUCAUGUGUUCUUAUAGACAUCUCAUAACAUCUAAUGAACCAUUUUAGCAUCAAAAGCUCGUGACCUUUAUCAUUUUACUUGUAAUCAAGCCUAAAGAACUCACAACUACCAUGUUCGGUAAAAUUGUUUGAAUUAUUACUUUCAGAGAAACUGAAUGAAUUGCCAAUCUCGUGGAGUUUUCAGUUCUUCUCAUACUGACCUCGGGAACCUCAAUUUUGAAACAACUUAGGUGUUACCCAUCUUUUCAAGUUUCAACUAAUUUGUGCCAAAACCCCUUGUUAUAUCCACGAGUUUUGAGAAAUUUCAUAUUUUUUGGAUUUCUGGUUUUUUUUCUAUUCUUGUGUGCGUAUAGACAUUUUCUAAAAUCUAUUGAACCAUUUUCGUGGAAUUUAUUACAAAUGUUUCAACAAAAUGUACUUAUGUUUGUAAAAACGUUGGGAAAGAUGUAAUUAUUUUCUCAAUACAAAAUACAUCACCCAAUUACGAAACUGAGUGAAUUUCCAAGCUUGUGAAGUCUUCAAGUCUUCAAUUUAUUACAAAUGUUUCAACCAAAUGUAAUUAUGUUUGUAAAAACGUUGGGAAAGAUGUAAUUAUUUCUUAAUAUAAAAUACACCACCCAAUUACAAAACCGAGAACAAUAUUACGUGAAUGAGGACAAAUUGUCUAUUUGGUCUGAGUAUGAAAAUUUACCAUCUCGACAACACAUUCGUCCUCAAAUUUGUAAAAUUGGUCAUAAAUCUGUAAAUUUGGUUCAGAUCUCGUAAUUACAACAUAUGGAUAUGUAUUACAAAACUUUCAACCAAAUGUCCUAAUUCUUGUAAAAGCGUUGUGAAAUAUGUAAUUAUUUUCUCAAUACAAAAAAACACCAACCCUAAUUAACAAAAACCAAAUAAACCAUAUUACGUGAAUGAAGACAAAUGAUCUAUUUGGUCUAAAUAUGAAAAUUUAAUCAUCUCGACAACACAUUCGUCCUCAAUUUUGUAAAAAGGGUUAUAAAUCUAGAAAUUUAGUCCAGAGCUGGUAAUUACAACAUAUGAACAUUUAUUACUAAAGUUUUAACCAAGUGUCCUCGUAUUUGUAAAAACGAUGUGAAAAAUGUAGUUAUUUUUUCAAUACACAAAAGACCACCCAAUUACAAAACCAAAACCCUUAUUACGUGAAUUAAGACAAAUGCUCUAUUUGGUUUGAAUUAGAAUAUUUACCAAUUUGAGAACACAUUUGUCCUCAAUUUUGUAAAACUCUUCAUAAAUUUGUAAAUUUGGUCGAGAUCUCGUGAUUACAACUUAUGGACAUUUAUUACAAAAGUUCUAAUCAUAUGUCCUUUUGUUUGUAAAAAAAAAAAAAAAAAUACAAAAAAAUCACGGUAUAGGAAAUUGAUGGUUACUUUAGAAUUCACCUCCUACUUCAACAAACUGAGGCUCAAAUAUACAUGGGAAAAAAAACAAAUAGUACAAGAAGUUGAACAUGGCACGUACUUAUCUGUACAUGUACCUAAAUGAGAAAGUCGCAAUAGCUAGCUAGGAUUUUUGUUGAAAUAUUGAGCAUCAAAAGUAGAGUUCAUUUUUGUUUAUUUGGAGAGAUGACAUAAGGUAUUUGGUGAAUUGGGUUAUUGUGAUCGUUGAUGUUUGGUUUGUGAUCAAGUUGUAUGUGGUCAUUGUUUUGUGCCAAUGUGCCUAGCUCAUGGCUCAGAGCUAGUCAUGCUUGUUGUUUUGUGAUAAGGUCCAGAAUGCAUUGGUGUAAUCCAAUUCUCUUCCGACGCAGUCCCGGCAAUUUCAUCAAGGGAUCACUGAGCUCCUUUUCCACACCCACCAAGUUUCUCUGAGCCUCACCACUUUUUGGCCCAUGGCCGAGAGCCAAUAGGGUCUUCCUUGAUUCCUCUAUUUCCUCACCAGCAAGCUGCAGUUAAUCAAAUAUGACAAGAGCAAUUUGUUACAAUACCAAAAUCAAUGCUAAAAUAAAAAAUGAAGUGACAAAAUGAAGCUACAAACUUCCUAUCUUGGAUUCAUGAGUUACUUUCAACUCCAAAAAAAAAUAUAAAAAAAUAAAAAUCAUGAGUUACCUUAAUUUGUUCCUCUAAGGCGUUCUUUGAAACCAAAGAAGUCCAAGUCUUUCCCAUUACAAGAGUGGGACUAGCAUUUCCAGUCUUAUCAUUAGCAGUUGGUGUUUUAUCUGCUUUUUCUAGCAGUACAACUCCACAUUUUUCUAUACUGCAUUCAAGAUCUCUGAUUUCGCCUCCGCGGUCUUUCGUACCUCCCCUGCUGAUCGUAAAUGUACCUUGCACCCACUCAAACUUUUGAUAACGAGCAAUAUGCCACCACCAAUUGUGAUACAUACGGUGCCUUGUAUAGUUCCCAGUCCUUCUCAACUGUCAAACAAACCAGAUCCAAAUUAAGAAUAAGCAUAUAUAUACUUCAACCAGUAAUUUAUCUUUGAUUUUCAAUCUUACAUGUUCAGUAGCAUAUGCAAUAUCUGCUUCACAUUGACGACAUUGAGUACAAAGUAAAGCCAAACUAUCCUUCUCCUUCUGCUUCUGAAUCCCUUUUAUCUCCUUCAGAAGCCUCUUUUCUGUAACCAAACUCUUGCUUCCAUGUUCCAUCCGGUAACGCAAGUUUUGCAUCCAUCAAUCCUUACAUUAACUAUGACAUGCAUACAUCGUAACAUGUGUUUAAUUAUAACUACACACACAGUCACACACAUAUAGUAACUGAUCGACUGCUUCUUACAUGAUUCCUUGUCUCUUGGGCUGAUAAGCCUGCCUCGAUUGGUUUCUUUUGGUAAGCAUUAUCUAUGAAACGAAGCUUAUGUAGAACUACUGCAACCACUUCCUUGCUUUCAUGGAUCACAGAAUAUACGAGUUCCUCUUGAUCAAGAGAUAGUAUAUCGCCUCUAUCAAGCUAUAUAUUGACAGGAAAGUUAUAAUUUGAUAUCAGUUUAAGUGAUCACAAGCUAGCAGCUAACUUGUGGAGAAUCUAACAUACCUUGUUUUGCAUCAAUGUUUCAGUGAACCAAGGUUUAUCUGGACCAAUUGUUGCAACCAUCUCCACAGCCUCCUCAACUCUGGGUUUUAAACUAGCUUUCAAUUCCUCCAUAUGUUGUGUUUGUUGCCUAGCACAAUCCAAUUCUAGUGUUUCCUUACAUUCAAGAUUUUAGUUCUUUCCCCAACAUAGCAUAUGAAUAUGUAUAAAAAGUAGACUAAAACAAUAGCAAUGAGAAAAGAGUUUAUGAAAUACCUGAAGUAAGUUAAACUAUUUCUUUCGAGCAGAGUUGUCUAUUACAUACAGCAGUAUAAGACUUUGUAUUUAUUAAAGGAAGAAAUCAGGUACAUGAUCUCUUGUAUCAAUGGAUUGAUUCCAGUGGUUAUUCUAGAGUAAUUGAUGGAUCAUGGAGUUAUUCUAGCAAUCAUAUUGGAGUAACUCAUGGAUCGUGACUAUGUGUAAUUAGUUGAUUGCACUUUUAUAGCUUUCCUAGAAUAGCUCUACAUUCUCCUUGUAUAUAAAAGUUGUUGUAUCAUUUGAAGAAAAUCAAUACAGAAAUAUAUUACAUUCACAAUUUUCUUAUGGUAUCAGAGCACCGAUCUUAGUGACUCACCCAUCUUCCGCAAACACAUCAAACACUAUCAAAACUAGAACAUCACCAAAUCAACGUUAUGGCCUACACAGAAGGACACACUGUCCAAAGCCACACAAACAAACAUGACGUACCUACUUAUCCUACAUCAUUCCGACGCAUAGUCACACCUACCUGCAAUAUUGCACAUACUGAUCCUCAUUCGACAUUAUAUUGGAUCAUGGACAGUGGAGCAACGGACCAUGUUUCUUAUCUAUCACCUACUCACAACAAAAUCACCGCAUCUCAUGAUUUUGUUGGUCUACCUAAUGGUGGGAAAGCCGCAAUUGAAAGCAUUGGAACUAUUAAGUUGUCAACUGAUUUGAACCUUGAUGGUGUUCUUCAUGUGCCUAAAUUCCGAGUAAAUUUAAUAUCUGUGAGUAAAUUGACUCGGGCAUUGAAAUGCAUUGUGAUUUUUUAUCCGGAUUUUUGUGUUGUGCAGGACGUGGAUACGAGGAGGACGAUUGGACUGGGCAAGCAUUUUAACGGACUCUACUACCUCACACCAAGACAAAACCCUCACCUAGCCAGCCAUGUUACUCGUACCUCAGACCUUUGGCAUCAAAGACUUGGGCACCCAUCAUCCUCACCCCUCCAUUUUUUGUCCCAAACCAUUCCCGAAAUUAUGUUUGAUCCCCAACAUGUAUGUGAUAUUUUUCCUUUAGCAAAACAAUCCCGUUUAUGUUUUCCAUCAAGUUCUAUAAAAACGGUUGCACCUUUUGAUUUGAUUCAUUGUGACAUUUGGGGUCCACAUAAAACUCACACACAUUCUGGUGCUCGUUAUUUUCUCACCAUUGUUGAUGACUUUUCUCGUUUUACUUGGGUCCAUCUCAUGCGAUUUAAGUCUGACACACAACCAUUGAUCAAAUCUUUCUUCUCUUGGGUCAAAACUCAAUUCAAUCGUGACAUCAAAAUCCUUCGUUCUAAUAAUGGAAAGGAAUUUAUUUCACUACGUUCCUUUCUUGACGAACGUGGUACAAUUUUUCAACAUACUUGCGUCUACACUCCUCAACAAAAUGGAGUUGUUGAACGCAAACAUCGUCACCUUUUAAAUGUGGGUCGAGCUCUUCGUUUUCAAUCCAAUUUACCUUUAAAGUUUUGGGGAGAAAGUGUUUCUACUACUUGUUAUCUCAUAAACCGACUCCCUACACCUCUUUUUUCCCACAAAUCACCAUACGAGCUCUUACAUGGGACUUCACCUACUUACUCUCACCUUCGAGUUUUCGGUAGCUUAUGCUAUGCCACCAACCUCAACCCCAAACACAAAUUCGACAAACGUGCACAUCCUUGCAUAUUUAUUGGGUAUCCUCUUGGAGAAAAAGGCUAUCGAGUGUAUGAUCUUGAGAAAAAGAAUUUUUUCACCUCUCGAGAUGUUGUCUUUCAAGAAAACAUUUUUCCUUGUUCUGCACUUCCUAAAGAGGACCAAGAGGAUUAUCUAAUUCUUCCCAUCAACCCAACCCAACACCUUCAGCCCAACCAACAGGCCCAUUCCCCUCAACCCAUCCACAUAACACCAACUCCUUCUCUAUCCUUACCAACGACAACAGAUCGGGACACCAGACCAACCCACCCUCCUUCGUCACCGGCGCUCCCUCAAAUCCAGUCAUCACCGGCGUCGCCCUCAUCGGCGCAUCCCACUCCACCCUCCCCGGCGCCUCACACUCAGCUGGCCACACCGCUGGAUCCCACCUCAGUGAACCCAGAAAAUCUCGCCGGAGACAUCUCAGCCCUCACAGAUGGGCUCCCGUCGCCGGCGUCGCCCCGACCUCCACCACUCGACCCCGCUUCUGUCACCACUAACCUCUCACCACCGCCAUCCAUCACUCCUUCCCGACCUCUUCAAACACAUCACCACCGACCUCCAAUCUCGGCCUCCACAGAUCCAGGACCGGCCACCUUACCGGAACCACCAUCCUCUUCGCCCAAUUGGCCUGUUGCGCAAACCCAAAAUGCCAUCCCCGACACUCAGACAUCACCACCACCUACAGCUCCAUCACCUGAGGUAUUACGUCGAUCUGAUCGAACCCGCAACCCACCACCAUACCUCAAUGACUACCACACCAAUCAUGUCGUUUUGCUUGGCCCAGCCGUCGGUCUCUCCACCACGUCCGGCACUCGUUAUCCCCUGCAGAGGUACAUCUCUUACUCUGGUUUGUCCACUGGCUAUCGAUCAUUUGUUAACAAUAUAUCUCAAUUAGUGGAACCAGCUACUUAUGAACAGGCCAGCCAUGAUCCCCAAUGGGUUACAGCGAUGAAUAAUGAGAUUCAGGCUCUUGAAGAUAAUAGAACAUGGUCACUAGUCCCUUUGCCUCAAGGUCAGCGUCCAAUCGGCUGUAAAUGGGUUUUCAAGAUCAAAUACAAUUCGGACGGCACUGUUGAACGAUACAAGGCGCGGCUUGUUGCCAAGGGAUUCAAUCAGAGAGAAGGGAUCGAUUACAAGGACACUUUUGCUCCGGUGGCCAAAUUGAUUACUGUACGUUGUUUGUUGGCUGUUGCUGCUGUUCGGCACUGGCCCUUACACCAGAUGGACGUCCAAAAUGCGUUCCUACAUGGAGAACUCACUGAGGAGGUGUAUAUGAUGCCACCACCAGGUUAUUGUCGACAGGGGGAGAAAUUAGUUUGUCGACUUCACAAGUCCUUAUACGGCCUUAAACAAGCAUCCCGCAGCUGGUUUCAAAGGUUCUCAUCCUCUAUUCAAGAAUUUGGCUUCCAACAGUCUCAUGCUGACUAUUCGUUGUUCACUCAGGUUUGUGGCAAUUCAAUUACUGUGGUGUUGCUUUAUGUGGAUGAUAUGAUUAUCACAGGAAACAAUGAAGAGGCCAUUUUAAAUCUCAAGCAAUUUCUUAAUAGCCGUUUCAAAAUUAAAGACCUUGGACCUUUGAAAUAUUUUUUGGGCAUAGAAGUUGCACGUUCCAAGGCAGGGAUUACAAUAUGUCAGCGGAAAUACACAUUAGACAUUUUGGAGGAAGCCGGAUUGUUGGGAGUGAAGCCUGCAACAGUACCUAUGGAGCCUAACUUGGUAUUAACGACAAAGGGAAGUGAUGCUCUCAAAGAUCCAACUAGAUUUCGACGUCUGAUUGGGAAGCUAAUUUAUUUGACAAUCACCAGGCCAGAUAUCACAUUUGCAGUCAAUUCAUGCAAGAACCAAAGUUACAUCAUCAUAAGGCAGCCCUUCGUCUUCUCCAUUAUCUAAAAUCUGUUCCUGGCCAAGGGUUAUUCUUUUCGUCACAGAAUUCACUUCGUUUGAUUGGGUACUGCGAUGCAGAUUGGGCUAGAUGUCCACUCACAGUCGCUCUGUGACAGGUUUUUACAUAUUUCUUGGACAAUCACUCAUCUCAUGGAAAAGUAAGAAACAGGUCACUGUUUCUAGAUCCUCAGCUGAAGCUGAAUACCGUUCGAUGGCUGCAUCUGCUUGUAAGCUUUCUUGGCUUAGAUACUUGUUGACUGACUUGCAUGUGAUUCAUCCUCAGCCAGCAAUAUUAUUCUGCGAUAAUCAAGCUGCUUUACACAUAGCAGCGAAUCCGGUUUAUCAUGAGAGAACAAAACAUAUCGAGUUGGAUUGCCAUACUGUUCGGGAAAGAAUUCAAAAGGGAGAACUCAAAACGGCUUAUGUACCUACUGGGAAUCAAAUAGCUGAUAUGUUUACUAAGUCAUUACGUGCACCUGCCUUCCACGCACAUCUUAGCAAGUUGAGUGUCAUUGAUAUCCACACUCCAACUUGAGGGGGAGUAUUAAAGGAAGAAAUCAGGUACAUGAUCUCUUGUAUCAAUGGAUUGAUUCCAGUGGUUAUUCUAGAGUAAUUGAUGGAUCAUGGAGUUAUUCUAGCAAUCAUAUUGGAGUAACUCAUGGAUCGUGACUAUGUGUAAUUAGUUGAUUGCACUUUUAUAGCUUUCCUAGAAUAGCUCUACAUUCUCCUUGUAUAUAAAAGUUGUUGUAUCAUUUGAAGAAGAUCAAUACAGAAAUAUAUUACAUUCACAAUUUUCUUAGUAUUUAAGCCAAGAAAACUCUUGCACCCCACGCAGAGUAGCUGUAGGUCAACUCAAUCAUUCUGUAACUUUUUAAAUUGGUAUCUAAAUGAUCAAACCAGUUACUUUUCAAGGGAUUCAUGUUGAUGGAUUCAAAGCUAAUGAGAUUAUUGAAGACUAAUUAUUCAUUAGCUCUGUCAUUAUAUCUAAUUAAUUAUAUAGUUGUUGGAUCGAGCGGUAUCCAAUGAUGUUGGCAGCAAGAACUUCGGAUGUUUCUCAUCUUAAGGCUGCGGAGUCUGCCUGUUCGGCCUAUCUACCAGAGAGUACAGGUUGGUUCCCUACAUACAAUUAAAUCUAACCUCAACAUUGAAAAUUUGAAAUUAUCCACAAGUCCCAGAGCUACUGAAAUAGGAGAAAAAAGUGAAUCUGUGAAUGUUUUGUUACUGAUGCUUUUGUGAGGAGGGUCAGUGUUCUAAACUGAAAAGAUUGGUGCUAUUGAUGAAUUCUGUUGAUUAGUGCUUGUUUUUGCUAACAACAGAAGCUGUUAGAAUCUGAAACAUGCUUAUCUGGGUGUUGUGUAUCAGUUAGCAUUAGAGUGAAUAAGAUUGAACUUCACAGAAUAGUAGAUCUCAGUAAUAAUAGACAUUAUGACUAGCAUAUAGUAGAUCAAGUAUACGAAUCCAAAUGCACUUACGCAAAUAAGUCGAACACAUGAGCUUUAUGUAUUGUAUUGUGCCUUAUGGCUCAUACUCAUAUAGUCAUGACUUGUUAUCUGGGCAUCAUAAUGCAUUCUUGUGCUUCAGUUCUUCCUGUGAUCUAGUACUGGCAAUUCCUUCCUCAGUGAUUCUAUAUCUUUUUCCACAUCCACCAACUUUCUCUUAGCUUGACCAAGAGUUGGACCAAAAGCCAACAGGGUUUUCCUUAGUUCCUCUAUUUUCUUACCAGCAAGCUGCACAUAAUAAAAUAAUAAAUCCUGACAGAAUAAAAAAAUAGUUACAAGAGUAGGACUAGCAUUUGCAUCAUUAUAGCAAUUGGUAAGGCUACAAAUUAAUCAAUUAUGCAAAUAACCAAAAGAAAAACAUAAUUAAGUGACAAAUUUUCUUAAUUAUCUAAUUUCAUGACCUACCUUAAUUUGCUCCCGUAAGGCUUCUUUCGAAUCCAAGGAAGUCCAAGUCUUUCCCUUCACAAAAGUUGGACCAGCAUUUGCAUUAUUCUUAGCAAUUGGUGGUUUAUCUGCUUUCCUUACCAGUACAAUUCCACAGCUUUUGAUUCUGCAUUCGAGCUCUCUGAUUUCUCCUUCACGGUCUUUGGUAUCUCCCUUGCUGAUCAGGAAUGGCAUCUGGUGUUGCAACCACCAAAUAUGUUCAUGCCGACCAAUUUGCCACCACCAAUUCUGGUUCCUUCUAUAGUUCCCAGUCUGUUUCAAUAGUCAAACAAACCAAAAUCCAAAGAAUAAGCUAAUGAAGCAUAUAUCCUUACAAUUAAGGUAAUUGGUUAAGCAGUAAAUUAAUUAUCUUUAGUUUUCGUUCUUACAUUUUCAGGAACAAAUGUAAGAUCUUUUUCCAAUUGAGUCCAAAAUAAAGCAAAACUGUCCUCCCUCUCAUCCUGCCUCUGGUUUCGUUUGAUCUCUUUCAGAAGCUGCUUUUCCUUGGCCAAAUUCUUGCUUCCAUGAACCAUCCGGAAAUGCAAGUUCUGCAUCCGUCAAUCCUUACAUUAUGACAUGCAGACGUAUAUUAAUGUGUGUAUAACCAUAUAUACAGUCAUUCUUACAUGUUUACUCAUCUCUUCAACUGACAAGCAUGCCUCAAUUGGUUUCUUUUGGUAUGCAUUAUCUGCGAAACGAAGCUUAUGUAGAAGUAGUUGCAGUAGAUCUAUUUUCUUCCUUUCAAGGAUCACAGAAUAUACGCGGUUCUCUUUAUAUGUAUUUAGAGAUAACAAACGGAGCCUUUCAAGCUGUUGACAGGAAAUGUUGAUUUGAUCAUUUACUGAAUUAGUUAUUGUCACUAGUUAACAGCUAGCUAGCACAUACUGGAAAAUAUGUAGAGAAAUUCAUGAUACCAUCUUUUCAUCCAUUGAAUGAGCGAACCAACGUGUAUCUUUUACCCAUUGUUGCAUUAACCAGCUUCAUAGCCUCUUCAAUUCUGAUGGAGCAAAGAUCAAAUCCUGGAUUUUAGUAUCGAAUUCAAGAUUUUAGUAGCACUCUCCCCAACAUUAAAACUAAAUACAAAACAAAGAAAUCAAUAUGAUAAAACAGUUGAUGAAUUACCUGAAGUGACUUAAACUGUUUGAUUGGGACUCUGAGUAAAGUUGUAUCUUACUGUAUUACAUACACCAGUACGUUAAGGCUUCCUAUGUAUUUAAGCCAAAUGUGGAUUACCUUAACUGCUCAGAUGAUCAGGCAGUACAGCAAGAGAUUGGAAGUACUUCUGAUUUGGAAUUUGAGUAGGCUGUGCUAUCAGUGCUAUGACACAAGAGGUUUAUAAUACAUAUAGGUGUAAGUAUGCAUCACUGUAUCUAUAGUUAAAGACUUCUUGCAUCCCACGCCAAGAAUAAGUCAGCUCGAGUUAUUAAUCUAUAGCCUUCUCAAACAAUUCGUAUUCAAUAAUUCCAGGCAACAUCGCGUCUGCAAGAAAUCAAGAAUACAUGCAACUUGAAGAACAUAAAUCAAACAACAAGUUAUGAUCUUUUUAUUUCUUGAAGAGAUUUUAAGUGAUUGUACCAAACAGAAAUCAUUCACUUGUUUUUUGUUGAUCCAUAUAAUAAGAGUGCCUCUAUGAAUGCUGCUGCAGAAAAUGGUUUAGUCCUACUCUAAAUUCAUCUCAAUUUUUUUUAUUUAGCACCAAUAAGUGAUUCAUACCAGAUUUGUAAGAACUAAGAACAAACUCUGCAAGUACAUAAUGGCUAGAGAAGUAAAAUCGAAAACAGGGAGCUUUUCACUAAAUAUUGCAAGAAUGUUACAUGAAGAUGGUGAAUAAGUGAGAUUUUCCCAUCACCUCUUACAUUACAGUGUGCCAAUAAAAACACUCAACAAAAGGCUUAAAUAUGGGAAAGAAAAGUAGUACAUUAAGCUUAACAAGGUACAUACAGCCUAAAACCAUGAUACAGAAACAGAAACAAACCCUCUCUUUUCAGGUUGUGCAAUAUCACUUAGUAACUGGUACUAUUUGAAUUUUACUACCUCAAAACUUAUAUAGUUUUGAGUUCUGAAAGAGAAGACUUGUCCCAAGUAGCAAAUUACAGGCACCUUGUCAGCUCUUUUAUUUACUUGUGAAGGAACUGGCUUCAAUUUGUGUGAGUUCCCCUUGAUGUCACAUCAGACGAGAUAACCUACUGAAUCAGUAGUAAUAGUAGUAACAGUAUGAUAAAGAUUCCAACCUGGAUUCAAAUGAAAAUAAAAUGCCAUCAAUAUCAGUAACAAUACGAAGAUUCUAGCUAAGAUGUCAAAAAUCAGAAAGUCACAAGAAUUUGAUGACCAUUCUACUGCUAAUAAAUGAAAGAGAAACUAGAACGAAAGAGUUUGAUCCAACACUCCAACCAGCAACCUUGACAAACCUCAAAGCCUGUAAUUGCACACUUGCAAUUACUACUGACCACUGGGAUAAUUAGUUGGGUUAUUGUGAUGAAUUUAUUCUGUUAUGAAUUGUGUACUAAUCGUUUGUUGUAACUUUACCUCAUGGAAUUCACAUCACUGUGUCUCCAAACGUUCUCGUAUACAAUCUGAUAUGGAAAUCUCUUUCUCCAUGAAUCUAUACCCCUUUUCAUGGCUUCUGAUUCUCUCUCAACUUGACUAAUUAUUUUCCCAAGACCAAGAGCCAGUAGGGUUUUUCUUAAUUCUUCUAUUCUUUCAGAAGCAACCUGCAAAUGAAUUAUGAAAGGAAAUAUAAACAAGUUUGUUAUAUAACUGAAAGUAGAGGCAGAAAAACUAAUAUAGGACUACCUCAUUACUCAUGGAUCCUAUUUGAUGAGUUAGGAGUCUAUAUGUUACCUUAACUUUCUCCUGUAAGGCUUUUUUUAAACCCGAAGAACUCGAAAUUAUUCCCUUCCAAGCAGCGUUAGCAUUCACAUUAUUCUUGACCAUGGCAUCAUAAUCACUUGCCUUACAAUUCCACAUCUCUGUUGACUCCAUUGUUAUUAGCAAUGGCUUCAGAAUCACUUUCCUUAACUGCAUCUCCUGUAAUGAUCCAAAUAUAAGAAACACAUAUACAAGGUAAUUGAUCGGAGGCAAUCGAAAUAUUAAACUUUUGUUCUUACAAGUUCUUGUUCCAAUUGAGUCCAAAAUGUAACAAACUUAUCAUCCUGCUGGCUCAGUUUCAUAUCUUUCAAAAGCUGCUUUUCCUUUGUCAAACUCUUGCUUCCAUGCACCAUCUGUAAUGAAUAUUUGAACCGAAGUUUAUCUUGAGACAUCUCUGCAAUCAGCUUCGUAGCCUCUUUGAUUUUGACUUCUAAUUCAGGAUCCAUUUUCUUCACAGUGUAUCGCAUUGCCUGCAGUGUUGAUACAAAGGUAAAAGCAAAGCACGUUAUACACUAACAAUAACAAUACAUGAUAAACCAGUAAAAUGACUGUUCUGAUAUUUACCUCUACUGCUCAGAUAUUCAGGUGUUACAGCAAGAGACUGAAGCACUUUAACUGGGAAUUUGGGCAAACUAUGUGCAAUACGUACUAGUAUAAACCUUCCUGUAUAUGCAAGCCAAAAGACCUUGCUCCCCAAGCAAAGAUUAGGUCAACUCCAAUCAUCAAUCCAAAAAUACCUUGUCAAACAAUUCUUAUUCAAUAAUAGUUCAGGGUCGUGAGACAUUGAGAAACAUUAGAAUGAGCAACUUCAUAUCAGCUUAAUGAGUAAACUUUAGAUCGGACCAGGAUUCCAUUAUACAUUUUCUUAAUUUUUUUUUUUUUUUAUGGUUCAUAAAUCUGACCUAAGUUUGUGAUUAUUCCUUUUACGGUUUUAAAACCAGUAGUAAUAAAACCAAUAGUAAUAAGCUUUUGAUUUCAACCCUUUAUAAUUGAAAAGUUAUCAGAUUAUAGUUUGAUGGUGGAAGAAUGUCCAGCCAAGUAUUGUUGUUCAUCUAAGAGCAUGUAACUUCUCCAUAUUGUAACAUACCAAGGUUCUUCACAACCGCAGUCAUCCAACCAUGGAGUUGUCAGGUACCAAACAAGCAUUGUUUUCGGUCUAGGUGUUCGAGAACAGGAGUAUUAGUUGGCUCAAAGACAAAGACAGGAAGAAAUGCAAUGGAUUGAGACAAUCACUAUGCACAUGGCUUGCCAGAAACUUCAUGGGAAUGAAUUAUAAUAUAGCAUAGAGAAUCCUAAGGGGAGAAGUUGGUCACAAAUUCAGCAAAGCCUUCCAAAUUCUUGACAGGCCAGUUUGUUUAAAAACAAAAUGCUUCCUUCACUUAACAAAACUCAAAUCCAAAGUAGCACCCUUGCAGCAAAAUAUAAAGCUUCCCUGUCUCUCUCUUCUCCCUGCAUUGGUUAGCUACUUCAUGGUUCAAAACUGAUGUUAAUCUAUUGAGGACCAGUAAUUGAUCCCAUACAUAUAUGUCAAAAGUGCCAGACUCCCACACAACCACCUCACAGCACAAGUCUAAAGUAAAUUCUGCUGAAAAAAUAUUGCAUAUGAAACUAGAGUUUUUCGGUAAAAGGCUAAACCAUGAAGAAACUAGUAGCAUCAAGCUCAAAAUGUUACAGAUAACCUAAAUUUGACUGGUACAGAUAGAGAAUCAAAUCUCAUAACAUAAAUGUGGAAUAGCAAUUGUCAAUUAGGCAAUACUUACAAGCAAACCAUAUCAGCAAAACUCAAAACUUGUAUUCUAUCAAAAAGAAAACUCAAAACUUGUAAUUUUGAACAAAACCAACAUGGAACUAUAAUAAAAGUACAUAACUUGAUUCAAAACCUGAAAGAAGAGGAGGCAAUAUAGUACCAACAUCUCAUCCAAUUUACAUUUCAAUCAUUUGCACCGAUCCAAAUCAUGAUCCUUAACAUCACAACUACUACAUCAUCUCACAGCUCAAUAAAAACACAAAAUACAAGACUGUCUUUCAGGACUUGCAAAUAAAACUUGAACAAAAAGCUAAAACAUCACCUACAACCAAAUCAAAGGCCAUAAAAGAAUUGGCUGUACUUAACCUUAAGCCACCUGAAGCUUUUCCUGAAGGAGCCCUUCAUCUUUCCCUCAACAGCAUACAUCUUGUAGCUAGCAACCCUCUUCUUCCUCUGCAACUCAGGAUCACUCAGAGCCCAAGAAGAAGACUUUGACCUAGACACUGUAGCAGCCUUCCCCUUCUUCAAAUCCCUGUUGUUGUAGUUAUAUGGAUAAUUCCCCAUCUGAGCCUGAGCAUAGGAGGCACUGUAACUGGUGAGCUCAUAAGAAGUGGGUGGUGGUGGUGCUCUUGGGGGUCCAUAGUAGUUGUCCAUCUGCAUGGUCCCGCUGCCACCAUAAGACUUUGAUCUGUUAUGGUCUCCCAUUGAAGGAGCUUCCCAGAAGAAGAAGCAAAGAAUAAGCACCACUGGAAAAUGGACCCCAAAGGAAUGUGACUUCCUUCUGGCUUUGGUUGUUUUGGAUUUUGUUUCUUGCUCAUUUUUAUAAGGCGGUAAAGGCUGACUUUUAUAAUAGAUGAUUUCAGUGGCGUGUACAGCAGGGAAUCAUUUUGUCUAUGAAAUGUGUUUCUUUUUCUUCAUUUUUUUACCCACAUCUAAUCUCGAUAAAUCUUGAGCCCUUAAAGUGUGUAUUUGAGGCUUUGAGCAAAACCAUUUCAAAACUACAAGUUCCAAGAUUUCUUGUAAAAUUUGAACAAGUCUUUUGGGUAAGAAUUUCACCAAAAGGAGGAGAAAAUGGACAAGUUUUGUUUGUUGUGAAGGCAUUCUAUCCUCUUCUUGUACAGUACAACAGUUAUCUUGCAGGAUUUAACAAUGCUGAAAGGUACAUAACACCUAUCUUGCUCAGAUUGAACAAUGUUGAAAUGUACCUGAAAGAGACCCAGAGAAAGAAAGCAGUAAUCAUCUAACAAAGCAAACAUUCUAGAUAUACCUAAAGAAGGAUACAAAAUAUGCAACGUUUAAACAAACAAUGAGAAAUUUCUACAUAAUAUUACCUCAUAACCAAGUCUUAGAACAAUAAGGGCAAUCCAAAAUAAGUUAAUACUGCAAACUUGUCUCGAAUACUAAACAAAAUUUUUAAGUGGUUUAUCCACACCUGAAAUGGGGAUGGAAUCCAGUCACAAACGGACAGGACCACUACCCCAGUUUCAAGUAAUCCAUGCUAAAUAACAGCCCUUACACCUACAAGGAGGAAAAUAAAUAUGGCUUUCUGAAUUACAAAGCCAAUUACCACACCAAACCAAAACCUUGCUUACAGAAGAUCAGCAACAUUAGCAGGCAGCUCCUCAAUUACGACAUUGUAGAACUUCUGGAUGUCAAACAACAUCCUUUCAUCAUCCUUGGUCACAAAGUUGAUGGCAACACCCUUCCUCCCAAACCUACCACUACGACCAAUACGAUGCAGGUAGUUUUCCGGCUGUGUAGGAAGGUCAUAGUUAAUCACAAGAGACACCUGCUGGACAUCAAUACCACGGGCCAACAGAUCAGUUGUGAUGAGCACACGAGAAGAACCAGACCUAAACUCUCUCAUGAUGAUGUCCCUAGUGUUUUGCUCCAUGUCACCAUGGGUGGCAGAGACCGUGUGAUCACGGCUGCGCAUCUUGUCUGUCAGCCAAUCAACUUUGCGCCUGGUGUUCACAAAGAUGACACUCUGGGUGAUUGCCAAGGUCUCAUAAAGAUCGCAAAGCGUUUCAAGCUUCCACUCUUCCUUGUCAACAUUGACAUGGAACUGCUUAAUACCCUCAAGAGUGAGCUCAUCACGUUUCACCAAAAUUCUCACAGGCUUGUUCAUGAACUUCCUGGUGAUAUCAAGGGCUUCUGGUGGCAUUGUGGCAGAAAAAACACCCACCUGAAUUUUGGGUGGGAGCAGCUGGAAAAUGUCAUAGAUCUGAAAAUAUGAACAGAAACGGUCAGUACAGAAAACCACGCACAAAAAAAAGCAUGUAAAGUAAACCGCAAAGACAUAAGCACUACAAAGACUUAUAUACCUCAAGUACACAUAGUUAAAACUCUUUUUAGAAAAACUUGGGUUAACAUAGUUAAAUAUCUUUCCUGGAUAUAACAAGUCAAAUGAUUCAUAUACCACAUGCAGGUCAUACAGAUCAGCAUCAACAAGCACAGUUUUUUAUACAAGAAGUAUCAGCAUGCUUAAGAAACAAAGAACACAUCAGAUAAAGUACCUGAUCCUUGAAACCUCUUGAGAGCAUUUCAUCAGCUUCAUCUAACACAAACAUCCUAAUGCAAUCUGGACGGAGAGACUGCCUCCGCAACAUGUCAAAGACUCGGCCAGGUGUACCAACAACAACAUGGACUCCGCUAGAGAGAACACGUUGAUCUUCACGGACACUAGUCCCACCAACACAAGCAUGAACCUUGACACCGAGGUAGUCACCGAGAGCCCGCAUAACCUUCUCAAUCUGUUGAGCAAGUUCUCGGGUAGGUGCAAGAACUAAUGCCUGGCAGUCGAGCAUGGCAUAAUCAAGCUGCUGCAAAAUUCCAGAGCAGAAAGUGGCUGUUUUUCCAGUUCCAGAUUGUGCCUGUUGGAUAACAUCAAGUCCCUUGCAGAAGGGAACAAUUCCCCUUUGCUGAAUUGCAGAGGGCUUCUCAAAACCUAAGAAAAAAGUAGAUUGAUAUAUCAGUAAGAAAGAACAGAUGAUUUAGAUUCAGUGUACAGUUACAAAUCAACAUACAUAUACAAUCACAUGAACAGCCCUGACCUAUGAACAUAUAACAGAUGGCAAUGUCCAUAACUUUAAAUACAACACAAUUUGCUUCAAACGAAGCUCGCACUAUUCAUUUAGUGUGUAAAGAAUCUUACAAGUUACUGUGUUAGAAGCUACACUGGGUCUUGGACUAUACUUUUUAUUUAGAAUGAAUGCAAGGCACACCCAACAAAGUUGUCCAAAGAUCCCAAUAUGAUUGACUGAUGCAAAAAGAAGCUACGACUAAUAACUGACAGUAAAUUUAUCAUCCUAAAGCAAGCCUGACACUCAUAUAAUACAUCAUCAUUUUGCACUGAACAAAGAGUAAAACUUGUAGCAUAAUUUGAUUUACCAUAUGCAUAGAUUCCCCUAAGAAGGUUUUCCUGCAGUCCCAUGACAUCAAAACUGUCAUGAACCUCGUCAUACGAGGUGAAGAAAUCUUGUCCAUCAGAUCCAAGUCUGCUCCCACACAAAACAAUAACAAAAUUCCAUCAUUCACAACACAGAAUACGCAACAACUAGAAGAAACCGAGGGACAGAAAGACAACUUACAGCUCGGUCAUUUUGGCAUCGUAUUGACGAGUAUCAAACUGAGACCCUUCCGGUGCAGCGCCAGCCAUGACUGACAAAAAUCAAAAACAAAUCAACACAACGCAUCAAUAUAACUUAACUUACACAACCGAUAAUCCAAUACAACUAAAAGGUGCAACUUUCUCCACUAAUUCACCGAUUAAUCCAAAUUAUAAAUCUCAACAAAUCAAAUUCAACAUCAACCUCUGCCAGCGCAGAUCCCCUAUCCUAAUCCACAUGAUUAUCAUACAAAACCGCACAGAUUAUAUACGUAACACAUCUAUCUUCAUCACCGUAGUCUACUCAAUCGAAUCAAAGCUAAAAAACCAAUCGAUCUAUCAAUUAAGCACAAAACGAAUCCACAAAAUCGGAAAAAUCAACAAUCGGAGGCAGCAGAUGUUAAAGCAUUCAAGGAGAAGCUACAGUAAAGAUUUUAAAAGGCGAAACGAGAUCGGAGUUAGAGAGAAAGAGAGUACCUGAAAGCGAGAGAGUUGAGAGGUCGGAGAAGUAAGAGAGUCGGCGACUGAGUUGAGAGUUAGGGUUUUCCUGAACUCCUCGGAUCUCUGUGAUUUGGUUGUGAGGAGUUGAGGGAACGCAGCAGCAGCAAUAAGACUGGGAGAGAGAGAAAACAGAGGCGUGUGAGGAUUAGGUUUAUAUCUCAGGGAUACCAAAUCUUAUGCGCUUCCCAUUUUGCCCUUGCGGUUUCGUCCUGUUUAACCUCCCAUGUAGGGCUCUACGACGCCGUAUUGAGUUGGUGGGCUGGGGGAUAUUAGUGACUUGUGUUUCCCGUUUUGCCCUUGGAUUGUGCGUGUCACGACGCCGUCCGUUGUUGGCUUUGGACAGUCUACUUUUUUUCUUUUUUUAAGUUUUAAGUUUUAAAAUAAACGAUCGAUAAAAUCACAGUGAUGAUGUCUAACGAUAAAUGAGACAAGCUUAUUAUGAGCAAUUGUGUAUCAGUAAAGAGUUUGUGUUAAUGUGUUUUAAUUUAGCUUUAUCUGAAUAUUUUACUUUUGAUUACUCCUUCAUUAUUGAAUACGAUUCUUCUAAUAUAUAUGAUGAAGCACGUGUUGGAUCGAAGUUAAAACUCAACUGGUUUUGCUUAAGAAAAAAAAAAAAAAAAGUAGUGAUAUUGUCUUUUGCUCUUUUGUUAAAUUCGACUUUUCUUUCAAUAAUUAUAAGUUAAAAAGUUAUGUGUUUUCGAACUAAUAUUAUAAGGUAGUAUUAAUUUCAUUGCGUUGCAUGAAGCUACGUCUUUUAAAUUUUGGAAAAUAAAAUGUUACAUGCAUAGUUAUAUACUCACAUAGCUACUACCAAGAAUGCCCUAUGCUGCCACUUGACUUGAAAACCAUGAGUCAAGGAGGAAACCAUGGUUUAUCAUAUAAGGUCACACAUCAACUGGGCUACUUGGGCUACUUCACUGGAUCAGUGGUAAAGAACAUAUCAUGUAAAUGUAUUUCUGGGCCGAGUGUUGUUCUGUCCACGUUGAAAGAUACUGGGCAUAAAGUUUGAGGAUCUUGGAACUGGAUUGGGCUGUAAAGCAUAAAAUGCUUUUCAUUUCAUUCUUUUACUUUUGCCUUGCAGAAAGGUCGAUUUUCUCACAAGUUUGCAACAAGGUUAUUCUGAGUGGCUAGCUAGAAGUCUAAAGCGGACCACAGCUGGGGAAGGGAAAAAGAAAAAAAAUGGAACUUUCUUAACAAACGCUUUGUUAAAGAACUUCACUACUUAUCUAUAUAACGUGAUAAUUUUUAAGGUGGAUACUUUUUAAGUACGAUUACUCUAAGAGGUGGAUAAGGGGUUUUUUGACGUGUCGUAGAGAUAAUACCAAAGAGUUAUCUUAGAAUAAGCUGAUUUGUGACCAAAAGUGUAGCUUCCUGAUCUUGAUCUUCCCUGUAGAACGUUGUCGAUCCUUGCCCUCUCUUUCAAAAGCUAUGUAGAAAUGAUGCUCUUUGGGAAGAAUUGGUGAGAAUUGUUCACGGAGAGUGGUGAUAUAGGAUUGGUGCAAUGUUCCACCUCAUUUUCAAUCGGUAAACUCAUUCAAUUAAAAAUAAAUACAGAUCGAAGUACCCAAUAAGGUCUCGGUUAUGAAAUUUGGUUUUUCAUGAACAGAUCUAAAUAAAUAUCCUUGAUUAAUAGAUUGGUGCAGCACUGCUGGGUACAAGACUUGAUCGUGACUCUGAUCUAAUAAGCUUUUAAGUUCUUCUUUUUUAUGGUUUUUUUGGAAAGGUCAUAUCAGAGUCACGAUCAAAUCAAUCACUGUAUGAGGGGUGCAAAUUUUAAUUUGAGACACUGCUACGGCCUCCAUAGUCGACCAAUACUAGCUUUGUCAUGCAGCCAUAUUCAUUCAAAUUAAUGGUAAAGCUAUAAGCUGCAGGCCAGGUAAAACAGGUAUGCAUAUGAUCAUGCACAUGCCGACCAGCUAGCUCUGAUUCACAUGCCGUUCCUUAAUUUUAGCUGGCGAAAUCGACCAAACCUUCCCCUGCUGCAACCCUAGCUAGGUCAUCUGGAGAGUAAUGGUGAUUGCAAGAUUGAGACUCAAACAUUUAAUUACUUACUGCUCUCAACAUAAACAUUAUAGCAAACUCCUCUAGAUUUAAGGCUUCCUAAUGAAAUGAGGCUCCAAGAGCAUUACUCUUUUACAUGUAAACGAGUAAAAGAUUGUCCUAAACACUUUUGUAAUGUUAUUUCAUUCAACUCAUCUAGAUUUUAGUAUGCGGAAAACUAAAAUUUCAAUUAGGAUUUACAAAAUCGAUUGAAAAUAACUUGUUCACUACUAUUACUGGUUAUUAUUACGAGUCGCAAUAAGUAAUGUACUACUGUUAGGGGCGGAUCCAUGAAUUACAACCAAUGAGACUUGGACUUUAACUAGAAAAAAAAAAAAAAAAAAAAGAUUGUGCAAGAGCAAUUUAUAGAUGAAAAGAAAGAUACACUAGACAUGAGGGACGUAGUGAGGCUUACCAUUUGAAUACAUGUUUAAUGCAUAAAACUCUCUAUAUGUAACACCAAAGAAGCUAAAUACGCAUUUCAAUGCAAUACAAGAUAUAUAUAUAGAUGUAAAACCUAGCUCAACUAACUAAAAUACAAGAGUAAUAGCCUCACGACAAAUGUUUGACUAGGAAGAAAAGAGGACAACAUACUAUAUAUUUUGAGAAGAUAGAGAAACUUAUCUCUUUCUUAACAAAAACAAUAAUAAGUAUAAGUUAAGAACUUAAUUGGAGCAAUUAACGCAAGGUAUGACAUGAGUGGAACUCGGCCCAAAAAAUAUAUGGUUAGUAAGAUUACAAGAUGAAGGAAUUUGAGUGGGACUUAACCCGACAAUCUUACAAUCACACGUAAGAUUAGUCUUAACUAUAUGUAGUAAUUUUUUUCUCAAAAUAAGAGCAUCUCCAGCACAAUAGUUAAAUUUAACAAUAAUUAUGAGAUUAACUAUUGAUAUAAGAAUUUGAUUCCAGCAGUUAUUGCUAUAUGUAAGUUAAAUAAUAUUUUUAACAAAUUAUAAACUGACACGUGGAGAAAAAAAGGAGGGAAAAUAUAUGUAUUCCUUUAGCAAUUCAUGGCUCAAUUGACAAAUUUAUCACUUUCGUUUAACAAUCCUUAAAUUUAACAACCAUUUAUGUAUACUGUUAGAGCUCCUAUUCAUCCGAAAAGUUGAUAAAUUUCAAAAAAAAAUUGAUUUAGCAAUACUACUGGAGAUGCUCUUAGGUGAGACUUGAGUCCCAUCAUGUUGCUAUAUGCUGGAUCCGCCCAUGACUACUGUUUAAGUUAGAACAAAAUCUCUUGAUAACGCAUUACUCAACUUUAACUCUACUGGAUUCGAUCGUUGAAGGUAUUCAAAGACUUCAUCGAAUUUGGAAUGCUUGCAAGGAAUUCAUCUCUCUAGCUUGGAUACGUAUAUAUACUUUGAAUCCAAAAAUGAUCACCGGCUACUUUUCAGAUGCGUAUAAUAUGACCAAUUGCUCAUAAUGGAUGAGAAAUGGUCGGGUGAGAAUAAAGGGCAUGCAGUCGAUUCAAAUAUGACAACCACGAUGGGAAAGUAGAGAGUGUUUUUGGUCAAGAGAGUUGAUGUUUAAAUUCUCGGAACACCAUGACAAAAGGGGUUGCCAUCCGGCCGUUGGUUGAAGAACCACCCCAGCCACACAGCCUUGACACGUAGCCUUGGACCAUACAAAUUCUCUUGAAACCCUAACCCUACAAUCAAAAUCGAUAUUCUAUCUUCUAUUCAAAUUUCGGCCCUCUUUACUUUUGAUAAAGCCAUUGUUAAUCCAGAAAACCCUAGCUCAAUUGGUUACCCAGAUAAUUAGGGUUCCCUGGCCCCUGGAAGCCGGUGCCAAACAAGUAGCCAACCCCAGAACACCACGUCUCAGAGAGAGAGAGAGAGAGACCAGGACCAGGACCAGGACCAGGACCAGGAGGAGGACGAUAAUAGGUAGCUAGUGUUUUGCCGAAAGUGGGCGUGCAGUGCAGGGGAAGAUCGAGAAGAUCAAAAUGCAAGUUUCCAAGACCUCUGCCCUCGCAAGUUGUUGUUGUUGUUGUUGUAGCUCUUGGCUUGGCAUUAGGGAUUAUUAGGGUUGGGGUCACCAGCAGCUAGCUUAUGCGGAAAAAGUGUAAUCCAUGGUCGUCGACCCCCUAGCUAGUCUGGACCAUUGCAGCAGAGAGGAGAUGCGUGCUUCCCUAAUCAUGAUUGCCGAUGCAAAUUAUUCAAAGUGGAAUGCCUCACCAUACUUUUUCCAACCAUAUAUAUGUGCAAUUUCUAACAUUUCAUUUCUGAUCAGUGAGAGAGAGGAGAAAAAAAAAAAAAAAAAUAUAUAUAUAUAUAUAUAUAUCACAACCAUCAAUACUAAAACAACUUUUCUUUAACAAUUAGCAACAAAACUAAUUGAAUUCCCGAGAAUUUAAUCAACAAUAAGGAAUUCUCAAUUUCUUAGGACUGUUUCCCCUGUGGAAUUAGCAAUUUUCAUGAGAAAAUAAUCGUGGAAUUUAGAAACUUAAAUUCCCAACUUGAAUUCCUCACAAAAUAAGUGUUAUUUGUCAAUUCUCUUGACUGAAUUUAGUCUAAAUACAAAUUUUUGUCAUUUUAAAACUCUACAUCAUGAAAUCCAAACAAUAAAAUUCUCAAUUAAUGAAAUUUAAAUUAAUAGAAUUGUAAUUCCCAUGAUUUUGAAAUUUUUAAAAUUGAAAUUACUUUAUCCAAAUACAACGUAGAAGUCUAGAACCGAUGAGAAAAUAUGUUUCUUAUGAAUGAAUUAAUGAGUCAAAUGGUAGGGUGUUCUAUAUGUGUGCGCCUUAUGUUGAUCACUUUUAACAAAAUAUAGAUGGAAAUAUAAAUCCAUUGUAGUGAUUGGUUUGCCCAAUUGGUGAUAUAAUGAGUUCGAGUUUUAAUAAUUAAUUAGUGUUGAAUCAAAGUUGUAAAUUAUAUCGGGUUAUUGAUAAAUUGAGCACUCAAUGGCGUGGCUACUUGUUCGGUUUUUCGCUCUUUGAUGAUAAAUUUAAUAUUUAGUGGGAAAAAUAAUAAAUUACCUCUUAUAUAUGGUUAAUGGUUGAUUUCUUAAAUAACCCGGUGCGUGUUGGUUUGCUUCUUUCCAUUUGAUGCGGGACAAAUGUCUUUUCCUGGUUUGUCCACAAACGUUCUAACUUCUACCAAAGUGACUGCUCCUUCUUCCUGGCCCAUACACCUUUGCCUUGGGUCGUAUCUGUGCCUCCUCAAGCUUGGUCUAUGGGCAUGAUUGCCAUGUUAGUGCUACCGUCUACACCUUGUUUAUAAUCUUUGGCUCCAUCAUCACUGUAAACACUUGUGGUAAACAAAAAGAAGAAAUAUAGCAAGAUCACAUCUCCUGAACUUCGAAGCAGCACGUAUGUAAGCACCUCCCUCAUCUCCCACUCUAAAAAGGGAAAGUCCUAGACCACACAAGCGUACAUGCCCACUUCCAUAAUGGGUGUAUCUCCCUUCCUAGCUAUCCCCACCGCUCUUAUCGUCAAUACUCAAUCUCGAUCUGGUUCCCCCCUACUCAUUACUUGCCGAGCUAGCUGAUCGAUAUCUAAGUAUCUUCGCUUCACGUACUUAAUCAGAAUCAGAAUGAUCAUGGUGAUACGCCUAGCCCUAGCUUAUAUCUCAAUCAUAUGCUAUUAGCAGAAGCCACGUGGUCGGCGACUCGGCGUGGUUUUGAAGAUCGUGUUCUUUGAUUUGAUAAGAAGAUUACGAUCGAAUCUUGUGUAACUUUACUAAAUCAUACUUAGCUGACUAAUUAUGUAUCCUUAAGAUCGGAUUUAGGCUUUUUAUUAGGUCUAUACAUUGUUAUGCAAAGCAUGAAAUCUAAUCUUACUUAGUAUAAUCAACAAGGAAUAUUAAUCAAAGGCCUGCAUGACGUUCCCACAAACCAUGAGACAAAGUCGAUGAUAUAUUCUUUUCUUUUUCUUUUGCAGCAUUACGAAUUUAUUUAAUUUUAAAGCAUAUAUACUUUAAACUUCUUUAGCGCCGGAUUAGUUCUUUUUUGGCGCCGGUUUAUGUCUAUUAUUAUGAUCAACGAGGGUCUGUUGCUCUUUGAUUGGCCCAAUUGCUUGAGUUUUGAAAGCAAAAGGAUGAUUGCUUUAUCCUUUUUCUUUUUCCAGAGUAUAGGGCCUGCCUGCCAAUAUAGUUUUAUCUUCUGUGUUCUUCUUUAUCUCUUAAGCUUUGGUUAGCUUAGUCGUAUAAAUGUGAUUUGCGAAUUCGAUUAGCUUAAUCAAGGGUGAUUAGGGCACGUUUGUUUCUGUCCUGGAUAUUCAAGGCAUUUGUACCCUUUCACAUAUUCUACUCUAGAAGAUGGAUGUUGUCAUGCUGAUCUGCAUGUGAUUUCAGUGACAGCAACAAAGGCCAGUAUAUAGCUUCACCUUUUUAAUUUGGCCACCCCCUUAAAUCCCUCUUACUUUAGAUGAUUAUAUACACUCUAAUUCUGCAAUCUAGCUUCUACCUGUGAGCUAGCUAGCUGUUUGAUACAGUCUGAUGAUAUCUUGUUCAUUUUCAAAAUGCAUGUCAGGAAAUGAAUGUUAAGGAACUUCUGACGCAUUGAGAAACUCAUAAAAGUUGAUGUAUGAAUUACACCAUUUUUGCAAAACGAGACUCUGAUAUAUGCUGCAUUCUGAUGUUUUCUUACUAACAAGCGCGCGUUUGCAUCUGUUAUUCACAAAAGAGGCACUAUGAAAAGAAUCAAAUGGGAAAGGAAACACUGUAUAAGUCCUUAACUAAAAUCACAAUGCAAUUAACUUCUCUGUACGUGAAUGCCACCAAAAAUCACAUCCCUCCAGAAUCUCAAUUAUAUUUUAUCCAUGAACAUGGACCAUCCCAGGCCAAGGAAGGAAGAGAUAGGGUUUGAGAGGAGAGAAGAAGCUAGGUCGACUGGUAUCAAAAUAAAGAGAGAGCAAAGGAUUGCAAGGUCAGGGAUUUAAAAUUACAAGACGCAUCGAUCGGUGGGAGGAACAUGAAGCUGAAUAAAUGUAUGUGGUUGGGGUUUGAAUACGUAUGGGCCGCUGGAAGAGAUAAAGAGAUAAAGUCGUUUCUGGUUCUUUGUUUUCUUUUGAUCUCUGUGUAUAAAAUAAUAGAGAAUGCCCAAUUGAAGAUAAACCCACACUGAUUCCAUACGUGAUGCGUCUCUCUUUCUCCUCCUAUAUAAAGCCCCACCUCCUCCUUAUGUUUUCCCACAUCCAAGGCUCACAGCAAACCGGUGUUCCACUUUCAUACAACAGUAGCUAGCCUAGUUUUGGGUUUGGGGGAAACAUAUAUAAAUAUCUUAGCUAGGGUUCUGGGAUCAAUAUGAUCCAUGCCAGCAGCCUCCAUCUCGAUCGAGCAGCCUCCGUCGAUCUGGUGCUAUAUUUGGGCGAUAAAGGGUAAAGGAGGUGACAGAAGAGAGUGAGCACACACGGUGUUUUCUUGCCUGCUGUGUUUCAUGCUUGAAGCUUUGCGUGCUCACUCUCUAUCUGUCACCCCAAGUUCCUUUCUCUCUCUUCUCUCUAUCUUUCUGUUCUGUUUCAGAAUCGAUUUUGUUUGAUUGAUACUCUUUGUGAACGAUUGGUAUGAUGUGAACACCAAUGAUUCAAAGAUUCCUGUCGUCGUCAGUGAGAUUCAUAACCCAGUGGUCCUAAUUAGAUUGUGUUGAUUCCUGGUUAGGGAUUAGGGGUUAGGGCUUUUAUUUGGUUUUUUUUUUUUAAUUUUUUCUUCUUGAUUUCGUUGCAUUGAAAUCGUAUGCAGGAGAAUCAAAUUCAAGUUUUUUCGAUUACGCUGUCAAAUUUAGGUUUCUUUUGUGCUGAUGUUAUAAAUCAAGUAUGACCAUAUUUCUAGCAGAUUGCUGGGUUAAUUCAUCGCAGCAGAGGAUUAAAGAUUGUUGUUGGCGAGUGAUAACACAUGCUGCUGGAUGCUGAAGUGUCUUGAUGAUUUGAAAAAUUGGAGUUCUUGAUAACGGAGUCCAGCUAUCUGGGAAAUUGUUUAAGCCUUAUAGAUGGAAUAAUAACCAAGGAUUUUGAGUCCAGAUAAAUUAGGAAGAAUUCUGAUACUUUUUGUUUGGUUUGAUAUGAACAGAUCGAAAUCUUGUUAUUUUAUUUUCUGUAUCUUUUUAUUAAGAAUCAAUUAUCAUUCUUGUGUUUUGCUUUCCUGGUUUUAUAUUUUUGGAUGCUGAGUAAAAGAGAAACGAAGAUUAAACCCAACUGAUCAAUUAUUAAUCUUUUGAUUGCAUGGAUUAGGAGGAUCAAUCUAGGUAACAUCCAAAUCCAUGUAAUGAUCAAGAAAAAGUUAGCUACUCAAGUGUAAUGCACCUAGCUAGCUAGUUUUAAAGAAUUGCUAACCUGCAGUACUGCUUUUAACCAUGGGUGUAAUUACUCACUAUUGCACAGAAGAAUUGAGUAUAUAUAAUAUGUUGAAAAGAGAGAAAGAUAAAGUGGUCGAGAGAGAUAAGUAGAGUAAGAAUGAACUAGAUCCUAUAAUUCAUGCUGCUGAUUUUAACUGCUAACAUCGAUCACAUACAUGUCAUCGAAUGCAUAUAAGAAGUUACAAUCAUAGAAUGUGAAACUUCAGUGAGGUAACCAGCUGAUCUUAAUACCAAUUCGUUUGCAGUAAUCUACACUUCCAUAUUUUUAGGUUCUAUGGACUCAUGUUUAACCCCUUUACAGUCUUCUUUUCAAUCUGAAAUAAUAGUUCGAUAGUGCAUAUCGAGAUUAUGGGUGUCCCCAAUUGAAUGUAUCUGCUAGUUGCUACUUGCUACCAUAGUUAGUUGCCUGGUCAUUGUCUUUCGGCUGGGAUAGCGAAGGAUGUUCCUGAUAAGUAGUUUUCUUGCUGAUAUAGGACCACCUGACAUAUAUUGCUACUGAUGAUACAAUAUAUAUAUAUAUAUAGAACCAAAGCAAUGGAGAGUCAUUGCNNNNNNNNNNNNNNNNNNNNNNNNNNNNNNNNNNNNNNNNNNNNNNNNNNNNNNNNNNNNNNNNNNNNNNNNNNNNNNNNNNNNNNNNNNNNNNNNNNNNUUAAUGACCUAACGACAUUGGCUUAACUGUGAGUGCAUUCAUCUUUAGUCAUUGACAUUGUUUUGGGGUGAUUGAAGCGUAUCUAGUGGUGGAGAGAAGUUCCUAGCUAUUGUUUCUCUCAUAUUUACAUCCAUAUUCACUUUUUAAUAUUCUGUUUUCAGCAGUACUUCUGUUUUAUCUAUUUUUGUUCACCAAUCAAACCAACUCCGAAUACCCUCAAAAUUUGUGUGGUAGUCCGCCACUGUGUCUAGUUACUGUGUACUUAAUUUCAUAAUUUUUGGUUGAGUCUAGAUUAGCUAAUUAAUUAGGUUUCUGCUCCUAGGUCGAGUCUGCCAGAUUUCUGGUUUACGCGUCUGUUUGUGUUUCUUAUGUGUUUAAGUCUUAGCAUCACCAAUCCUCUGCGGGUAAUGACCCCUAUUUGCCGUUUACUACAUUGAUAUAAUUGAUUUGAUAAUAGGGUAUCUUUGUAGGUGCUUUUGCGCCUAUCAUCGAGGCAUAGUCAGAGGCUGCUUCCGCUUAUUCGUUAUUCAUUGGUUUUCGUUCAUUAUUAGAUAUGCUCUGAAAAUCCAGUAGUAAUUAAAUUAUUAAAUGUCCUUGUUGUUGGUGGUAGGAUUCUUUUAGAUUAGUAUUUGAUAUUCUGGGAGAUGUGUUGAACUUGGGGAGCAAGAAGGCUCCAGGAGUACAAGGUUGGAAUAUGAUUUUAGAAGUGUGUUGCAAGUUGGUUUUGAUUAGGUAAGGUUGUCCGUUUUCAAGGGAGGUUGUGCCAAAAUUUUUGUUUUGGUAAAAUCUCUCUUGAGGUGGACCCCGCAGGGUUUACCUUGGAUUUCAGGGUGAAAUUCGGGGUGGGUCCUGUCAAUAGAGAUGUUAUUAUGACUACAUUCAUAGACUGCAUGUUCAGUUAUUCGGAAACUACCAAACUGAUAAAGUAGUGGAGUGCAAUGACAUCCAUUACGAGACUUUAUCUCAUCGUAGUCGAUCUCAGUCGUGUUGGUGAGAGACUUUGCGUCAUAAGAUGAGUUUAAGCUCUUGUUCAUACUACACUAUCUAACAAAGGCAUAAUUGAUAGAGUUUCGCUUGCGGUGUCGACAUCAACUGCCCAAUGACCUAUCUCUUUGUUAAUACUGGAUCACAUAUUUCUGUUAGGCCUCAACUAAGUUGAUAUCCAUCAACAAAAGGUGGUUCGAUAGUAGACUCAUUAUCUCACGUCCUCAUGUACAAUAGUGUAAUACUUGUAGAGAUCUCUAUAUGGAUUGGAUUUGACCUUGAGGCGUCCCCCAACGAUAUUCAUAAUUCAGACUUCAUGAGACGGAUUUAAGUAUCACUGAUCAAUGGAUCAGGUUGUGUCAAGCUCGCUUUCUUCCUAGUGUGAGAAAGUAUCGAACCUAAAGGCCUCCCUCCUUUUGGGGAGCCACACGGCCUUGUGACACCAAUUUUGCCACUAUAUGGUGUCACCAUUCAUGGUGAUGGCGUCAAGACCAACUCCUUUUGGUCGCGUCAUGUCCUCCUGAUAGGACAUGAAUCCUUAUAGACAUAUUUGCAAUAUGUGAUCUCGUCAUUUUAACACUAAGCAUUUGGGAUCAAGAUGAGACUUAGUGGGGACAAACCACGACAAUUCACGUCAUUCCACUUGAACACUUAUGUUCUUAUCUCCCCCUAAUGGUGGGAAUAUUGUCUCAUCAAAAUGACAAUCCGCAAUUUAGCGGUGAAUGAGAUCGCCUGACAAGGUUUUUACGUACAUAAGCGGAUUCCAGGUGGAGAUUCAUAUCCAACCUAAACUUAUUCAUCUUAAAUGACUCAUCAUUGAGCACAGUGGCAUUGCGAUUUGACACCUAGAAACAACAUCUAGCCAAGCUCAAGGAUUGGAGAUCAGUUUCAAUCCUGCCGAGCUCAAGGAUUGCAAUUUCGUGUCAAUCCUCGUACACAGUCACGAGCUAUAGUACAAAAAUAUUCAAUGAUGGUGGGUCGUAGAUGAAUAGUAAAGCUGCAUGCAAAUAUUGCAUAUCCCCAAGACGCAAUAGAAAGAUUGGUGCGCAUCAAUAAUGUUCGAGCGACAAGCUUAAGUUGUUUAGUCGUAGCCUCAGUGAGACCGUAUUGCAUGUGAACAUGGGGUACGGGACACUUCAACUUAUAUCCCGAUAAACUUCUUUAAAUAAUGGGUAGUGAGCCCAUAAAAGUAUAAGCAGGAUAAACAGUAGAUAAUAGUGUAACACGUGACCAGUGUGUUAACACUUCAACUAACACCAUAAAGCAUAAAACAGGAUAAGCAGUAAAUAAUAGUGUAACACGUGACCAGUGUGUUGACACUUCAACCAACACCAUAAAGCAUAAAAAGGUGUCUGUAAGUUGGUUGUAUCUAUCUACAUAGUUUGAUGUAAGAAUAGAAUAUUCUCUUUUGUGUCAUUUAGCGUUGGAGGGUCUCACUCCUAAUUUAGCUAAAAAAUAAGCUCUCAAAACGAGCAAUGAGCAUUACAGGGGGCCAAUGAGACAUCGAGAGAAGGCCGGUGCACCUCAAUUGCUUGAGGAAUUGACCGGACGGCCUCUGGGAAGUUGGAGCCAUGUUCGGGUGAUGUCAAUGUCCCCAAGGUGUCGCCAUUUAUAACCAUGGCGUCACCAUCAUUCUUCAUGGAGAAGCUAGAUCCUAAAUGUCUUCAUUUUGAGCGGAAUAAUAGAUGUCCAUGAGAAGUUCACAAAAUUUGGACCAUUAUAUCUCUUUCAGGAUAACCGAUUUGGUCAAACCAAAGCCUAUAUGAGGCGGUGUCCCAAAUAUCAUGUUUGGUGACAACAAGUGAUUUGAUAUUCGAAUCAUAGUGACAUACAAUCCACUAGAUUGACUCAUAAACUUCUCUAAGAUGCAUUUCAGUCCGCAUUAUGAGAAUGUAUACACAAAAUAAUUCUUGUUCAUUCUUGUUCAUUCUCACAAUGUGUUUUCAAAUGAAAACUAUUAACAAGAAUGUCUUUAAAGCUCAACAUGGUUCGGUUGCCUCUCAAUGCAUAGAGGACAUCUGUGACGUUGAUCAUGGUACCAUGAGGCAUCUAGAUUCAAGCUAAAUCACGUCCCUAAAUGACUGGAAUGAUUCAAGUAUUGUAGUCACAGAAGAUUUACAAAGGCACAAAAUCCAAAGAUAGUUGCCGAUUCCUUAUAAUGUUGUGGAUAGUUCCACUAUCUGCGAGGCACUCAAUGUGUCUAUGAGACAGAUUUACAAAAUGGAGUAGAUAGGAGAGUAAAUAGUUUCACUUGAACCAUUUAGAAGGAUUGAAAGAAGCUACAAAAAGCUGCAAUCUCGAGAGUGCAUAAAAAUUUCUGGGCAGAAUGACAUUUGCCCACAAAAAUAGCCAUAACUUCUUCGUUAAAAUAGAUAUGGACGAACUGUAAAAAGUUCUGAAAACUAGACUUGUAGAGCUGUCCAAUGAUAUAAAGCUCACUGUCUAGUUCGUCCGGAGCUGUUCACAAAGCUCAAACGAAGUUGACUAUCCAAAAGGAACAAAUUGCUGUUUUUCGCAGAUUUGGCAUUGGCAAAGCUUUGAAGCUUGCGGAUGCAUGUGGGCAUAAGUCGAAGCAAAAAUGAUGUGUAUGAUCAAAAUCAAGUCCUUUCGGUCUUUCCAAGGUCGUAAACUCCAUGACUACUUAGCGAAAGCUCCCUGACAUGAACAUAAACUAACUCAAAGGACCUAGAGGAUUCGAUUAUGAUGAUUGUCCGGUUUUGAUAAGUCUUCAACGUCUUUUGCAAGACGACUAUUGGUUAAUAGUGUAGGGGAAACCAAGAUCAAAAGCUUUCAGUAACUCCAAAUUAGUAUGACCAGGCAUGUCCGUGCAGGGUCGGUAAUGCAAGGCACAUUUGAAACCAUUAUCUCCUUAAUUUCGAACAAUUCUAAGACAUCACACUGAGGUUGGAUGAGCCUAGUUGAACAGUUGAUGAUGGAAAAUCCGUUAUAGGGUAGAAGACUUAACCGGAAAACACGUGGGCGAUCCUCCUUAAAGAUGCGGUGUCGUGAGUCACCUUCAAAGGAAGAGACCAAAAUCGGCACAAUAUGUCAUGUUUUUAAGGACGAUGUAAGAAUGUACAUCUUGUUUGUAAAUCAAUACGAACCAUAAGAGGAGAAUAGUUUCACUUUGAAAAAAAUUCUCAAGGCAUUCAUUAUUGCUAAUGUGAGUAUAUCAAGAUCUCAAAUAGACGAAGGACGUCGAUACAACGCCUUAUUACAUAUAGCUUGGAACGAAAAUCAAUGUCUAUCCGAUGACGUCAAAGUCAUGGGUAGCUAGAGCAGGAUCCGAAUCUUUGAAAUCCGCGAUCAUAAGGAUAACGUUAUUGUCCUCGUAUCGAUUUUCCGUACCUUUUCUGUAUGCAUUCACUAUUUAAGGAUGAACUUAACAAUCUUGAACCAGUGAUCCGGAGAUCCACAGCGGUUGCAUUGUCAUGAGUUGACAUGAGUAGUUUUGACAGAUUGGUGUCUAGACCGGGAGUGUCGCCAUUAGGGCCAGCGACACCUCCCCCUCUUUUCUAGACAUCGACACGACAUUUUCUGCUGUUGCCGUGACCCAUAUUGUUGUCCCCACAUUAGGGGACAAUCCCAAACACGUUUAUCGCAUUAGCAUAUGUACAAUUCCCGUUUGCAAUUGUAUGAUCAAAAUUAAGUCUCGUUGGUAAUUCCAAACCAACUUGGAGGACCUAGAGAACUUGAUGAUGAUUAAAUCCGCUAAAGAUUAUGAAUCAUGAUGCCACAAAAGAUCAUCGACAAUAUGUAGUCAAUUAAGGUGAUAAGCAAUCCACUUGACUAAUAACUCAACAACAUUUCAAGAAACGUUCCAUGGGUGCAUUCCACAGUACUUUGUGGUCAUUACUUUUUGCACAGAUUACCAUUGAAGGCUUUUGUUGAUGUGGCGCUUCAAAACUUUGAGCGUAAGAGAUGUGAAAUCUCAGCAUCUAGGCUUGUUAGCCUAAGGGUCAAAACAUAUGGUUUAAUCAUUUUCAAUGAAAGGUUCUACAAAUACCAAGCGAAGAUUCGCCUUAAAUAUCGAGUACGUCAAAACUCAAAUGAGGAAAAUGUUACGUUGCUCUUGCAUACAAAACCAAGCUGUUAUGAGACUCGAUAGAGGUCACAAACAAUCCGAAAAAGCUGCAAAUUGAUCAAACACAAUUUGAAAAAAGGCCUCGAAUUGAUCAAACACAAUUCGGAGAAAAGUCGGGGUUGAUCAUACACAACUCUGACAAGAAAACAAGAGUGAUCAAACACACUCUUAACCUACGAAUAAAAUUCUGGGAUUUUUACCUGCACACACAAAAUCUCAAGCAUACAAUGGAGUUGGAGAAAGGAGGAAAGGAUUUUAUGCUCCCCGAGUUAUUGAACUUAGAAAAGUUUAGGGUUUCAAAACAUACCUUUCGAAACUUCAAACACUUGAAGAAGUCAAAAAUUGUAGUCGGAGGAAACCAAAAAUCGCCGGCGGGCGACGGCCAAGGGAUUGGCAACCGGUGAUGUCGGACGGUGGCUGGGAAAAUAGGCGACGACGGCGGCGGCGGUUGGACAUAGGAGCCGAAAAACGGUUUUUUUUAGGGUUUCGGAAAAUAAAUGGUAGACUAUUGGCUCUAGGGUUAGAACAAAGUGUAUGAUAACGUGAUGAAGUAUAAAAGGUAGAGACAAAGAUAACAAGAGAAUCUUCAUCUUAUUCAUUUAUAGGAGCCCUUUAUAUAGGGAAUUAUAAAGUACCAAUAUGGUAAUGAUAAGGAAUACAUAGUCCUAUUCCAACUACAUAUCCUGAUGGCAUAAGGACAAUGCACACAUAUGAAAUAUCCUAGAACAACUAACUAUAUAUAAGGUUUAAAUUACAGGGAUCCGACUCUUCCAAAGUGAGAAAAGCCUAAAGUUAGUAAAUUUCAUCAAAUCUAGAUGCUUCAUAUCAUCUAACGGUUCAAACCAAUUACAAGUCAUUUUAUCAUCAUUUUUCAAUAUUUUAGUCUAAACGCCGCUAACUUGCGGUUAACUCAAAAAAAAAAUUAGGGUUUUGACGUGAUCUUUCUCCUUUUCAUAUGCUUUCAUGGAAACUCAUUGAUGGUUGAAGAAAAGAAUAAUUUUAAUCAUGCAAUUGCAUUCGAGUUCUAGUAAAAAUAAUUUAAACCAUUAGAAUUAAACUUUAAACUCUACAAAUGUAUAAAACCCUUAUCAGUGAAAACCCCCAUAUGCUGAAUCGAAGUCCCUAGUUUGUCCCACCAUACUGGAUGAUUCAUGAUUGAAUGAUUCCUAACUCAAUGGAGUUUAUCAACACAAUUGCAAUUUUAUUAUAAUCGUGUAUUAUAUUAAGACCUGCAGAUCAAUGAAUUUGAAAAGAUUUUUCUUUAGCCAUGGACUAGUUUCAACAUAGCCAAAGAAUGCUGCGUUUGUUCUGUGUAGCGCAUAGAAAGGAGGAAGAUCACGACCAGUCCAUAUAUUUCGGAGUUAAUGUCAAGUUAACGGUGUUUAGACAAAAAUCUCAAAAAUUAUUAGUAUAGUGAUAUGUCAACGGUUAAGACCGUUAGAUUAUAUGAAACAUCUAGAUUUUAUGAAAUUUACGUAAUUUUACGACUUCCUCACUUUAGAAGAGUCGGAGUAGCUCAGGCUAUAGUAAGUUUGUACUGCUUAUAAUCUCUGUCUCUCUGAAUAAACUGCUCUCAUCUAGUUCUUAAGCAUGUCCAACUUUCGUAAUAGUCUUGUUUCUCCUUGUAGUAAAAUGUCAUUGGCCUAAACUUGUGAUCAAAUGUCAGCAUCCGAGUACUUUUCUGACUUCCACAUCAUCCCUUUUCUUCACGAGAAGAAGCAGUCCACCAAGUACUACAAUCACAUGUUUUCUUAUAUAUUUUUGCUUUCGGGCUUUCUCUGCCUACCGCAUCCAUCAAGUUGAAGCUCUUCUCCUUUUAAAAAUACCUAAGCAAGUGAUUAUCUCAUCAAAAUAAUCUACAUGCAACCAAGAUAUAUAGCUAGCAACCAAUCCAAACAAUAUUUUUAUCACGCAAACUCAGAGAGAUGACAAAUCCAUCGCGACUUGGGGCCAAACAGAUUAGGCUUCACAGAUUGUUCUUUUGCUUAGAUAUGUCCACACUAGGGCCAUCAUGCGUGGAAAUUUAUAUGUUAUUGAACUGUUUCUUGCUGACAUUGAAGACCAAGCAUACGUGCGCUUCAUGGAAGCUGCAAUCAUUUUCCUUUCCUUCUUUCCUCUAUAUAAUCUCCGAGUGUUGAGUCGCAUAGUUCUAUAUUACUUCUAUUGUUUCACACUUUGGCCUAUAAUGGUGCAAAUGUUGAGUUCAACCAAAUUCAUGGACACGGUUCCAUUUCCUUUCCUUGUUCUUGUUUUGGCACUUCUUUUUCCAUUCAAAUCAUCUGCAGCUUUUAAUNNNNNNNNNNNNNNNNNNNNNNNNNNNNNNNNNNNNNNNNNNNNNNNNNNNNNNNNNNNNNNNNNNNNNNNNNNNNNNNNNNNNNNNNNNNNNNNNNNNNNNNNNNNNNNNNNNNNNNNNNNNNNNNNNNNNNNNNNNNNNNNNNNNNNNNNNNNNNNNNNNNNNNNNNNNNNNNNNNNNNNNNNNNNNNNNNNNNNNNNNNNNNNNNNNNNNNNNNNNNNNNNNNNNNNNNNNNNNNNNNNNNNNNNNNNNNNNNNNNNNNNNNNNNNNNNNNNNNNNNNNNNNNNNNNNNNNNNNNNNNNNNNNNNNNNNNNNNNNNNNNNNNNNNNNNNNNNNNNNNNNNNNNNNNNNNNNNNNNNNNNNNNNNNNNNNNNNNNNNNNNNNNNNNNNNNNNNNNNNNNNNNNNNNNNNNNNNNNNNNNNNNNNNNNNNNNNNNNNNNNNNNNNNNNNNNNNNNNNNNNNNNNNNNNNNNNNNNNNNNNNNNNNNNNNNNNNNNNNNNNNNNNNNNNNNNNNNNNNNNNNNNNNNNNNNNNNNNNNNNNNNNNNNNNNNNNNNNNNNNNNNNNNNNNNNNNNNNNNNNNNNNNNNNNNNNNNNNNNNNNNNNNNNNNNNNNNNNNNNNNNNNNNNNNNACAAUAUGCCCAUCACUUCGAAGGUGGAUGUCUACAGUUAUGGAAUUGUUGUGCUAGAAAUGCUCACCGGGAAGAACCCAACUGAAAGCAAUCUUCAAUCGGUUGAAGGUGGAGGAGAGACACACAAGAAGAUGAUGGCACAAUGGGUGAUGGAAAAAAUGAAUGGAGCAUUAGCAAAUGCAGAGACCAAAAUGGGAGGUGAAAAUGAAAAGGGUAAGCUGGAAAUUCUUGUUAAAGUGGCGCUCCAGUGUAUAGAGGAAGACAGAAAUGCAAGACCCUCUAUGAGUCGAGUAGUUGAGAUGCUUCUACAUCAUCAAUUUCAGGGGUGACUUUCAUAGACCAACAUGUAAUUUGUAUAUGUUCCUUCAAUCUGUUCUAAAAUUUGUAUACGCUCCAAUUUGUUCAAUUGUAUCACAGUCAUUGUUGCUUCCAGUUUCAAUUUAGUCUGAUCGGGUAAAUUUGCUUUUCAUGUUUUCCAAUUUUGUAAUAGAACAUCAACACAACUCAGUUUGUAACAUUUCCAGAUUCUGAUCCACCCAGUUACUCUUUUUAUGUCAAUAAAACCAAAGGCUCAUCAUCAGUUUGCUCCUCCUCCUCUCUGUACACUACCAAAAUUAUUCCGACUGCUACUAUUAACAAACAAAAAAACAAACGGAAAUUUAACAACAGAGCUUAAUUCUUUGGGCUGGCCUAACUCGAAGGUUUCUCCGAUAAGGGUUUAACUGGGUCCGACUCCUCAACAUUGAUCACCAACUUGGAUCAUAGAUUCAUAAUCCUAGAGCUUGCUGCUACAGUCACUCUACUACACCUUGCUAAUCCCAAUCCGCUUUACAACUGUGUUUCCAAUGGCUGCUUCAGUAUGCAUCAUCAUUCCCUUGUGCUCAAUCCCAGACAUAUAAUUCCUCACUUCCGUUCUGAUCAUCUCCUACAUCACAUCCAAAAACUCCGCGGUGAAGAACUGCUUAUCAAUCCCCACCUCACUACUGUUUUGCUUCCCCACACGCGCCGUCGCUGUUAAGAGUGUAAGGCUAGUUUAGUCUUUUCCUAUUAAUCCCUACGAUGUUACUGUGCACAAAAUUAAUCAGAGAAAUAAAAGAUGUAGUCCCAAAACCACUGCUGCGUUUCUUUACUUUUCAGCUUUGUUCUUACAUUUUCAAUAAACCAUAAUUCAUAUUAGCCGCAACCGCUUCGGCUUCUUGAGGUUGAGCUUGAAUUACACGAGGCUGAUGAACUACUUGAGGCUUGGGGAUCACAAUCCAGCUGGAUCCGGAUCCUGAUUAUGAUCUCUGAUGAGUCGGCCCUUCGUUGGAUCCGGGAAGCGAAACAAGUGUGAGACAUUGAAAGCCCAAAUUGACUCACUGAAAGGUUGGCUUUUGUUGGCUCAGAUGACGGGGCAUGAGCCCAAUAACAUAUUAUCGAGCCCAUAGACAAAGUCCUAAAAAUUCACACUUGUACCACAAAAAAUCUGUUUAGUCAUCUUUGUUUUCAGUUUGUCCAUGGAAUGAGACCCAUUAAGUACUUGUCAAACAUACCAGUCUUCACUUUCACAUAAUAUUCUACAGAUCACAAACCAUACUAGGUAUGUUGGCAGCAAGGAUCAAACUCCAGGAGGGUUCCAGCACUAGUCCUUCCUUACCGGCCUGACAAAAAAAAAAAAGAUUAAAUUAUAAAUUGUUCUCAUCUAGUUCUCUUGUCCAUCUUUUGUAUCGGUCGUUGUAUUUCCUCAUAGCAUGUAAUCCCAUUGGCCUAAGUUACAUCUCUUUUUCCUCAAUCCUCCAAAAUAUUACUAACUAUAUACAAGGUUUAAAUGAUCUGGCUCUGAGGAAAGCGUAAAGUUAAUAAAUUUCAUUAAAUCUAGAUGUUUCAUGUCAUCUAACGAUUCAAACCAAUUACAUGUCAUUUUAUCAUCAUUUUUCAAGAUUUUAGUCUAAACACCACUAACUUGCGGUUAACUCAAAAAAAAUAUUAGGAUUUUGACGUGAUCUUUCUCCUUUCCAUAUGCUUUCAUGGAAACUCAUUGAUGGUUGAAGAAAAGAGAAUAAUUUUAAUGAUGCAAAUGCAUUCGAGUUCUAGUAAAAAUAAUUUAAACCAUUAGAGUUAAACUUUAAACUCUACAAAUUUAUAAAACCCUUAUCAGUUGAAUCGAAGUCCCUGGUUUGUCUCACCAUACUGGAUGAUUCAUGAUUGAAUAAUUCUAACUCAAUGGAGUUUAUCAACACAAUUGUAAUUUUAUUAUAAUCGUGUAUUAUAUAAAGACCUGCAAAUCAAUGAAUUUGAAAAGAUUUUUCUUUAGCCAUGGACUAGUUUCAACAUAACCAAAGAAUGCUGCGUUUGUUUUGGGUAGCGCAUAGAAAGGAGGAAGAUCACGACCAGUCCAUAUAUUUUGGAGUUAAUGUCAAGUUAACGGUGUUUAUACAAAAAUCUUAAAAAUUAUUAGUAAAGUGACAUGUCAACCGUUAAGACCAUUAGAUUAUACGAAACAUAUAAAUUUUAUAAAAUUACGUAACUUUAUUUAUAAAAUUUACGUAACUUUACGACUUCCUCACUUUAAAAGAGUCAGAGUAGCUCAGACUAUAGUAAAUUUGUACUGCUUGUAAUCUUUGUCUCUCUGAAUCAACUGCUCUCAUCUAGUUCGUAUGCAUAUCCAUCUUUGGUAAUAGUCUUGUUUUUCCUUGUAGUAAAAUGUCAUUGGCCUAAAUUUCAGAUCAAAUACUGUGAGCAUCCGAGUACUUUUCUGACUUCCACAUCAUCCCUUUUCUUCACAAGAAGAAGCUGUCCACCAAGUACUACGAUCACAUGUUUUCUUUUAUUCAUACCAGACAAGUUCUUAUUUUUUCUUUCUGGCUUUCUCUGCCCACCGCAUCCAUCAAGUUGAAGCUCUUCUCCUUUUAAAAAAAACCUAAGCAAGUGAUUAUCUCAUCAUCAUAAUCUACGUGCAACUAUGAUAUAUAGCUAGCAACCAAAUCCUUAUCACGCAAACUCAGAGAGAUGACACAUCCAUCGCGAUUUGUCCCUCCAAAUGGGCCAAACUGAUUAGGCUUCCCCGAUUGUUCUUUUGAUUUGUCCACACAAGGCCAUGCGUUGUAAGUUUAUAUGUUAUUAAACUGUGUCUUGCUGACAUUGAAGACCAAACAUACGUACGCUUCAUGGAAGCUACAUUCAUUUUCGUUUCCUUUUUUCCUCCAUAUAAUCUCCAAGUGUUGAGCUGCAUAGUUCUAUUGUUUCACACUUUGGCCUAUAAUGGUGCAAAUGUUGAGUUCAACCAAAUUCAUGGACAGGGUUCCAUUUCAUUGCCUUGUUCUUGUUUUGGCACUUCUUUUUCCAUUCAAAUCAUCUGCAGCUUUUAAUUUGAGCAUGGGAUCCUCUCUUUCAGUAGAAAAUCCAGCUCAAACUUUGAUGUCGCCGGACGCCGUAUUUACCGCUGGCUUUUUUCCGGUCGGCGAAAACGCGUUUUGCUUUGGAAUAUGGUUCUCGGAGCCAACAACCAGUACAGACAACCUCACCGUGGUGUGGAUAGCAAAUCGUGAGGAGCCGGUAAAUGGUCAACGCUCCAAGCUCACCCUGCACAAAAAUGGAAACCUUAUCCUUUCCGACAUCGACCGAUACACCGUGUGGUCCUCCGACACAGCUUCAAACUCAUCGGCCCACUUGCACCUCAGAAACACCGGCAAUCUAGUUCUUCUCGAAGAGCACGGCGUCGUGUUGUGGGAAAGCUUUGCUUCGCUGACGGACACGCUUUUGCCUCAGCAACCGCUCACAAGAAGCACACAGCUCAUUUCUUCAAGAAGCCUCACCAACUAUUCCUCCGGCUUCUACUCGUUUUACUUCGACAACGACAACACUCUUCGUAUACUCUACAAUGGCCCCGAGGUUUCGAGCAUUUACUGGCCCGAUCCAUGGCUUCUGAGUUAUCAAGCAGGAAGAUCCACAUACAACAACACUCGAAUUGCAGUUUUUGACAGCUUGGGAAAUUUUAGCUCAUCUGAUAAUUUUACCGUUUGGNNNNNNNNNNNNNNNNNNNNNNNNNNNNNNNNNNNNNNNNNNNNNNNNNNNNNNNNNNNNNNNNNNNNNNNNNNNNNNNNNNNNNNNNNNNNNNNNNNNNNNNNNNNNNNNNNNNNNNNNNNNNNNNNNNNNNNNNNNNNNNNNNNNNNNNNNNNNNNNNNNNNNNNNNNNNNNNNNNNNNNNNNNNNNNNNNNNNNNNNNNNNNNNNNNNNNNNNNNNNNNNNNNNNNNNNNNNNNNNNNNNNNNNNNNNNNNNNNNNNNNNNNNNNNNNNNNNNNNNNNNNNNNNNNNNNNNNNNNNNNNNNNNNNNNNNNNNNNNNNNNNNNNNNNNNNNNNNNNNNNNNNNNNNNNNNNNNNNNNNNNNUGAUUAUGCCGUCUAUGGCAAUUACACAUUAGAUGAGUGCAAAAGUGUGUGCCUGGACUUGUGCAACUGUACUGGAUUCCACCACAAAUUUGGUGGCGGUCAGUAUCAGUGUUAUCCCAAGUAUCAAAUGCGAAAUGGCUACCGCUCGCCUGCUUUCGAUGGGGAGCUGUAUGUGAAGCUACCAAAAGGCCUCCUCAAUGCUACUUAUAAGGAUUCCAAAAUGUGCUCAGCUAAACUUACAGCACAACUUGACAGAACAUAUGAAAGAAGCAAUCCCAGUGGAUCGAUCCAGUUUAUGCUUAAAUUCGCAUCGGCCGUGGGAGGACUAGAGGUCAUUUGCAUCUUUGUUGUGUGGUUUUUUGUAACGAGAAGAAGCAGCGGGGAUAAAAAAGAUUCAGAAUUAGAAGCACUAGCUCAAGGCUACCUUCAAACUGCCAGUGGAUUCCGAAGGUUUACUUACUCCGAGUUGAAGAAGGCCACAAAAGGAUUCAAGGAAGAGAUUGGAAGAGGAGGAGGAGGAGUUGUGUACAAAGGCGUGUUGUCUGAUCAGCGAGUUGCAGCGAUUAAGCAACUGAAUGAUUGUAAUCAAGGAGAAGCUGAGUUCCUUGCAGAAGUAAGCCUUCUUGGUAAGCUUUACCAUAUGAACUUGAUAGAGAUGUGGGGUUAUUGCGUGGAAGACAAGCAUAGGCUUCUGGUGUACGAGUACAUGGAGCAUAGUUCCUUGGCAAAAGUUUUGUCUUCCAAAGUGCUUGAUUGGAAGAAGAGGUAUGACAUUGCUCUUGGCACAGCAAAAGGACUGGCUUAUCUUCAUGAAGAGUGCUUGGAAUGGGUUUUACACUGUGAUGUGAAGCCUCAGAACAUACUCUUGGACUCCUAUUACAAUCCCAAGGUAGCAGAUUUUGGGUUGUCCAAGCUAUUAAACAGAAGCGAGAACACCAACUCAGACUUCUCGAAGAUUAGAGGAACCAGAGGUUACAUGGCUCCAGAGUGGGUGCACAACAUGCCCAUCACUUCGAAGGUGGAUGUCUACAGUUAUGGCAUUGUUGUACUGGAAAUGCUCACCGGGAAGAACCCAACUGAAACCAAUCUUCAAUCGGUUGAAGGUGGAGGAGAGACACACAAGAAGAUGAUGGUACAAUGGGUGACGGAAAAAAUGAAUGGAGCGUUUGCAAAUGCAGAGACCAAAAUGGGAGGUAAAAAUGAAAAGGGUAAGCUGGAAAUUCUUGUUAAAGUGGCGCUCCAGUGUAUAGAGGAAGACAGAAAUGCAAGACCCUCUAUGAGUCGAGUAGUUGAGAUGCUUCUGCAUCAUCAAUUUCAGGGGUGAUUGUUCAUAUACUGGGAUCCUAACACCAUGUUCUUUAAUUUGUAUAUGUUCCUUCAUUGCUGCUCUUUAAUUUGUAUGUGUACCUUCAAUUUCUCCAAUCCAUAGUGAUUAUAAUUAGUCUUCCAUAGUCUGACUGGGUAAUUUUGCUUUUUCAUGUUUUCCAAUUUUGUAAUAGAACAUCAACACAACUCUGUAUGUAACAUUUCCAGAUUCUGAUCCACCCAGUUACUCUUUUUAUGUCAAUAAAACCAAAGGCUCAUCAUCCCCAGUCUGCUCCUCCUCUCUGUACAUUACCAAAAUUAUUCCGACUGCUACUUUAACAAACGAAAAAACAAACGGAAAUUUAACAACAGAGCUUAAUUCUUUUGGCUGGCCUAACUCGAAGGUUUCUCCGAUAAGGGUUUAACUGGGUCCGACUCCUCAACAUUGAUCACCAUCUUGGAUCAUAGAUUCAUAAUCCUAGGGCUGUUGCUACAGUCACUCUACUACUCCACCUUGCUAAUCCCAAUCCGUUUUACAACUGCGUUUUUAAUGGCUGCUUCAGUAUGCAUCAUCAUUCCCUUGUGCUCAAUCCCAGACAUAUAAUUCCUCACUUCCGUUCUGAUCAUCUCCUGCAUCACAUCCAAAAACUCCGCGGUGAAGAACUGCUUAUCAAUCCCCACCUCACUACUGUUUUGCUUCCCCACACGCGCCGCCGCAGCCGCAGCCGCAGCCGCAGCCGCAGCCGCUUCUGCUUCUUGAGGUUGAACUUGAAUUACUUGAGGCUGAUGAACUACUUUAGGCUUGGGGCUCACAAUCCAGCUGGAUCCGGAUCCUGAUGCUGAUCUCUGAUGAGUCCGCCCUUCGUUGGAUCCGGGAAGCGACAGGCUGAGUGAUGUCGGUGGAUCCACCGCCACCGCCAAAGCCACCGGCUCAACCGGCGGAGCAACAGUCAUCGCCACCGGCCGGAAGGCUGCUUGCGAAUGAGGAAUUACGCCGGGCAGACUAGAAUCGCUCAAGUCGGAUCCGGAUGGGCUGCCCGGGUUCAAGUACAGACCCGAGACGGUGGUACCGGCUCCGACGCUGGCCGAUCUUUUGAGAGGCUGAUGCUCCGGCGACAUGUCGUCGGACAUGGACGAGAAUUUGCGCUUGAGCGUCGAGUUCCAGUGGUUCUUAAUGGCGUUAUCGGUGCGGCCAUUAAGCAACCGCGAGAUGGUGGCCCACUUGUUCCCGAACCGGGCGUGGGCCCGGAUUAUGGUGUCGUCCUCUUCAGGAGUGAACGGCCGGUGCUCCACCUCCGGCGAGAGCUGGUUGCACCACCGUAGCCGGCACGAUUUCCCGGAUCGACCAGGGAUCGAUUUGCUGAUCAGAGACCAGUUCCUCGGGCCGUAGCUCUGCACCAGCCUCUGUAACGCUUCGUCUUCCUCCGGGCUCCACGGACCCUUUAUCCGAUCCGCCGCGGCUUUCUUGGUUGAAGAAGAAGCCAUGGAUAGUCUUCUAGAGCUAAAAAUUUUAAAAAUAAAGAAAUAAAAGAAAAUAAAAACUAAUCGAUAAAUUCUAGAUGGAAAUUUGGAGAUUUUCUGUACAAGAAGCUAGCUAGGGGCGAUGGUAGAGGCGGAGCCUCACCUUGUUCUGAGAGAGAAGAGGGGUGAUACAGGGGCGAGGGGUUUAUAUACGGACGGAAAGGGAAAUUAGGUCACUGGUGAUAGCCGGUUGCGUAACCGGUCUUAGCCGUUGAGAUGGGGAGGGGAUUCUUCCUGGCAAGGCAGUUACUCGCAUACAGCUGUCAAACCAACACGCGUCGCCUCCUAUCCCCUCCAUCUUACACGUAUAAAUACAAAAGCACAAUCACACUCUCUACUCCUUUUCUUUUUAGUAUAAAGUAAAAAAAGAACCAAAAUUAGGUUUCCCUACUCUCUUUUACUGUUUUAACUUUUAACCAGAAUAGUCCUUAGGGUGGGGUCCGGAGCUCAGCUCAUCUAAACUGAAUUUUACUGUGAUUUGGUAACGUAAAAACGGAAAUUUAACCGUUGAGGGAAAAGUAAAAAGCGUAAUAGUUAAACGGCCCAGAGAAUGUGCACCACGUCCCCAAAACCGCGGGCUUUAAAUACUGAAACGGCCGUUUUGGAAGUUAAAGAGAAAACGAUUUGGGAUAAGACUAGAGAGUUGAAAAUUGAUAGUGAUCUUAUCGCGAAGAAUAAGAAGCAAAAUGGAAAUCGAACGAAAUUAAAAAAAAAUAUUUAAAACGGAGGAUGUACGGUUUGGAUGGGAGCGUAGAAGGAUGACUUUGACCAAACAGCCAGGCUGUCUCGCAUUUUGGGUAAGAUAUUUUUUUAAUAAUAAAAAUAAGGGAGGGGGAAAGGGACGCACGGAAGUGCUGAGCUGGACGCAGAAGACGACAAAAUUGGGUAGCAGAAUCGGGGGACGAACGGUACUGGAGUUGUGUCAGUCCAGGCUGUAAAAUCUCAGGCCCACUCGAGUGGGAGCGAGUGACUUAUCUCCCCCUAACGGCCAACCCUUCACCGACACGUGUCGGUCACGCUCCCUCCCUGCGGAAGAGCCCAAACCGACUCCACCGUCUAACCGGCUUUAUUUAUUGCGUUUGCGUCACCUUCCUCGUUGCUUCUUUAACUAAGCUGUUAUGGUUGUUGUGUAAUCUUGUCUCUAAAUCUUCUUAUCUGGUGGAGGUCAAUGAAAUCAACAGCUAAUAUUAACUAGAAUUAGUAGUGUGAUCUGUGGUUUGGCAUAUUGAUUACUUGUUAUUGUCUUAUAGUAACUAGUAUCACGAGACAAAUAUAUGUAAAGCAAGUUUUGGAAACUCGUUAGGCGCUGCUAUGAGAAUUGAUUUGACAAGUUUGGAACAUCUAAUCAGGUUGACGGUCUUAUUUUAGAACAUUGAUAUAAAACUUAAAGAUAAUCAAACUUUUAAGCGAUAAUCAAAUUUCUAAACAUGGAUGGAUGGUAGGUUUGGAGCGUAUAGUAACAGUGCUGGGCGAUUUUGUCUAGUAACGUAACAGAGAAAUUACAAACUAUACACGGAACACCACAUGGUAUUUGAUAUUCUCUAAUACUAUUGGUUUAAGUGUUUUUAUCUUAUUUAUGAUUGGUCUAUUUAUUUACCUCUACUAUUUUUUUUUCACCUUUUGUACCAUCUUAUUAGAAAUUGAGUUAUAUGAAUACUACUUAACAGUGUCACGUGAUGUUCCGGGUAUAGAGAAUAAUUACUCGAUGAAUACAAGGGGGAGAAAUGUGUAGAAGCCUUGUGGUUAUGAGUUCUGACGAAGACAAUCAACCAAAUAUGAGUUCUGACGAAGACGAUGCGAGUGGGGAAGAGUAUGGAAAGAGAAACAGAAAAAACGGGAAAGGAAAGGGAGGAAAGCAACAAAAAACAGAAAGCAAAGAUUAAAAACAGAGGAGGGAGAGUGACGACUAGUCCCUUUGUAUACUGCUGCUACAGUACCACUGGUUCAACAUCCAAUUCAGUUACGCGGGAAACAGCUGUAAACACACACGCAUAAAUAGUGCACCUUCUCACGUGCCAACCCCACCCGUCUCCUACCUAACCUUGUCCUUUUACCCGUACUCCUCACGUGGCUACGUGCGCCACACGAGUGCAUCUCACGUGAGAUCCGCAUCCCCACGUACGGCCAACCCAGAUAUAAGGGGUGGUGAGAGUCUUCUCCAAUCUCACCUGCCCAAGGUUGGAGCCAAUAAUGCUAAUGGCCAAAUUGAUGUUAACGUCGGCGUUUUUAUAAUUAAUAACCCAACUCUAAUACAUUAUGCAUGCAUGUGUUGUUUGAUUUCUUUACUGGCUUUUCUUCAAAGUGCAUGCCUAACUUAAUAGCCUUCUAAGCCAAGUUGACACAAAGAGACAGCAAAAUAUAUAUAUUUGAUUAACGUGGGAUCCAUACGAUUUCAUACAUAAAUGAGAUGCUUAAUACUGUUAAGGCAGAGUUUAAACGAUGCGAUCCUUUAUGGAUGGGGGUUUAAGCCACAGUUCUAGAGCUAGAUGUGUUUGCUGAUUGAAAUUUUGAAAUGCAUGUAUAUAUAUGUCGAUCGCAGACCGCUCUUUAUUUUGAAAUACAUAUUAUUAUAUUAGUCAACCAAAGUCUAAACUCAUUCUGAAGUACUUGUAAAGUUCACUACAUUUCUCAUUCGACAAUGCAGUAAACUUUUACAAGUAUUUCCAUAGUUCUAUAAUUCCAUGUUCAUUAGGUUUAUUUACGUGCCUCUAGAAACGUUAAUGCGGAUUUAGAAAUGGGUUUGGAUUUUGAGAAAUGGGAAGGGCUGGACCAUAGAGUUGAUAGUGGAAUUAGGCUUAGCCAUGGGCCUCAAUAUUGAUAUGGGUUUAGCUUGUAUCAUCAACAACUAAUUGAGAUUGGCCGAGACCAUUUUUCUUUGAUAGAUUAUCAAUCAAAUUUUCCUUGGUUAUUCAAUGAAUCUGGUUAUUCAAAGCAAGUUCAAUAAUACAGUGUCAAUGACUGAUACAACCCUGAAAUAUAAGCUUAUUUGGUGUCAGAUUUCGAUGAAUCUGGUUAUUCCAAGCAGGUUCAAUAAUACAGUGUCAAUGACUGAUCCAACCCUGAAAUAUAAGCUCAUUUGGUGUCAGAUUCCUGGAAAUCUGAUGAAAAAGAUGGAAGCAAAUUCGUCUAAACCAAUGAACAGAUCAAAUACUGGACACAGUUUCUUCUAUCCAAGUUGUAGCAUGGAGCUAGUCCCCGUAUGAACCAAUGAUAAAUAUUUCAAAUUUCCAUGAAAUCUGUAGAGGAGGAUUGAGGCCUCACCAUUUGAAACACGACAACAAAACAAACAUAUAUAGACAACUUUGAUAAAUCCAACUACUAGCAGUUUAUGUUGUUCCAGCUAUACGUACGUAACUUGAUUUGGCUAAAUAUGAAAGGGUACAUUAAUUUAGUUGGUGAAUCGAUCUUGAGGUUCUGGUUUGGACCAUUUUAUGGAUUGUAUGAACAAGUUAAACUGGAAUCAGUAAAUCAACCUUAUAAUGAACACAAAGCUAGUCAAGAAAUAUUCCCUUGAGGAAAUUCGUUAGAUCAGGUAUUAACCAGGCCAGCACCAUUCUAGCUUAGCCAUUAUUUUAAGCCUUGACUUGACAAAUGACGAGUCAUUUUAUAAGUUUCGGUUAUGCUUGCCAAGUGCCAACCACUGAACAAAUUUUUUUUUUAGGAAGAACCACUGAACCAAUUAAAACUAACCCAGUUCUUAAUUUAUGUAAUUGCCAGUCAAUCUAGCUAGCAAGGCGAGCUUCAAAUAGUUGCAGUUGGAGGAGACUAGGAAUCCUCCCUAACUUUGCAUCAUUGUGUCGCAAAGAGAAAGAGAAAGCCCCACAUCCACCCUCCUUCGACAUGAUGAUGCUUUUCGUGUUGUUGUUGUCUCUUGCGUCUCACGCCUCCUCAUCAAAAGAGCAACACAUCAACAGCAUUUUCAUCCUGGCCGGACAGAGCAACAUGGCCGGCCGCGGAGGCGUUGUCAACAACACCAUCACCGGAAUCACCACCUGGGACGGCGUCGUUCCUCCCGAGUGCCGCCCCAACCCAUCUAUCUUCCGACUCAGCGCCAACCUCACGUGGGUGGAAGCACGCGAGCCUCUCCACGCCGACAUCGACGUUGAGAAGACAAAUGGUAUCGGACCCGGAAUGCCAUUCGCCAAUGCGCUCUUUGCCAACCGCGCCGUUAAUACUGACGCGAUUGGUUUAGUUCCGUGUGCGAUCGGCGGCACUAACCUAAGCGAAUGGGAACGAGGGUCAUUCUUAUACAGGCAGAUGAUUGGGAGAGCCAGGGCGACUUCGCUAAAGGUGAAUAGCAAUGGCGCCUCAAUCAGGGGACUGCUCUGGUAUCAAGGUGAGAGCGAUACGACUACUAGGGAAGACGCCGAAUCUUACAAAGCCAGACUGGAAACCUUUUUUGGAGACCUCCGGUUGGAUCUGCAAUAUCCUCUGCUUCCAAUAAUCCAGGUAAUAUUGCAAGUUUUUUCUUGAUAACUGUUGGUUUUGAUUGACAUCGACAUUCCCAAUGCUUUAGAUUCGAAUCAUUCGAUCUACUAACAAUAUCAUGGCAUGUCAUUGGUGUCUGCUACUGUUAAAAAUUAAAACAUGCACAAGUUGAUCCAGUUGCUAACAUAGUUUAUCUUUUUUUUUUUGUUUCUUCUUAUGUAUGAAUAUACCUAGGCAGAGGUACAUAUAUAUUAAUAUAUACAAAUUAAUGACUCGUAAAGUAUGCUAGUGUUUGUUCUUGAGUCUCCUGUUGUUAUUUCAGGUAGGUCUCUUAAUGUGAUUUGUAAUCUGGGGUAUAGGUUCUAUGUCCCCCCAUAUAUUUAACAGUUUCAUCAAUCAAGGCUUGAGGGGCAGCCGCAUCGGCUCUUAUUUCAAAAAAAAAAAAAAAAAAGUAUGCUAGUGUUAUGUUUUAGAACCUCAAAACAUGGAGGAGGAAUUUAAAUUUUCUUUUUCUGUUUUUGUUUAGUCAGAGUUAGACUACAACAUUAAGCUGUUGGUACAAGACUAAAGGUCACACUUGCAUGUGUAACUGUUGCCCGAUGUUGCAGUAGCGUUACACAUAACUCAGGAUUGACCAAAAUUAUGUGCAAAUCCUAAAGGACUUGUUUUGGGUGUGUAGGUGGCAAUUGCAUCUGGGUCAGGACCAUACAUAGAGACAAUCAGAGAAGCUCAGCUGGGAGUUGAACUACUAAAUGUCCGAACAGUUGACGCCAAGGGAUUAACAUUAGAACCUGAUAACUUGCACCUCACUACACCUAGUCAGGUUCGACUAGGAGAAAUGUUGGCUGACGCAUAUUCUCAGUUGAUUCCCAGCUCUAUAAGCAAUCAUGCUCGAAGUAAAGGAUGUCCUUGUUUGAUCACCCAUUUUGUUAUGGGAUUGCUAUGGAAAAUUUUGACUACAUAACUCCAUCAAUCUAAUUUGUUAGAUUAGUAGUCAUUGAUUAAUGUACUCAAAUCUUUAAUAUGUGUUUUUGGGUAAAUGCUAAUCCAAGCUAGUCACUGUCCUAUGAUCAUGGGGCUCAAUAAUAUGUCAUAUAUACAUGUAGGUGAAGAAUGUGACAAUAAGCAUAAGGAAAUGACCGGAAGAACUACUUAAUAGUUAAUGAGCUUUACCUUCUAGGUUUAUACAAUCCCCAAUCCAGCGAUCCACACACAUCAUCUCAGUACUUUUGGAAUCAACUAUACCUACCAGUUUUUUUUUUAAAGGAACUAUACCUAUACUAUACCUACCGGUUGUUGCAGAAAAACUUGACAGAAUUUCAGUAUGGCUGGGGGAAUUAUUCCUACAAAGUUUAGCUAGUGUGAAUCAUCACUUUGGGAAAAGAGUAAAUUGUGGAGGAAAUUGAUGGGGGAUAGGAAAACACUUUAGU